UCUCUCCCUUGGGAGGUUUACCAAUUGGGGUUGGUGGCUUGUGUUCUGGGAGUGGUUUCUCUCCCUUGGGAGGUUUAGUGGGUGACUUGUGUUCUGGAGGUGGCUUCUCCACCGGAGGCUUGUGCUCCGGUGGUGGCUUCUUGGUUGGAGGGGGCUUGGGGUAAUCAGCAAGAGAUGGGGGGGUGAGAACCACCACUCCAAGGAACAACACUAGCAAGUAUGUGGGAGACAUUUCUGAGUUUGAGCUGAUCAGAUGAUGCAAAACUAGAAGAAUUACGUGACCUUUUAUAGCAAGUAGCUCCCAAUACCCACAUGACACGUGUUACUGUGACCAUAAAUAUUAUAGGGUCCAUUUGUGCCCUACCGGGUUGAAAACUUGGACGCUUGGCCGAGGACACACCGAACUAUGGAGGACUAUUGACGUGUGAUCACAGCUUUUGGAUUUUUCUUCCUGUGCAGCUGUCUAGCGGUUGGCAUUAUUUUUUUAAUCUUAAAUAAAGGCAUAGUUAUAGAGUACAUUUAUAUAUCUUCAGAUAGCCAUUAAUAUAUUUGAUGAAGAAAGACAAGUGCAUACAACAUGUAUACGGCUUGCUUCAAUCGAGUACAUUUAUGAUCAGUUUUCCAGUGCAAGUAAACCAGUUUUUUGUUCCACAACUAUUUUGGAAUCUUGUUUAUCAGUUUCUAUCAUUAUAAUGUCACAUAGGCUGCAAACUUGGGCACCCAAAGAUCUAGUUGGGCAAAUUUGUUUCAGAAUUUCAAUGGUGGAUUCAGUAAUUGUUAAAAGGUGUUUCUUCAUUAAGGAAAGAGUCCUGUAAAAAUAUUGUUAAAAGGUGUCAUAGAAACUAUAAUAAUUAAAUAACUUCUUUUCCCCGUGGGUGGUGUUUCUUCUGGGGAUACCCAAAAUGAGUUCAGAUUAAAAUUGGUUCGAGUCAAAGCUGUCUCUUUUGUCCAGAAAUCAACUAUUUUGCGCAUUGCAUGAAUCGAUAAAGAAAAAAUGAAAGCCAAAUCACACCUCCCCUGCAAAACCUAAACCCCGGUUGCUAACUUUCUAUGUUUCAGUCCUAUUCAUACAGGAAUAUUGGUUCAAGUUUGAGAAAAAUGGCAACUUACCUAGGGAUUACUUGGUUGUGGUUUGCGACGACUAUUUACGCAACCAACCAUGAGUUUGACUUUAACGUCAUGGGUUGAAGCCUCCUACAAUCGUGUAUGAUAGUUCAAAGCUCGUAGUAGAAAUUAUACAGGAAGGAAGAAACCUCCAAAGCUAGCUCCAAAAGAGAAUUAUCACAUCGAUAGCUCCAGAGAUUCCCAAGGGGACUGAAUCAAAGACAAGUUCCUCACUUUUUCUUCUUUUGAGGCCAAAUAUGAACCAAGGAUCACACGACCUCAUUCAACUUCAUAAGUUUGAUUUCAUGCAGUUGAACACUGGGUGAAGGCCAUGACAAGAAUUGAUUAAAAAAUUCUACCACUGUUUUAAGUAAUGGAAGAUUAUUAUCUCUGAUUGGCACCACAACAGCACAUGCUGCUAGAUCUUUCUAGACACUCCAUGCAAUGAAAGUACAAUGGAUCUUGUAACGAUAGAAACUAAGCCAUGCUACAGUACUAGAUGACGAGGUAAAACUAUUAGACAUGGGUGGCAGCCUAUAUGGGAGGGACACAAGUCUAAUUGAUUUGCAUUUCAGCGUUCUAGAUGGGUAUGUUUUGGAAGAUUUGUUCUGGAAAUACCGCACCAAGUAGGAUUCUUUUUUCUCUUGAGUGGGUCCACUUGCAUGCCAAUUAUCGAGUUGAAAAGUAGAGCACCUACCUCGUGCUCGUGGAACCGAAGGUCAGUGAAGUGGGGCUCCUUUUGGCCUCUUGUGUUUCUGUUCCAACCAAGGCGGCGGAGGGAAAAACAGCAAUAUGUCUCCGCUAAAUAUCAACGCAUGAUAGCGAAUGAGGGAGAAAAAAAGUAAUUGGCAUCUCAAUCUCACAAACUUGGUACAGUAGUGACAUUAAUAGUCUUCCACAUGGUUUUUAUUUUAUUUUAUUUUAUAUUUUAUAUUUUCCAUUUUUUUAUUUUUUUGUAUGUCAAGGCUAAUGAAUAAAAUGCGUUAGCUUGUUUUGUGAUUGGAACUGCAAAUGUCCAAAUUGGAGUUUCUCCAUUUCUCAGUUCGGAUGGUUAACUUUAUAAACAAGAUAUAGGAAACAUGUGAACGUCUUGAGGAACAAUUCGAAUUAUUGAUUAGAACUCCUAGGUUGAGUUCCAAGAUUUAAAUCAGACCCCUCUAGCAGCUUCAGGGGUACCUAGCAAUUAGAACAUAUUAAUGAAGAUUUAGGAUUUAGACUCCGGAAUACAAAUUAAUAUGUAUCUUAUGCUCUGACUAGCUUCCCUGCAUAUGCACAAAAUGGAGAUGACCCAAAAAAUAGCAGAAUCGCCUUAGUUUAUGUGGUUAAGGUGAUUCUCCGGUUAAUAUCCACAUUGGCUCAUUAUGCAAAUCAACUGAGCUAUUUUUUUUUUAAUGUCAAAUAGGAACUCCUAAUUAACCUAACCAUUGGCCUGUGUAAAUUGAUUUCACAUGCACAAUGUUGUAGUAGAAGUCCACAUUUUGAAUUUUAUUUUUGGAAAGGUAAGGAAAAUGAAGCAUUGUGUAAUUAUAAAAAUAACUUCAUUGGAAUUCACAAGGUUCACCCAAAAUGGAGCUACAUCCGUAUUCUAUCUUACAGUAGACUAUAUAGAUUGUACAAUAGUAAAUUGCAAAUACAAUUAAUAAGUCUUGUGUUUCCUUACUAAUAAUCCUUUGACAUAAACAUUGCAGCACUAAGGUCCUCUUGGGCAGACACCUUGCACCCAUGAGAGCACUAAGAGGAAGCAAGGCGGAGUCAUGGGUGCAAUGUCAUGACUUGUUGCACUAAGAGAGGCUUGGUGAUGGCAUAGUGCUGCAGUAGCAAGAAUGUUGCCUUGGCAGGGACACGAUCUAGGGACAGAUGCCAAGAAAGGCUUAGCACUCACAUGAGUUGCACAAAGAUGAAUGAAAUAGAACAUCAAAGAGACAUCUUGGCAAGCUCAAGAAAGACAUGUGGGUUGGUAAAUGAAUGGAUGCAAGAGGCAACAACAUGAGGAGUUUCAAAUGGAUAGGGAAUGAGUCAAAGACAUUUGAAAGCUACAAGUUGGAUUCUAAUUACGAUUGCAAUUUGAGUUUGAGUAGGAGUUUAUAUUAUGAUUGUAAUUGUAGUAUGAGUUGGACUAGGAUUGCUUAUCCCUAGUCAAAAUAGGAGUUGUUCAUGCCACACCCUAUGAAAAGAGUUUGAGUAGGGACUAGGAUUGCUUGCUCCUAGUCAAAUAUGGAGUAGGUGGUGCCACACCUAUAAAAAAAAAAGGGACAACAUGAGAGAGAGAGAGAAUGAAUUCACCAAAGAUAUUGUGGGAGUUUUGCUUUGUUACAUCUUGUAUUAUUAUUUAGAAUAGUAAUAAAAUACAAGUUGGGGCUAGAGCCCCAUAAUCUCGUGUGCCUUUGUGGGUUAUUCUUUAUUUGCCAUCUCGUGUGGAUUGGAUUAGAUUGAUGAGGCGAAAUAUUAUGUGGGAAAUUUAUGUUGGGACACUUACCAUAACCAGGUAAAAUCUACCAAGUCUUUUGUAAUAUCUUCUACAAAUAUUUUAGACCAGUUCUUCACAAAACAUCAUAAUAUGUUUUGUGUUUCUCUUGGAUUUUGAGUUGAAUUGUCUUAGAUCAAUUGAAUGCAUCUCAAUAUUAUUAUCUUGUUUGAAGGCUUGAUGAUUUUCCAUUUAACUUUACUUUCUUUAGGUUAUGCUUGAUUCCUUAAAAGUACUAAGGAAAACAAAAAAUAAAAAAAAAUAAAAAAUGCAGAGGGUUAGGACAUGUGUUAUCUAAUUGUCCUAUCCAAAGAUAUUAAGAAAGUCAUGUAGGAAAGUAAUUGAAAACUAGGUCAAGAAAGGAGCAAAAGGGAAUUGUUUUGGUAUUUUCUUUUUUAUUCUUGAAGGUGGCAGAGCUAAAAUUUGAGAAAUCAAGCAAAACAUACUGAAAUUACAUUGAAAGAAAGAAAAUGGUAGUUAAUGUCUUGCAGUACAUGAUAAGGACUUCAUGCAUGUAGUGUGACGACCCAUGUCUUGGACUGAUGCCACACUCACGGUUACACUUAUACCCUUGGUUCUCUCUUUACUACCUUGGCUAACCUAGAUCAGGCUAUGAGAUAGGCUCCUCACCACACCAUCACUUGCCCAGUAAUUAGUGACAUUUUCAAGCAAUGAGGUAACAUGGUGACACCAAGAGGGUUUAUCCCUCGCCCCAACAAGUCUAGACUCGGUCUCAAAAAAAUGGAGAAAAAUGAGGUGUCGUUAUGCAGAAAUACAACAACCAUGCCUUCCUUAUUACUUAGAUUCAGAAUGUGAAGGUGAAAUUGAGAAACAGAAACUCUUGAAACCAGAAUGAAAAUUGAUACUUUUACGAAGAAUUACAACAUUAGAGGAAGACUACAUUCUUCCUCUAUAUUCCUACGUUUCUACACUACUUCUACUCCACUCCAUAUUUCUACAUACAUCUUUAAUCAGUUUUCCCUCCUUUAUAUAGAGCCAUCUUCACACAAAUUCCGCAAGGUAGAAAAGAGGAAUGAAACUUGGAGCAAGGUUCGACUACUGGUUGUCGCUUGUCAAGGCUGGAAUUGAACUUUUUUUCUUGGCUUUUCUGGGCAUAGGUAGUAACUUGUGGUUCCUUUUUGGAAUGAAAAUGGUACAGCUAGAACAUGUGGCACUCUCUUGUUGGAUUAUGUGUCAAACAUGUGGCAGCCAUCUAGUGGAGAUUAUUUCAAUUUUGGGAUGGAGAGUUGGCAUCCAAUUGCAAAGAAAUAUGACAUCUACCAACAUGCAAUGUAAACCUAUAUAGAUCAUAUGGAGAUAGAGAGGAAACAUAUAGAAAUGGAUAUAUACCUAGAACUAGCUUUUUAUUAAAUGAGACGGAGAGCCAACAAUGAAGGAAAAUCAAAAUUUUUGGCUCAUAUCAAAGAAUUCACAUUGUGUUACCCUAGGUUUUCUUAAAGCUUGCACAAAGCCAAAAAGCACACAAAAAAUUAUAUUUUCUAGCUCUCUACCUUGGAUGGUCUCUUGAUCCUACUUGGAGAUGUGCAUAAAUAAAAGGAUUUGAAAAUGACAAUUGACUAAGUAUGUAGUCAAUCAAUUACUCAUUAAUUGACUAGUUGAUCAAUUAACUUUGCAACAUCAUAUGCAAUCCUAAUAGCUAGUCAUCUAAUCAACUAGGUAGUAAAUCAAUAGGCCAAAAAUAUGUUUAUAAUGACUAUUUUGUACAAAAACCACCUAUAUGGUUAAAUAUAAUGCAUUUCAUUUAUAAAUCUUCUAAUUCUUGAAUAACGAUCCUAUCAUCCUUUGAAAGUUUUUAUUACACCUUUUAUACUUUUGUUCUAAAACUUACACAUGUACAUCACCCUUAAUUGUACCAUGAGAACCUAGCUUUUUUUUUUUUUUUUUUUGUAAUUCAUCAAAGUUAGCUUUUGUAUUCAUUACUGUACUAUUUUUAUUGUAACUUAGAAAGCGAGUGUUUUCAAGUGAGUGAAAUUGACUUAUAAAUAUUGUAAAGAUUCAUUGAUGUGUAUCUUAAACUAAGUGUACAAGUUGAAACAUUUGCUAGUAGAUUUUCUCAAGAUUUAGAAUAGAGCUUGAGGCUAUUGAAAUAGGUGGGGUUGCACCAAACCACAUCACAUUGUUGUUUGCACCUUUUUUUCACUCUCUUUUACUUAGUUGCUCUAUAUUUGUUGUCUAGUAAUAUCCUAUAGGCUUGAUGGGUUAGGGAGCAUCCCUUUGUGAAAAAUUUUCAUUCAAUCCUUAGUUGUAUCACGCAUAUAUAAAAUGCCUCAUUGUUUUAAUGGUAUUCAGUCGUGGCAUCACAGAUAUGGGCAUCUAAAUUUUAAAAGUUUGAAACUUUUAUCUAAAGAAAAUAUGGUGCUUUGCCUUUUUGUAAAGCAUGUUGAUGAAAUCCAUGAGAAUUGUGUACUUGGGAAGCAACAUCGAGAUGACUUUUUUUUUUUUCAUUUUUUAUAAUGCGACACCUAAGUCCGGUUUCUAAAUGCUGAAGUGAAAGGGUAGGUAUGGACCAUUGAAAUCUGAUCACAACUUUUGGCCUUUUCCUUUCUCUGCAGCCAUGUUGUCUCUUUUUUCUUUUGCAUGAUUUUCUUACCUAAACAGAAUCAUAGACUUGUUUAAUCUCUAAAUGGUAUUUCAUCCAGCUUUAAGCUACUGUAUUAUAUCUUGGUGGAGGACUUUUAAGAGUGAAACCGACAUAGAGCACAUGCAAGUGGGUAUAUGGGACAUGAAAUUUCUUCUUAUAAAGACUGCAUGGUUUUUAUAUUAGAGUUGUUGAGGCGCAAUGUAUUUAGCUUGUUUUGCAGUUAAAUUAAUUGGAUAAGUAGACAUUGUCGUUUCUAAAUUUCCCACCUAAGAUAGUGACCUUAUCCUUGACUGCUUGAUGAGAUACACAAACAAUUAUACCUUCAAAAUCUACUGUGAAGUGCUUCAUGUAUGUGUGAAGUAUUAGAAAUUUCUUUCUUGGCAACUUGUUUUUUCUUUGCCCUCUACUGAUAGGUUUGACUCAAAUUAAAUUCCCUGUCAUGCUAAUUAAUUUUCACGUGCAUGCUCAAAAGGAUCACGUCAACUCUGGUUUCUACUAUUCAGGUCCAUUCCCAGAUAAACUGGUUCAAAUUUGAGAAAAUGGCAACAGCCCUUUAGUGAUGUUGGUUUGGAGCCAGUAGCCAAACCCGCCCUGAGCUUUACCACUAAUGUCAAGGGACAAAGCCAUUUGAACAAAAACAAUAGCUUCAAGAGACUGAAUCGUGGAUGAAAUCUGAUCCACAUUUCUUCUCAUUUUGGGAACAAAUGAGAACUUAACUACAAAGAUUCUACUGCCUCAUAGUGCUUUUCCUGAUCUAAGGUUGGUUCGUUUCCCAAAUUGUGAGGUACGUGCCAUUCUCACGCUCAGGAGUGUAUCCACGUGGUGGACAUAAGAUGGUGGCUUAAUAUCUGGUGUCGGUGGCUUUACUUUACUAGGAGAGUAGUGUGUCUUCAUCUCAUUCACUGCCGGAGGGUGGCGUAAGCAGUGACGCUAAGGUGGGGCACAGUCAAUAUCAUUUGCAUUUGACCAUUAUAGUUUUCUCCCGGCUUGAAAGUAACCUUAUCGUGAUAAAGGAUUACUAGCACUAGUUCAGAUGACAGUCAUGUUAAAUUCGGACCAUGUUUGUGUCACAUUAUCAGCAACCAUGUGUUUAUGGUUCAUGCUAUCUGCAACUAAACUUGAUAUAUAACCACGUGAACUUCAAUCUAAAUUCUGGAAGUACUCUUGUGAUAGAUGGUGCCUGUCUGCAGAGUCCAUCAAUUGAAAAAUGGAGUGAGUGUAUCUAUAAGAGGGAAGGCUUGGCAAAUGUUCAGUUUUCUGGGAACUCAACAAGGAUCUAAAAUAGAUUGUUUUCUUUGCUGAUUUCAAUGGUUGAAAUUUGAGAAGAUUGUGUCCACAUAACACAACUAUUACUGGUCCUUCUGUUGCAAUUUAUCCUCUAAGGCUCUAACAUGUCUUCCAAUUCCCACUUCCCUGUUACUCCAGGAAAGCUAUUUCUGUCAUUGUGAAGAAGAAAAGAGAAUGUACAUAUCGAUGGUUUUAAGUGACUGGGGCAUUCAUAUCAGGUGGUCUGCAGCCAUAUAUGCCACUUUGUGAAGGUUGGAACAGUCAAUCACCAGGCUAUAUUAGUGUGGCCCAGCCACUUCAAUCAAGGACAAGUCUUCAUACUUAAAGUCAAAUUCUGCCUUUAGUCUCAUUAUAAAUUGCUGUUUAAAUAUUAAGCAAACAUUUGUUUAAUGCGAUUAAGACAGUACUAACUCAAUACUUGUUCUAUUUUUGGAUGCAAAUGCUUGAUGGUUUCAUCAUUGGAUGGGAUAAAGGUGCAUUCAUGAUUAUGAAUACUUGUAGUUAUAUUUUCAUUCUCUUUUUUCUCAAUGAGACUUGUUGGCACAAUUUUGCUGUUCAGAAACCUACCUCUCCAUCGAAAAUCAGUUGUGAUUGAUAGUACUGGAUAUAUUCAAGAAAGCUAAAUAUAGAUAGCACCAAAUAUUAUCGAUAUAAAUAGCAUUAACAGCGUACGUAUGUCUCAAUGCUCAUCAGCUAUAAGCAACGGGCAAACACUUACUAUGAGCAACUUGCGUCAAAAUUCCAGAAUAGGACAUAGAAGUGACAGAUCUAUAUAUAUAUAGAACACUGCAUAUGAGUCACAAGAAAGGAAAUUACGGGUGCAUAGCAGCUCUUAUUUUACAUCCUACUCAUACUGAUCAAAGUCACUCAGUUGGGAUGGGUGGGAGUAGGAGGUUUGUGGGGUGGCUUGUGCGGAGGAGUUGGCAGCUUCUUUCCAGGACCUGGUUGCUUCUCUGCUGGAGUUGAAGGAGGCUUAAUCUUCCGAGGUGGCUUGUAUGAGUCUUCAGCAUUCUCAGCAGGAGGGUGACCAGGGUUGUGACCAUAAUGUGGUGGCUUCUCUCCCUUAGGUGGUUUGCCAACUGGGGUUGGUGGCUUGUAUGAGUCUUCAGCAUUCUCAGCAGGAGGGUGACCAGGGUUGCGACCAUAAUGUGGUGGCUUCUCUCCCUUAGGUGGUUUGCCAACUGGGGUUGGUGGCUUGUGUUCUGGGAGUGGCUUCUCCCCCUUGGGAGGUUUUUCCAAUGGGGUUGGUUUGUGUUCAGGAGGUGGCUUCUCCACUGGAGGCUUGUGUUCAGGAGGUGGCUUCUCCACCGGAGGCUUGUGUUCAGGAGGUGGCUUCUCCACCGGAGGCUUGUGUUCAGGAGGUGGCUUCUCGAAUGGGGGAUGCUCAGGGUAAUCAGCAAGUGAGGGGUUGGUGAGAACCACCAUGCCAAGCAACAGGACUAGCAAGUAUGUAGGAGACAUCUUUGGGUUUGGACUUAAGACAGUGGAAAACUGCGAGAAUUCUCUAGCCUUUUAUAGCGGGUCGACCCAGUACUCACAUGACACGUGUCAUUAUGACACAUGUGCCAUGGGGUCGAUUUGGGUCCUACAGUGUUGAAAAGUUGGGCAUUUGAGGUGUGAGCACAACUUUUGGCCUUUGCUUUCUCUACAGCCGCCAUGCUUUUCCCUUUUUUCCUUUUCCUUUUGUUUUCCUCCUGCCUCGUGUUCUCAACUAAACACAAUUAGGUUGUUUAAUUGUUAAAUGAGAUUUUUGUCUGUCAAUCAUAUUAUAUCCUAUCAAGAGAGAACAGAGUGUAAUGUAGUACACAUAACACGAGGCAGUAGUAAUUUUAUCAUUUAUUUUUAUAGCUUGGACCACCGCAUUUUUUCUUCUAAAAUAUUCUGUCUUGUUAAGAGACGCAAUAAUACACAAUUUUAUCUGCCAUUCAACAUUUACUGUAAAGUUCUUUUAUCUCUUUGUAGUUCUAGAAAAGUACAAAAUGGAACAUCAUGUAUAUGGUGCCUUCUGUCCUAAAAAAGAAACUGGACAAAUUAUGAACUGCAUGCUAAAAAGAGGCAAAGGAGCUUAAUUCGCAGCAUAAUUAUUUUGGUUUCUAGAGAGCCCGGGGCCUUUUGGUUGGUUUGGGGUCAGAAAAUGAACAUCAUAGGGAUUGUGCCCUUAACUGGCCUUGUUACUACAAAGAAAUUGCCAUAGAAAUUUAUUCCAGGCUGAGUAUCUCCGGAUAGACCCCAGAAAAGAAGAGUCAUAAUGAGAAUCAACCUUUGUUGAGUUUGAUUCCAUGCCUCCAUUGUGUUCAUUUCAUGAAUCUGAUUUGCAUUUAACAUUACAGUUUUGUUCUGGAAACAAUCAAAGGAGCAUCGUUUGCUUCUUGGGUGACCCAUAGUGGUGGGUGGGUCGAUUUGCUUAGUUGAAAAUUGGACAAUUGGCUCCAUCGCCUACCUCUUGGAUUCCAUGCUCGGAUAAAACGACAACAAAUAAAUAUUUAUAACUUACAACUGGGGAAAGGAAAAAAUAGUACUAAAUUCAUGGUACAUGAUAGUGAGAGAAGGGGGUGUUACACUCAGCUAAAGUUCUUUUCUAAAUAUUGCAUGGUGUUUAAUUUUAUGUGUCGGCGCGCGUGUGAAUGGAACCUGCAAAAGUCCAAAUUGGCGUUUCUCCAUUUUCCACAUAGGAUGGUGACGUUAAUAGACAAAGAUACAAUAUCUGUAGACAUUGCUUAAAAAUCGAUGUGAAGUAUUAGAAAUUACAGGCCACUGUACUGGGGGAGCGGCUGCCCCGCCAAAGGAAGAAUGUAGCAAUUUCUUCUGUUAGCCAGGCCUUAGGAUUUAUGCAUGGGAUGCCUAAUAACAAACAGAGAAAAUAUGCUUUUGGGGAAGGUAUCCAACAACAGACACCAUCAUUCAGAUGGUGGGAAGGUAUCCAACAGAUGCCAUCAUUCAGAUGGUAACAUAUAUAUACAUUUAUUAGUGAGUUUUUUUAAUACCUAUAAAAAAAAUAUACACUUUGAUAUUGUGGCUGAAUCCAUUACAUACUCAACUAACCUUGCUCAUUAGGGAUUUGACGUAACAAGGGCAACGUUGCAGUAAAAGCUCGAAACUUUAUGCAGGUGACAUUACAUUUGGUAAAGAAGAGGAAAAUAAGGAAAGCCAUCCAUAAAAGCAAAAUUCCUCAUGGGAUGAAAUUCACAAACUUCAUUUACGUUAGAGUCGCAUCCAGGCAAUUAAUUCCACAUUAGACCGCCUUUUGACAUGUGUACGGAUCUUUUUUCAAAAAUUAUUUAUAAAUAAUUGAUACUUACAAAAAUAAUUUAAGAUUUAUAAAGGAUAAAAAAAUAUUUUCAAAUCUAUGACAAUUUAUAAAAUAUUAAUAAAAAAUUAUCUCUUAAACUUAGUAUAGUUUUAUCGUAUUAAACUUUUAUUUUGAACAAAUAAUUUUAAUCUAAGUUUUAAAUUCUAAAAUUAUUUCCUUAAAAUAAAAUUUUAAAAUUCAACACUUCAAUUGAAAUUGUCUUUUAAAAAAAAUAUCUUCUUAUUUUAAUCCUUAUAAACUAUAGUUGAUUGAAAAUACUAUUGAAGUUCUCUCUUCAAAAAAAGUCUUAUUUUAAUCUUCAUAAAUUGCCCUUGAUUUGAAAAUAAACUUUGGGUUAUCAUAUUUUAAAUAAUAUAUAUAUAUAUAUAUAUAUAUAUAUAUAUAUAUAACAAAUACUCUAUUUUUUUUUUAAAUGAACUAAUUUUAAUUAUAUUUUAUUUUAUUUUUUUAUAUAUUUUUAAUGAUAAACCAAACAUAGAAAAUCAUUUUUCUAAAUAUUUUAAAAUUUCUAAGCAACCAAACAUAAUCUUCAAAAUAAAAGGAGAAUAAGGAGGGACAAGUGAGAAAUGGCGAUUAAAAAAAAGUGUACAAAAGCUCAAUUAAUUUUCUUCUAGUCUUUUAUAUAAAAAAGUAUUGGUAUGUAAAUUAAUAUUUGGAUUUUAAUAGUAUUUUAUUUGUCUUUCUCUAUCUCAUGUAAAAGAGAAUUUAAGAUAUUUCCUAAAGCAAAGCAUUAGUUAUCUGCAAUCAGUGGUGAUCAUGGUCCAUGUCAAUUUCGGACCCAUAUCUUAAAACCGUAUAAUUUGCGUUUCAACAUUACUGAUUUCUCAGAUGUUUCAUACUCCACAGAAGAGUAUUGUUAGUGAAAGCAUUUUGUAACUGUUACUCAUAGUGUUUUGACUCUGGCUCAACAACAUCAGCCAUUGACGGAUUUUCAUACAUGCAAAUCAAAUAGUCUUCUUCCUCCCUUAGGAAUUUCGGUUUAAAUGUUAUUAAGCAUACAUUUGGCUGACAAUUAUUAACCACUUCAUGAUAUGGUUUCUUACCCUUAAUCAAUGGUUUCUAAGUGAAUAUAUGCAGAAGGAAAUCUGAACUGUAGACAGCAGUAUUGAUAACUCUCAAUAUUCUUUAUAUAAGAGAAUAAACAACGUCAUAGUGAUCGUCGCCUACAAGAAAGGUACAUUUCCCAACAAGAUGUAGUGGUGACUGCUACAUGGACGCAAUUAACUCGUAGAAAAGGAUAAGACCAGUGCACGGCAGCUCUUAUUUUACAUGCUAAUUAUGCUAACCAAAGUCACUCAGUUGGGAUGGGAGGGAGAUGGAGGUUUGUGCGGUGGCUUGUGGGGCGGAGUUGGUGGCUUCUUUUCAGGAGCUUGUGGCUUUUUCGGAGCUGAAGGAGGCUCAAUCUUAUGAGGCGGCUUGUACGAGUCUUCUUUACUCUCGACAGGAGGGUGACCAGGGUUGUGACCAUAAUGUGGUGGCUUCUCUCCCUUAGGUGGCUUGCCAACUGGGGUUGGUGGCUUGUGUUCAGGAAGUUGUUUCUCUCCCUUGGGAGGUUUACCAAUUGGGGUUGGUGGCUUGUGUUCUAGGAGUGGUUUCUCUCCCUUGGGAGGUUUAGUGGGUGACUUGUGUUCUGGAGGUGGCUUCUCCACCGGAGACUUGUGUUCUGGAAUUGAUUAAAAAAAUUCUACCACUCUUUUAAGUAAUGGAAGAUUAUUAUCUCUGAUUGGCACCACAACAGCACAUGCUGCUAGAUCUUUCUAGACACUCCAUGCAAUGAAAGCACAAUGGAUCUUGUAACGAUAGAAACUAAGCCAUGCUACAGUACUAGAUGACGAGGUAAAACUAGUAGACAUGGGUGGUAGUUGAUUACUACUCAAAAAGUACUCUUUUAUAGUUUGAAACUAACUGUUUUAAACACUUUUGAGUAGUAGUUAAUAAAUUUUAACUCAAUUGGCACAUUAAGGAACCUAGCAAGGGUUACUAAUAAACUUUUGGCAAGUUUUGGUGUUUUUGGUAGUUAUUCGAUCAUUGAAACAAGCCAAGAAUGAGGGAGAAUUUUGUGAAGUCCAUGGCAAUGCAAGUUAAAGCUCAAAUACACGAAGAAUCCAAGCUUUGGAGCACUACAUAGCCCUUUGCCAAGCCAAUUAGAGAUGCAAGGAACAAAACCAAAGGAAGAAAUCCAACAACCAACAUUUUCGCAUGGUUGUGUGAAAUUUCGCACACCAUGCGAAACCACAAGAGGUAGCCAAAGAAUUUCACAUGGUAUGCGAAAUCUUCUCAUGCACCGACUCCGUUAGAUUUUUAUCUUCAGAUAUUUUGUGUAAUUUCCUAGUUUCUCCUUGUAACCAACCUAGAUAUUUUCUUUUAUAUCUUUUUUUAUAUUUUUUAGGUAACAUCAUAUAUAAGGGGAGAGACAUAAGGAGGAUAUGGAUGUUUUUCAUAGAACACUUGUAAAUUUUCAGUAGUAAGAAAUAUACAAAGCUUUUUGCUAUGCCUUACCUUCUCAUUUUGUUUUCACCUGUCUUUCUAGCCAAACAACCUCUAAGGAUGAUUUCUCAGGGGAUGAGUGGCUAGGUUUUACGUUUCUUGGAGUGAGGGAAGCUAGGUGAAGGACCUGAAUGCAAAGAUGAGAGUUUUCCUUGCUUUAAAUGAAAGUAGUUGUUAAACAUUAAUGGUUUUUAUUUUAAGGUUUAGCUUUAAAUCCCUUAAAAACACCUUGAAUGACCAAUACUUGGUAAGCUUUUCGGAUUCUAUGGAUGCUUAUUGCUAGAUCCAUGGAUGUCUAUUAGUUAUCAUUUACGAGCCUUUGGAAGGUGAUUCAAGGUGAGGGUCUUUAGUGUUUGAAGCCAUUAAUGGGAAGCAAUUACCAUUUUUUCAUGAAUCCUUUGGAUCAAAUCUUAAUUGCUAAAUAUAAAACCGAUUUGGGAAAUAACCAUCCUUUAUGUUAUUAUCCCCAACGCAAGGAGAAGAUCCGGAAUCUUCCCUUUUGUCUAAGGAACCCGAUCCUAGUGACCUAAAGCUCCAAGAGACCUUUUCUUUGUAGUUAACUUCAUUUAUUGUUUUUGCUUAACUUAAAAUCAAUCUUUGCAACCACAAUUCCAUUUUCUUUAAAAGCUAAUUUUUAUAAGGAAAAACACCAUUUUAUUUCCUUCACUAAGUCAACUGUACGAUGAAAACCCAUCCCUGUGGACGAUCCUAGAGCCAUUAUACUAUGUUAGCUAUGCUACCCUAGUGUGAGGUGAUUUAGGUUUUAUAAAUUUUGUUGAUAACACCCAUCUGAGCCAGAAUCAAAUGGCACAACUGAACCAGGGACGAAUCAAAUGGCGCCGCUAUCGAGGAUGGUGCCAAAGUACAUUGACAUGACUUUUGGUGAACACUUGUGAUCUUCAUCACAAGUUUGGUGAUUUUUCUAUUACUAAUUUUUUUCUUUGUUUUUAUUUUAGCUUAUCUUUUAUUUAGUUUUUAGCUAACCUUAACUUUUUCUUAGAAUUGUAUUUCUUCUAUUUUCUUUGUUUUUGUUUCAGUGAUCUUUAGUUGUGCAUGCCCUAUUGGAUAAGAAAUAUUGAGGGAAUACUUGUGAAGAUUGAAAAUCCUCGAGAAACUGAGUUGGAAGUGUGAUUGAACAUCAUGGAUGUUCCACCUGAAGACCAGAAUAGCCAACAUGGUUAAGAGGAUAAUUUCAAAGCAUACCGAUCCAUGAGGGACUGCAUGCAUCCACCUCGUAUGAGUGCACCGUCAUGCAUAGUGCCUCCCACUGAGCAACUAGUAAUCUGACCUCACAUUGUGCCACUCCUACCUACUUUCCAUGGGAUGGAGAGUGAGAAUCUCUACUCGCAUAUUAAGAAAUUCGAGGAGGUUUGUAAUACAUUCCAAGAAGGAGGAGCUUCAAUUGACUUGAUGAGGCUCAAGCUAUUUCCUUUCACUUUGAAGGAUAAGGCUAAGAUUUGGCUUAAUUCUUUAAGGCCAAGGAGUAUCCGAACUUGGACUAAUUUGCAAGCCGAUUUUCUUAAGAAGUUCUUCCUUACCCAUAGGACCAAUGGUUUGAAAAGGCAAAUUUCGAACUUCUCAGCUAAAGAGAAUGAGAAAUUCUAUGAGUGAUGGGAGAGGUACAUGGAAGCUAUUAAUGCUUGUCCUCACCAUGGCUUUGACACAUGGCUCUUAGUGAGUUAUUUUUACGAUGGUAUGUCUUCUUCAAUGAAGCAACUCCUAGAAACUAUGUGUGGAGGAUACUUCAUGAGUAAGAAUCCGAAGGAAGCCAUGGACUUUUUGAGUUAUGUGGCUGAAGUUUUAAGAGGAUGGGAUGAACCAAAUGCUAGAGAGGUGGAAAGAAUGAAGUCUCAACCUAAUGCUAAGGGUGGGAUGUAUGUUUUGAAUGAAGACAUUGACAUGAAAGCAAAGGUUGUAGCUAUGGCAAGGAGAUUGGAAGAGCUAGAAAUGAAGAAGGCACAAAAAGUGGAAGCCAUUUCUGAGACAUCAGUGCAAGCUAUGCCUUGUUCCAUUUGUCAACCUAAUGCUAAGGGUGGGAUGUAUGUUUUGAAUGAAGACAUUGACAUGAAAGCAAAGGUUGUAGCUAUGGCAAGGAGAUUGGAAGAGCUAGAAAUGAAGAAGGCACAAAAAGUGGAAGCCAUUUCUGAGACAUCAGUGCAAGCUAUGCCUUGUUCCAUUUGUCAAUCUUAUGAGUACCUAGUGGAGGAGUGUCCUACAAUUCCAGUAGUGAGAGAGAUGUCUGGUGAUCAAGCAAAUGUUAUUGAUCAAUUCAAGCCUAAUAAAAAUGCUUCAUAUGGCAACACCUACAAUUCAAAUUGGAUGAACCAUCCAAAUUUCUCUUGGAAACCAAAGCUACCUCAAUACACACAACCUGCUCAAGCACCUUAGCAAUCCUCGAAUCUUGAACAAGCUAUUGUGAACCUUAGUAAGGUUGUGGGAGAUUAAAAGUCCAUCAAUGCUCAACUGAAUCAGAGAAUUGACAGUGUAGAGAGUACAUUGAACAAAAGGAUGGAUGAGAUGCAAAAUGAUCUGUCUCAAAAGAUAGACAAUGUCCAAUAUGCAAUCUCAAGGCUUACCAACCUCAACACAGUGCAAGAGAAAGGAAAGUUUAUUUCUCAACCUCAUCAAAAUCCCAAGGGUAUCCAUGAAGUGGAGGCUCAAGAGAGAGAAUCUUCAAAGGUGAGGGAAGUCAAAGCAGUUAUCACCUUGAGGAGUGGUAAAGAGGUUGAUCAACCCACAUCCAAGCCAAAGCAUAAUGAAGAGAGUUUUGUAGAAAAAGAAAAGAGAGGAAAAUAAAGGAAAGAGAAUAGAGAAAAGUACAAAGAAAGAUGACCAUGAGUCUAGUGUGGAUGAAGAGCCCAAGAGGAUAGUGAUCAAGGAAAAUAUGAUGAAGAAACACAUGCCUCCACCUUUCCCCUAAGCUUUGCAUGACAAAAAAGGAACCAAUAAUACAUCGGAAAUUUUUGAAGUAUUGAGGCAAGUGAAGGUCAAUAUCCCUUUGCUAGAGAUGAUCAAACAAGUGCCGACAUAUGCAAAAUUCUUGAAGGACUUGUGCACUGUAAAGAGAGGGUUGAAUGUGAACAAGAAAGCUUUCUUGACCGAGCAAGUGAGUUCCAUCAUACAGUGCAAGUCUCCAGUGAAGUACAAAUAUCCGGGCUACCCUACCAUCUCAGUGAGUAUUGGAGGUACUUGUGUGGAAAAAGCUUUGUUGGACUUGGGAGCAAGUGUGAAUUUGCUACCCUACUCUGUCUAUAAGUAGUUGGGACUUGGAGAGUUGAAGUCAACAUCCAUCACCCUAUCUCUGGCAGAUAGAUCAGUGAAGAUUCCAAGAGAGAUGAUAGAAGAUGUCUUGGUUCAAGUUGACAAAUUCUACUAUCCAGUGGAUUUUGUUGUUCUUGAUACGGAUCCGAUUGUCAAAGGAACUAAUUAUGUUCCUAUCAUACGAAGACCCUUCCUAGCUACAUCAAAUGCAAUCAUCAAUUGUAGGAAUGGAGUCAUGAAACUCACGUUUGUCAACAUGACAUUAGAGCUCAACAUCUUCCAUUUGUACAAGAAGCAUAUCCAUUCAGAAGAAAAAGAAGGUCUAGAGGAAGUGUGCAUGAUUGACACUUUAGUGGAGGAGCAUUGUGAUCGACAAUGCAAGAAGAUUUAGUUGAGAGUUUUGGGGAUCUUGAUGAAGGGUUACUUGAACCCUCAGAUUUGCUUGCUACCCUACUCCAUUGGAGGAAGAGAGAAGAAAUUCUACCCUUAUUCAAUGAGGAGGAGACACAAAGAGCUGCUAAAGAUAAGCCCCCAAAGCUUAUUCUUAAGCCACUACCCACAGAGUUGAAGUAUGCAUACUUGGAAGAAGACAAGAAGUGCACUGUUGUUAUAUCUUUAGCUCUUACCAUUCAUCAGGAGGAUUGUCUACUUGAAGUCCUUAGAAGAAGUAAGAAGGUAAUAGGGUGGCAAAUUUCUGAUUUGAAAGGGAUCAGCCCUUUUGUCUGCACCCAUCAUAUUUACAUGGAGGAUGAAGCUAAGCCAAUUCAUCAACCUCAGAGAAGGUUGAACCCUCACAUGCAAGAAGUGGUGAGAGUUGAAGUUCUUAAGCUACUUUAGGCUGGUAUUAUUUACCCCAUAUCAGAUAGCCCAUGGGUGAGUCCUACUCAAGUUGUGCCAAAGAAGUCGGGGAUCACGGUGGUGCAAAAUGAUAAGGGAAAAGAUGUCUCUACAUGUCUCACUAUAGGUUGGAGGGUGCGUAUCAAUUACAGGAGGUUGAAUGUAGUGACAAGGAAUGACCAUUUCUCGUUGCCCUUUAUUGAUCAAGUGCUUGAGAGGGUCUCUGGGCAUCCUUUUUAUUGUUUCUUGGAUGGCUACUCGAGGUAAUUUAAGAUAGAAAUUGAUGUUGAAGACCAGGAGAAGACCAUUUUCACAUGCCCAUUUAGAACCUAUGCAUAUAGGAGAAUGUCUUUCGGCUUAUGCAAUGCACCCACAACUUUCCAAAGAUGCAUGUUAAGCAUUUUCAAUGAUAUGGUGGAGCAUAUUAUGGAAGUCUUUAUGGAUGAUAUCACCAUAUAUGGAAGUGCAUUUGAUGAAUGCUUGGUCAACUUAGAAGUUGUUCUGAACCGAUGCAUUGAGAAAGACUUAGUGCUUAAUUGGGAGAAGUGCCAUUUCAUGGUACACCAAGGGAUUGUCCUUGGGCACAUCAUCUCCAAGCAAAGCAUUGAAGUUGACAAAGCAAAGGUUGAACUCAUUGUUAAGUUGCCAUUCCCAACAAAUGUCAAAGGAGUAAGGCAAUUCCUUGGCCAUGCCGGGUUCUAUAGGAGGUUUAUCAAGGAUUUCUCUAAGCUUGCAAGGCCUCUUUGUGAAAUAUUGGUGAAGGAUGUUAAAUUCAUAUGGGAUGAUAGAUGCCAAAGGAGUUUUGAAGAAUUGAAGCUAUUUUUGACAACCUCACCAAUAGUGAGGGCUCCCAACUAGCAACUGCCCUUUGAGGUAAAGUGUGAUGUCAAUGACUUUGCUAUAGGAGCUGUUCUUGGGCAAAGAGAAGAUGGAAAACCUUAUGUGAUCUACUAUGCGAGCAAGACAUUGAAUGAGGUGCAAAGAAACUACAUAACCACCGAGAAAGAAUUGUUAGCUGUAGUUUUUGCCUUGGAUAAGUUUCGUGCUUACUUGGUGGGAUCCUUCAUCGUGGUUUUUAUUGAUCACUUUGCUUUGAAGUAUCUAUUGACUAAGCAAGAUGCUAAAGCAAAACUGAUUAGAUGGAUUUUCUUGCUUCAAGAGUUCAAUCUCCAGAUCAAAGACAAGAAAAAAAUGGAGAAUGUGGUAGUAGACCACAUUUCAAGGCUAGCUAUCGCACAUAAUUCCCAUGCUUUGCCCAUUAAUGACGAUUUUCUAGAGGGGUCUCUCAUGUUGGUGGAAGUUGUCCCUUGGUACGCUCACAUUGCUAACUACCUGGUCACAAGAGAAGUUCCAAGUGAGUGGAAAGCACAAGAUAAGAAGCACUUCUUUGCAAAAAUUCAUGCCUACUAUUGGGAAAAGCCAUUUCUAUUCAAGUAUUGUGCGGAUCAGAUAAUAAGGAAGUGAGUUCCUGAAGAAGAGCAACAGGGGAUCCUCAGUCAUUGCCAUAAAAAUGCAUGUGGAUGCCACUUUGCUUAUCAGAAGACAACCAUGAGGGUGCUGCAAUCGGGUUUCUGUUGGCCAUCACUUUUCAAAGAUGCCCACACCAUGUGCAAGAGUUGUGAUCGAUGCCAGAGGCUUGGGAAGUUAUCAUGUAGGAACAUGAUGCCUUUGAACCCCAUUUUAAUAGUUGAUCUUUUUUAUGUUUGGGGCAUUGACUUCAUGGGACUUUUCCCUAUAUCUUUUGGCUACUCUUACAUCUUGGUGGGAAUAGAUUAUGUUUCUAAGUGGGUUGAGGCAGUCCCAUGCAAACACAAUGACCAUAGAGUGGUUCUCAAGUUUCUUAAGGAGAACAUCUUCUCAAGAUUUGGGGUGCCCAAAGCCAUAAUUAGUGAUGGGGGUACUCAUUUUUGCAACAAGCCUUUUGAAACUCUCCUAGCCAAGUAUGGGGUGAAGCAUAAGGUAGCUACACCUUACCACCCUCAAACUAAUGGGCAAGUUGAGUUAGCAAACAAGGAGAUUAAAAACAUAUUGAUGAAGGUGGUGAACACAAACAGAAAAGAUUGGUCAGUCAAGCUCUUCGAUUCACUAUGGUCAUGUAGAACAGCUUACAAGACCAUUAUCGGGAUGUCUCUUUAUCACCUAGUCUAUGGAAAAAAUGCCAUCUCCUUGUGAAAUUGGAAUACAAAGCUUGGUGGUCAAUCAAGAAGCUCAACAUGGAUUUGAGCAGAGCUGGGUUGAAGAGGUUCUUAGACCACAAUGAGAUGGAGGAAUUGAGAAAUGAUGCCUACAUCAAUUCAAAAAUUGUAAAAGAAAAAUUGAAGAGGUGGCAUGAUCAGUUGAUUUCCCGCAAGAAUUUUCAAAAUGGAUAAAGAGUCUUGCUCUAUGACUCUAAACUCCACAUCUUUCCGAGCAAGCUGAAAUCAAGGUGGAUAGGUCCUUUUACCAUUCACCAAGUGCAUUCAAAUAGAGUAGUGGAACUACUCAACUCCAACAACAUCGGGAGCUUCAAAGUGAAUGACCAUUGUCUCAAGCCCUUUGUAGAGUCUUUUUUCUCGCGACAAGGAGGAAUUCAUCCUCCUUGAUCCACAUCAAGCUUGACAAGACCAGUUUUUUUUUAUGGACUUAGUCUUUCUAAAGACUAUCGAGUCCAUAACUUUUUAUUUUAUUUUUUAUUUGAGAGUUUUUCGGUAUUAUUACUUGUUUUGUUUUUUAUUUUUCGUUUUACUUUUAUUUGGUUUGAUUUAACUUAGAUUUUUUAUGAUCAAUUGCAGGGGGGAUUUCAAAUAGAGGAAAAACCAAGAUAAUUCGCACACCCUGCGAAAAUUUCGCAAGGCAUGCGAAAUUUAUGGCUCAUUUCGCAUGGGAUGCGAAAUUUCGCACACCCUACGAACCAAUUUCGCACACUUUGUGAAAAUAAACCAACCCUACGAAAUCAUUUCAAAUACUCUACGAAAUUUUCGCAGAGCAUGUAAAAAAUUUCGCAGACCAAACACCAUUUCGCAUACUAUGCGAAAAUGUAAGGGGUCUACAAAACCAUUUCGCACCUCCAAAGCCAUUUCGCACAUUGUGCAAAAAUGAAAAGUCGCCCUAUCAUCCAUUUUUAAACCCCUUGAGCCCUGAAAUCCCCAUUUCGCAAGCACCCCUGUCCUUGCGAAUCCCUCAUUUUCCUCUGCCACCUUGCGACCUUGUCCCUCUCCAUUUGAUAUCGUGCCCUGCGCACAUCUCAUUUCAAAGACUCGCACUCUGCGCCCUCUCAAAGCACGAACCCAAGGCUCACAUUCCAUUUCCGACAUGGCACAGACCCGAGGAGCCCUUCCCGCCCCUUCAUCGAGACGCACACCAAGGUAGAGAGCCUCUUUUGCUCAGAUGCCAAGUGAUUCUCCAUUUCAGGCCACGGAGGCCCUGCGGAUUCCACAUUCCAAGGGUAGAACAGCCACUGGUCCUUCCUCUUCUAUUCCUCAGCGUAGAUAUGAGACGAGGAGACCACCUACUACACAAAGGGCGACUACUUCGCGCCAUGAGAAUUCGGUACGACACCCUCCUGCCAAGAGGGCCAGGACUUCAGGCCCAGGCGAGUCAUCCAAAGCUUCACAGCCUGAGCCUCCUGCAGAUUCCGAGGUUCCUACUGACAUAUCAUCGGAGUCUAUUAUCAAACGCCCGAUGCUCACAGCACCGCCCAUUGAGGGCAACUCUGAUUGUAGAGCGAGACCUUUCCACUUGGAGCUAUAUUUUAAUUAAGAGGCCAUGCCACAGCAGCCUGAGCUCCAAGACUCUUAUGGCUUACUACAGAGGUACCAUCUUGAGGACCUUAUGACUCCUCGUGAGUUCUUUUAUCCCAGAGUAGCACUAGACUUUUACCAGUCCAUGACUACUCGUGGCGUCCCGAGUCCUACCGCGAUGCACUUCACCAUUAAUGGACGUCAUGGUAUCCUCGAGGCCAGACAUAUUGGAGAGGCUCUACAGAUUCCUUUCGAGCUAGAGGACCCAUCUGUUUUCUGCCAAUGGUCCCCAAUAUCUCAGAGGGACAUGGUCCAUAUUUUAUCCAGGGGGACAUCUACAUAUUCGAUCCUUCUACGGAAGGAGCUUCGACCUGGGAUACUCCUCGUAGAUGUGGUGCUACUUUCCAACCUCUUUCCCUUUUAGCAUUCGAUACAUAGGCGAGGAGCUAUUUUGGACGCUUUAUUCUGUAUAUCAGAGGGCUUCUACUUUGGCCCGCACCACUUGAUCAUGGUUUCCCUCAUCCAUUUUGAGGAGAAGGUCCAUAGAAAGAAGCUUCAGAGGGCGAACACCAUUCCAUUACUAUUCCCGAGGUUGCUCUACUAGAUCUUGGAGUACAUGGGCUUUCCUACUGAGCCUCGGCUUGUGUGCCGCCGCCUUUGUCAAGAGCGAUCCACUCUCGACAAAUGGAAUCAGUUGGCGGGCUAUUCUACACCUCCAGGAGCCCCUCCCAUGGUAGCACCUCUAGUGUCCCCACAGGCAGAGUAGGGCAAGCUCCCGGUAGAGACUGCACCCCUAGUGCCCACACCUGAGGCUACUUCUGCUGUUCCGCCUACGACUCCUACUGUUCCACCAGUUGGUCCUUUUACAUCUGAGUCUUCCAUCAACAUCUCGACUUCGGAGUUUCGCGCCCUUGUGCAUACCUUUCAGACACUCACCACCACACAUACUGCUCUCUUCUAGAAAAUGGCUGAGAUGCGUGCCCAUCAGGACCAGCAGACUACUAUACUCCGCCAAAUUCAACAGCACCUGGGACUUCUGCCUCUGCCUCAGCUUGACCUUCCCACAUCAUCAGAGCCUCUAGCUCCAGUUGAGGAUACUAUUCCACCUGAGGACACUACCACAGUAGAGGUUCAGAUUCCACCACCUCAGGAGGCCACCACAGCUACAUUAGAGGAUGCAUCAUCUCCACCUGAGGCUCCCACUACUUGAUCAUAGGACAUCUCUUUAUCUUAUUGUAUUUACAUAUUAUAUUACUGGAGAUUUGUCUUUGUUUUGAUACUUUAUAUUCUGGCAUUGAAUGUAUUGCCUAAUGAUAUCUCAAUUGUACUUUCUCAUAUUAAUAUAUAGACAUCAAUUUUUUUUAGUAUACUUAGGAUUUUUCUAUUUACUCUACUCAUUACUCUUUUGUUUUUUUUUUUUUACUCAUGUGGUUUCUCCUAUACGACUCAGACUCCAUUUCACUCAGGAGGUACCACUUCUUCCCUUUAUUUUCAAUUGCUCUUGAAACAUUGAGGGCAAUGUUGAUCUUGGUUGGAGGGAGAGUUGAGGAAGGAAGUGAUUACUACUCAAAAAGUGCUAUUUCAUAGCUUGUAAUUAACUCUUUUAAAACACUUUUGAGUAGUAGUUAUCACCUUUUAACCCAAUUAACAUAUUAAGGACCCUUGCAAUCAAUUCUAAUCAAAUUGUGUUAAGUUUUGGUAUUUUGAUAGCUUUUUUAUCACCAAAGCAAUCCGAGAUUGAGGAUAUUUAUUUGGAAUCCAUGGCAAAAGAUGUUUGGACAGGACGUCCGGACACACCAUCGGAGGGCGGCGGAACGUGGGCUGUGGCAGGCUGUCGGAAUGACGUAGCAAGGCUUGUGCACUUUAGCCAAUGAUCGGGAUAACAUAUCCGAAAUUCUGCUCCGCCGACAUUCCACCCGGAUGUCUCACAUCCGGAAUUCUGCUCCGCCGACAUUACACCCAGAUGUCUCACAUCCAAAAUUCUUCUCCGUCGACAUUCCAUCCGAAUAUUUCACAUCCGACGCUUGACGCCGGAUGGGAGAGGAGGGCGUUUCAACUUCCCCGGUCAGACAUAUCCGAAUCCUUUGAUAACGCUUACCCGGAGAGUUUCGCAGCCAUUUUGCACAGUGCCGCGGUGUUCUCUUGAAGCUUCCCGAUAUGUGCGACCGACAUUUUGAGAUAUUUUGCUUUAGAUAUUUGAUGUCUAAAUCCCCAAACUCUCCUUGUAACCCACCAAUUAUAGGAUUCCUUAGUUAUUAAGUUUGGAAAAAUGGUGAAUAACCCCUUAUAUAUAGUUUGCAAUUUUCAUAAAAAAGAUAUGUAGAAUCUCGGGAGCUUGUUCCCAGAGAGACGCAUCCUUUGUACAGUUUUGGAAGGAAGUAAAAUACAGAGCACUUGCUCUGCUUUUCAUAUAUAUUUUUGUUUUCUCGUUCUUUUUAUUUCUAGCCAAUCAAAGUCUGAGGAUUUUUCCUCAGAGGAUGAGAGGCUAGGCUCUUCGUCUCUUGGAGUGAAGAAAACUAGGUAAGUUUCCACAUGCAUAAAUUGAAAGUUUUGUUGUUUUAGUUUUUAAUGAAGAGAAAGUGUGACCCGUUAAUGGUUUUUAUCUUUUUAGUUAACUUAAAACGCCUUUAAAUCACCCGGGCCAACACUUGAUAAGGCAAGUGGUCUCCAUCCAUUGAGAUGCACUAGUUUAUCUCUUGCGAGCCUUUGGGAGGUGGUUUGAAGGUAGGAUUUUCUAGAAUAACCAACACUUGAUAAGCUUUUGGACUCUAAGGAGACAUCCAUUAGUUAUCUCUUGCGAGCUUUUGACGGGUAAUCCAAGGUUAAAGAUCACCUUGAAUGGCAAGUACUAGGUGAGAGGUAUGAGCCAUUGCAAGAUGCAUUAGUGAGAGGGAUUUAGUGUUUGAACCCAUUAAAGGGAAGCAUCUGUACCACACCGGUUCGGGAAAUAACUAUAUGUUAAAUCCCCAAUGAGAGGAAAAGAAACAAGUGACCGGAACUCCCUUUUUGUAUAAGGAACCUGAGCCUAGUGAUCUAAACUCCAAGAAACACUUUUCUUUGUAAGUAAAAUCAGUUACUAUUUUUGGUUAGUUUAAAACCAAACCUUUUUCAUUCAAACAUCUUUAUGUUUUCUUUUAAAGCUAACCUUGAAAUGAAAAGGCACCAAUUCAUAUUUGAAUUAAUAUCAAUUGUGAAGUGAAAACCCAUCCCAGUGAACGAUCCUAGAGCCACUAUGCUAUAGUAGCUUUGUCUUUGCUACCCUAGUUCAUGGUUUAAUAGGUUAUAAAUUUUGUUGAUUACUCCCACAAUCAAAGGAGCACCAGUUGGACAUGAAUCAACUGAGACACUAAUUGGGCACAAAUCAGGAAGUUUUGUUAAUAAUGCUAGGUUAAUUUGUUAAUUUAGUUACUUUCUGCUUAAUUUUAAAAGUUUUCACUUUACUUUCCAUAGUUAUUAAGGAAAAAUUCUCAAAAUGAAAUGGGAGAAAUUGAAUUCUUACAUUUUUACUUGAAUUUUAGAAUUUGUAUUAUGCUUAUUGAAGCUGAUGAAUUAUUGAAACUCCUAUUGAAUUCAACCUUAUUUCUUCCACUUUAAUCUUACCACACACGGUGCACAUUAGGUUCCGAUUAUAAGAGGUGCGUUCUUAGCCUAUUGGAGGUUGGUCAAUUUGUUAAAGUUUGAGAAAGAUCUAGGUUAGGGGAGAGAGAAUAGUCUGACAUACUAUAAUCGAAAACUAAUAAACUUAACACUUAGAUCUUUGUGGAAGAGUAAGGAUUGGACCUUUGGGAGUGGAAAUUCGUUUGAUGCUUAAAUUUGCAUAAUGCUUACACUUUAUAAAUUGUGAUUAGGCAAGAGAUUUGAUGACUCUUGUUCAAGGUUGGGUUUUGCCUCUUUGAUGUUCCAUGAGAGAGUAUAAUCCUCAUCAUGCCACUUGAAAUUUUUUUUGGAGUGAUUAACAUGAUUUUGUAAAUUACUUUACUGUCUAUUUUUUUUUUAUCUCUCCUUCAUUGCUAAUGGACUAGCAAUAUGUCAGUUGAGGGGAGUGAUUACUACUCAAAAAGUACUCUUUUAUAGCUUGAAACUAACUGUUUUGAACACUUUUGAGUAGUAGUUAAUACCUUUUAACUCAAUUGGCACAUUAAAGAACCUAGCAAGGGUUACUAAUUAGUUUUUGGCAAGUUUUGGUGUUUUUGGUAGCUAUUUGAUCAUUGAAACAAGCCAAGAAUGAGGGAGAAUUUUGUGAAGUCCAUGGCAAUGCAAGUUAAAGCUCAAAUACAUGAAGAAUCCAAGCUUUGGAGCACUUCAUAGCCCUUUCCAAAGCCAAUCAGAGAUGCAAGGAAGAAAACCAGAGGAAGAAAUCCAACAAUUAGCAUUUUCGCAUGGCUGUGCGAAAUUUCGCACACCAUGCGAAACCACAAGAGGCAGCCAAAGAAUUUUGCACACUAUGCGAAAUUUCGCAUGGUAUGCAAAAUCUUCUUGUGCACCAACUCCGUUAUAUUUUUAUCUCAAAUAUUUUGUGUAAUUUCCUAGUUUCUCCUUGUAACCAACCUAGAUAUUUUCUUUUAUAUAUUUUUUAGGUAACAUCAUCUAUAGGGGGAGAGACAUAAGGAGGAUAUGGAUGUUUUUCAUAGAACACUUGUAAAUUUCCGGUAGUAAGAAAUAUACAGAGCUUUUUGCUCUACCUUACCUUCUCAUUUUGUUUUCACUUGUCUUUCUAGCCAAACAACCUCUGAGGAUGAUUUCUUAGGGAAUGAGUGGCUAGGUUUUACGUUUCUUGGAGUGAGGGAAGCUAGGUGAAAGACCCGAAUGCUAAGGUGGGAGUUGUCCUUGCUUUAAAUGAAAGUAGUUGUUAAACAUUAAUGGUUUUUAUUUUAAGGUUUAGCUUUAAAUCCCUUAAAAACAUCUUGAAUGGUCAAUACUUGGUAGGCUUUUUGGAUUCUAUGGAUGCUUAUUGCUAGAUCCCUGGAUGUCUAUUAGUUAUCAUUUAUGAGCCAUUGGAAGGUGGUUCAAGAUGAGGGUCUUUAAUGUUUGAAGCCAUUAAUAGGAAACAAUUACCAUUCUUUCAUGAAUCCUUUGGAUCAAAUCUUAAUUGCUAAAUAUAAAACUAGUUCGGGAGAUAACCAUCCUUUAUGUUAUUAUGCCCAACGCGAGGAGAAGAUUCGGAAUCUUCCCCUUUGUCUAAGGAACCCGAUCCUAGUGACCUAAAGCUCUAAGAGACCUUUUCUUUAUAGUUAACUUCACUUAUUGUUUUUUCUUAACUUAAAAUCAAUCUUUGCAACCACAAUUCCAUUUUCUUUGAAAGCUAAUUUUCAUAAGGAAAAUCACCAUUUUAUUUUCUUCCCUAAGUCAACUGUACGAUGAAAACCCAUUCCCAUGGACGAUCCUAGAGCCACUAUACUAUGUUAGCUAUGCUACCCUAAUGUGAGGUGAUUUAGGUUUUAUAAAUUUUGUUGAUAACACCUGUUUGAGCCAGAAUCAAAUGGCGCAACUGAACCAGGGACGAAUCAACAACUUAUAUGGGAGGGACACAAGUUUAAUUGAUUUGCAUUUCAACGUUAUAUAUAGGUAUGUUUUGGAAGAUUUGUUCUGGAAAUACUGCACCAAGUACGAUUCUUUUUGUCUUGAGUGGGUCUACUUGCAUGCCAAUUAACGAGUGGAAAAGUAGGAGCACCUACCUCAUGCUCGCGGAACCGAAGGUCAGUGAAGUGGGGCUCCUUUUGGCCUCUUGUGUUUCUAUUCCAACCAAGGCGGCGUAAGGAAAAACAACAAUAUGUUUGUGCUAAAUAUCAACGCAUGAUAGAUGUUUUUGUUUUUUGGUAUGUCAAGGCUAAUGAAUGAAAUGCUUUAGCUUGUUUUGUGACUGGAACUGCAAAUGUCCAAAUUGGAGUAUCUCCAUUUCUCACUUCGGAUGGUUAACUUAUAAACAAGAUAUAGGAAACAUGUGAACAUCUUGAGGAACAAUUUGAAUUAUUCAUUAGAAGUCCUGGGUUGAGUUCCAAGAUUUAAAUUAGACCCCUCUAGCAGCUUCAGGGGUACCUAGCAACCUAUAGCAUAUUAAUGAAGAUUUAGGAUUUAGACUCUAGAAUACAAAUUAAUAUGUAUCUCAUGCUUUGACUAGCUUCCCUACAUAUGCACAAAAUGGAGAUGACCUAAAAAAAUAGCAGAAUCUAGCUUCCCUACAUAUGCACAAAAUGGAGAUGACCCAAAAAAUAGCAGAAUUUCCUUAGUUUCUGUGGUUAAGGUGAUUCUCCGCUUAAUAUCACAUUGACUCAUUAUGCAAAAUCAACUGAGCUAAUUUUGUUUAUUUAUUUAAUGUCAAAUAGGAACUCCUAAUUAACCUAACCCUUGGCCUGUGUAAAUUGAUUUCACAUGCCCAAUGUUGAAGUAGAAGUCCAUAUUUUGAAUUUUAUUUUUGUAAAGGUAAGGAAAAUGAAGCAUUGUGUAAUUAUAAAAAUAACUUCAUUGGAAUUCACAAGGUUCACCCAAAAUGGAGCUACAUCCGUAUUCUAUCCUGCAGUAGACUAUAUAGAUUGUACAAUAGUAAAUUGCAAAUACAAUUAAUAAGUCUUGUGCUUCCUUACUAAUAAUCCUUUGACAUGAACAUUGCAGCACUAAGGUCCUCUUGGGAAGACACCUUGCACCCAUGAGAGCACGAAGAGGAAGCAAGGCAGAGUCAUGGGUGCAAUGUCAUGACUUGUUGUUGCACCAAGAGAGGCUUGGUGAUGGCAUGGUGUUGCAGUAGCAAGAAUGUUGCCUUGGUAGGGACAUAAUCUAGGGAUAGAUGCCAAGAAAGGCUUAGCACUCACAUGAGUUGCACAAAGAUGAAUGUAAUAGAGCAUCAGAGAGACGUCUUGGCAAGUAAAUGAAUGGAUCCAAGAGGCAACAACAUGAGGAGUUUCAAAUGGAUAAGGAAUGAGUCAAAGACAUUUGAAAGCUACAAGUUGGAUUCUAAUUACGAUUGCAAUUUGAGUUUGAGUAGGAGUUUAGAUUCUGAUUGUAAUUGUAGUAUGAGUUGGACUAGGAUUGCUUAUCCCUAGUCAAAAUAGGAGUGGUUCGUGUCACACCCUAUGAAAAGAGUUUGAGUAGGGACUAGGAUUGCUUACUCCUAGUCAAAUAUGGAGUAGGUGGUGCCACACCUAUAAAAAAAAAGGGACAACAUGAGAGAGAGAGAGAGAGAGAGAGAGAGAGAGAGAGAGAGAGAGAGAGAGAGAAAGAGAUAAUGAAUUCACUAAAGAUAUUGUGGGAGUUUUUCUUUGUUACGUCUUGUAUUAUUACUUAGAAUAGGAAUAAAAUACAAGUUUGGGCUAGAGCCCCAUAAUUAAUCUCGUGUGCCUUUGUGGUUAUUCUUUAUUUGUCAUCUCGUGUGGAUUGGAUUACAUUGACUUAGAGGGCUUCUAAGCACCACCUUUGUGGGUUAUUAUUUAUUUUCCAUUUCUUGUGGAUUAGAUUAGGUUGACUUUGAGGGCUUUUAAGCACCACCUUUGUGGGUUAUUCUUUAUUUUCCAUAUCGUGGGGAUUGGAUUAGGUUGACGAUGAGAAAAAUUAUGUGGGAAAUUUGUGUUGGGACACUUAUCAUAACCAGGUAAAAUCUGCCAAGUCCUUUGUAAUAUCUUCAACAAAUAUUUCAGACUAGUUCUUCACCAUAAACAUCAUAUUGUGUUUUGUUUUUCUCCUGGAUUCUGAGUUGAAUUGUUUCAAGUCAAUUGAAUGCAUCUGAAUAUUAUUAGCUUGUUUGAAGGCCUGGUGAUUUUCCAUUUAACUUUACUUUCUUUAGGUUAUGCUCACUAUAAGAAAAAUGAGAAAUAAUGACGCUUUUUACGCGUUAAGAAAGGCAACAGAUGAUGCUUCUCUAAAGCGUCCUCUUCGGCUCUGUCAUUAUAUGUGUUAGCCAAUAAUGACGCUUCUAGGAAGUGCCAUCUUUGAAUAAUGUUAAUAACGACACUCGUAAAAAGUGUCAUCUUUAAACAUAUUCUGGUCAAAUAAUUUUUACAAAAUUAGUAAUCUUCAAGCCGUUUCUGAAUCAUAUCUGAGCCUAUUUCUGGGGACCAGAAAACCAUCUUUUUUCCAUUCGCCUGAGAGGUCUGAUUAGCAUUUCUGGAAUCAAUCUCUAAACCCAAGCUUCCCUCAUCUACCCAUUUAACCCUCAUGCCCUCCUGUUUGAACAACUUUCCCACUAUAUACACAAAUUUUUUACCUUCUGUUGUUGGUAUUCGACCUCUUCCCAUUCCCAGCACAGAAUCCACCAUUAGUGCCACUUUGUGAAUAAAAUCAUCGAACCAGAUCUUUCGGGCGGAAGAUGAGCUCCAGAGAAAUAAAAUUUUUGGGGUCUUCCCAGCAUGAAAGUCAUAGGUAGCAUUAAUGACAUCAAGAAAUGGGGCACUGUUGAGAAAAAACAUGUUCCCAUCAACCACCCAAGAAUUGUACCAGACUCCAAACACUUCUGGAUUACAUAUGCCUUUACUAAGAUAUAUUUCUUGAUCUCCAUAUCAGAAUCUUGGAGACUCUUCAUUUUAUGAGCUCUGACACUACUGUGAAAUUGGUCCACAUCAAUCACAGGAUGACCCCUUCUAGCAAGAUCAAGCAGGAAGUCUGAAUUCGGGCCCAUAAAAAUGUAGUUCUGAAUAUUGAAACUCUCAAAGUGGCACAACAAAUUCCUUAUGACUCUUUCAGAUGCUCCAAACAGGCUCACAAGUAUAAUGGUAUCCUGUUUUUGCACAGAGUAAAGAAAAUAUCCGAGUUCUUCAAAACUCCUUACAACUAUUCCAGGAUGUACUUCUUUGAAACAGAAAUCGUACCACUUUAGCUUAGUCAGAGGUUGAAUCUAAAAUAACAAAACCCAAACUGAAAUCAAAAUCGAAAUCAACCCUAAUAGAUUUCAGAAACAACAAAUUAAAAGAGUAAAGCACAAAAGGGGGAAAACACAUAUGAAGCAAUCUCCAUACAAGCCCUAACCUUAGAUAAACCCAAAAAAAAAAAUCAAAGCAGAGAGUUACCAUAGAGCAUCUCUGUUUCAAGCUUAGAAAAUGUUUAAUGCCAUUGAUAACUAGUUGGCUAGUGGUGGACUUCAAGCUUCUCUAUUUCGGUGUUAGUAGCUCUCAAUGGCUAUGGUGAGAACAAAGAAAUGAGAGGCUUAGGGUUUGGGAUGUGAGGUUAUUGAUGAUGAUGAGGAUAAAGUUAUGGGCUCUUGGAGGGGUUAGGGAAAUUGAAGAUGGCUGAGAGUAAAGGCUAGGGUUUUUGAGAUAGUUAAUAGCUUUUUAGGGUGUGACUGUCCAUAGAUAGAAGAUAAAUGAGGGUGUGAGAAUUUAUAGAUCUCUAGGUGAUAUGGCGGGUGUGAGAAUGAAAUUUUAGAGGGAAUUGUGUGUUUGGUAGAAAUUUCACACAUGCAUAUAUAAUGUUUCAGAACAUGGCACUUUAAAAAUACGACAAGGAAGAAAUUAUUUAUUGACGCUUAAAUAAAGCGCCAAGGUCUCCAACAUUUUUGCAAUCAAUGACGUUUGUAAAAGGUGCCAUUGAAUAGGAGUGCCAUUGCUUUCCCACAAAGCAUCAUUGUUAAUCAAGCCUUUAAAAAACGCCAAGAUAUGUUGCCACUUAGGUUAAAUAUUGACGCUUUUAAAAAACGCCAAGGAAAAAAACGUCAUUAUUCAUGUUUUUUGUAGUAGUGGCUUGAUUCCUAAAAAGUAAAGGAAAGCAAAAAGUAAAAAAAUAAAAAUGUGGAGAGUUAGGACAUGCGUUAUCUAAUUGUCCUAGUCCCAAAUAUAUUAAGAAAGUCAUGUAGGUUACUUGGAGUAACGAGUCAAGUAAAGCAAGCCUUCUAGUGUUUAAGACAUUAGAUAUUACCGAACUGAUUAUGUCAUUAAUGUAUUGCAUUUGUUGUUUCUAAUAUAUAGAAGAAGAUGAAAUUAUUGGAAUAAGUGGGAAAUAGGAAUAAAUCCAAGGUACCAAAAAGUCACUUUAUCUUAGAUGUUGUUGGAAACAUAAGUGAUUUCACAAUAACGACUAUGAGACAAUCAAGGAUUAAUAAGAUAGACUUUAUAUGAUAUACCUCCCAAUUAGAGCCUAAAAAUAUGGAUGAAGCACUUAGAGAUGAAUCUUCAAUUUUUGUACUAUAGGAAGAAUUAAAUCAAUUUGUUAGCUAUUCUUUGGAUAUUUGAUUCAUCACAAGCUACAAAUCACUUUUGAUGACCAAACACGAAACUAAGAGGAUUGGGCCCAAUUCGAUGCCUAUCAACAAUGAUUUGUAUUCCACCUCAUUAAUUAUUCAAAGUUGGGAAGCUAGGUCUAACCACUUUCUCUACCUGUUCACCCUUAGAGGAGCAGAAGAAAAUUCUAACUUUGGUGCCUAAUGCCUUUGACAAUCUUUCGACAAAGAGAGUUCACUAAUUACUUUGAUUAUUUCUCUGUUGGUCACUGGGGGACAAGACUUUUGUAAUGAAGUCAACUAGAACUUGCCCUUUGAGGGCCAUUCAUGGACGAUAUUACACCAUGAAUUCCCUUAGGUCAUGUUUGGUAUGUGAGAAUGAGGAGUGGAAUGGACAUCUUAUUCAUUUUUUCAUCUAUUCAAAUGUUGGGAUAACUCAAGUGACCAUGAGAAUGAAAUCAAGAAUGAUUCAAGGGAAAUGAAAUCUUACUUAUAAGUGUGAUUUCAAUUAAUCUCUAAUAGAAAUUAUUUUGAAUCAAUAGUGCAAGUUAUUUUUAAAAACAUUUUUCCAAAAUUAAAAAAAUCAAUUUUUUUUUUUUCGAUAAGUUGUUUUUAAAAGGAUUUUUUUUAUUUUGUAAAAAGAAAAUUGUAAUUCAAUUUAUAUAAUAUAAACUAAAUUUUAUUUUAUUCAAAAAGAAAUAAUUUUUUAAUUAUAAAUAAAUUAAAAAUAAAUACUUUUAAUAAAAUAUAAAUAGUAUUAUUAUAAUAAAAUCAUAAAUAAAUUUAAUUUUUUUUAUAAAUAUUAUAAAAAUAUGGAUAUUAACAUUGGAUAAUUGAUUUAUUUUGUUAAAAUAAAAAAUAAUAAUUUUUAAUAUUAUUUUAUGUUAAAUGAAUUUUAAAAUAAAGAAAGUUUAAUUAUUUUAAGGUAUAGAAGAGCCAAAUUUUGCAUUACAUACAUAACAAACAAUAUUUAUUAGAAACAUUUCUCAAGGAGAAUCUUAUUCCAUCUCACAAAGAUACUCGUUUAUUCGAUGUUUGACCAUCCGUAACAAUCAUGUCAAUUCUACUGAUUUAAUAAUUCCUUUACAUUUAUUACUCACUUAUGAACAUGGUAUUGUGAUUUAUUUAUUUAUUUGAUGUAUAAUUAAUUAAUCAAUUUUUUAAAUUUCAAAUUAUUUUUAAAAACUAUUCAUUAAGGAAUUUAAAGCAUUAAUUAUGUCUAUUAUUUUUUAUAGUCAUUAUAUAUAUAUUGAGUUUUAAUUUAUUUUUAAAAAUUAUUAAACUUAUUAAUAAAUUCAAUAUAAAGUCUCGUUUCAUUUGAAAUUCAUUUCUUUAGUGAAAAUUUUGAAAAAAAAAUUGUUAUUUAUUUUACUUUGUUUUAAAAAAAUUGUUUCUAGAGAACAAUAAUCAAAUAAUGGUAUGAAUUUUUAAAAACAAUUUUGUUUUUAAAUCAUAUGCCCAAAUAAUUUUUUUUUAUUUAGCAAAAAACUUUGUUGUAGUAUGUGGCUCAUAUUGAGGGAAAGACAUAUAUGGAGAAAAAUGUGCAAAUGUUGGAGUGGAGCGGAGUGGAAUGACGACAUUUGUCAUUCAAACUUGUAUUUUUAUUGUUAAGGGUGACCGAUAGGUUGGUACGGUUUAGGGGUAUUUUUGGAAUUUCAUUACCUGAGGGUUAGUAUAAAUACCAUUUUAUGUAACCCUAAUUUUACAUAUAAUGUAAGUUUUCUUCCUUGUUCUUGUGGACAUAGGCAAUCCGUCGAACCACGUUAAAUCUGUGUGUUUUUUUUUCUUUUUUCUUUUUCUCUAAUUUCUUCACCAGGAAUCGUUACACUAAGAUCAACAAACUCUCAAAGAUGAUUUUUAAAAUGAAAAAAAUAAUGUAUAGUGUGAGAAUUUUUUAUUUUUUAUUUUUUUAAAAUGAAAAUAAAAAAUUGCUUUAAGGUAAAAGUGUGGAUAUUAUUGUUAAUUUAUUUCAUUUUUCAUUUUCAUUUCCAUUGUUACCUACAAUUGAAAUGGAAACAACUAAUCAUUACAACCUUACAUUCUUAUAUGCAUCCAAAUACAAAAAUUGAAAUCACCAAAUUCAUAUUCAAGGCAAAAUAGGAAUGAAAACAAAUAUUCAUUCUCAUUCUUUAUUCCCACGUGUCAAACAUGACCUCAAAGUUAUAAACAUGAACAAGAAGUCCUUGAAACACCAAUGAUCUCUUCUGGUAUAUAUAUGAGCUUGAUUGACAACUGUUUUAAAUACAGUUUUUUUUUUUUUUGUUUUCAAAAUCAAAACAAAUUUAUUUUUAUUUUUUAUAAAUAGUAGUUUUUUAAUAUUUUUUUUAAACCUUAUUAUGAAAAUAGGAUGUUUUCUAAUAUCAUAUUUUAAUUAUUUUCAAUUAUUUUCCCUUCUUUUAAGGAGGGCUAUUUUAAAAAUAUGAAAAAUGAUACAAAAUAAAGCAUUACAAAUAAAAAUCAUUUUUAAGAAAUAUAUGAAAAUAAUUUGAGAACAUUUGAAGUUCCUUAAUUAAACUUUUGUUCUAGAAAAUGCAAGAAAACUGUUUUUGAAAAUUGUUUUCAUAAUGAUAUGCAUUGAUCGUUUAAAAUUUAAUUACAUGAUAAAAAGACCUAUGUAAAAACCAGAGUUAUAUAAUCAGUCAUAGAUCAAAUCUACUAAAUAUGAAAAGUAAGUACAUAGUUGUAUAUGACUUAGAUGGAGCCUUCUCCGAAUGACAUUCUUUAGUCGGUACUCAUAUUUUUUUGUUUCGUGUCUUCAACAUAACACCUCAUGAUCCUUAAUAAAUCACCUGAAAACUAUAUUAGCACCUUAUUGUUUAAUAUUUCUCUAAAUUUUUUUAUUAAGCAAAUAAAUUCCAAAUUUAAAAUGACAAAUAAAAUUUAUUAAUUUUUAAAAAUAAUUUAAAACUCAAAAACCAAUUUAAUUGAUAUUAAAAGUCAUGAAACUUAAUAAUAUUAGAAAGUCAUGUAUCCAAAUUUAUUUUAAAUGACUUGUUUAAUUUCUUGUUUAUAUAUAUUAUAUUUUUAUAAUUUUUUUUACUAUACAAAUAAAUUUUAAAUUAAACAAAACUUAAUGCGUUGAAUUCAUUAACGAGUCUAAUAAUUUUUAAAAGUUACUUAAAAUUUAAAUACUAAAUCAAUUAGUACCACAAAUUCAUGGAAAAAAAUUGAUUUAUUACUACUAUAUUGUUUCUCUAUUGCAUAGAACCAUUAUUUUUCAAUUUUUUCAUUUGGCAAAUGAACAUCAAAUUAAACAAGACUAAGUGUAUUAAAUUCAUUAAUGGGUCUAGUAAUUUUUUAAAAUAAUUUAAAAUUCAAAUAUUGAUACUCCAAAUUAAACAAGACUUAGGUGGUGUUUGUUUUUUGGUUGAAUAGAAAAAGGUAAAAUAUUUGACUUUUUCUAUUUAGUUAAAAGUAACUUGUUGACAUCGUCCAAUAUAAUUAAAGUAAACCUAUUGAGGGCAAGUUCACUUUAAUUAUGUUGGACGAUGUCAACAGGUUACUUUUAACUCAAUAGAAAAAAUCAAAUAUUUUGACUUUUUUUUUAACUCAAAUAAUAAAUCCAUUAAUACAAAAAAAUUAUGGAUAAUUUGAAACUUUCUUUCUUUUUUUUUUUUUUUUUGCUACACAUAGCUAUAUUUUUAUAAAUUUUAUCAUUAGAGAAAUGGAUUUCAAAUCAAGUGAAACUUUGUAUUGAAUUAAUGGAUUUAACAUUUUUUAAAAAUAAUUUGGAACUAAAAAAAAAAGAUUUAAUUACUAAGAAAAUCAUAGAUCAAAACUAAUAUAUUCUGAUCCAUGAUUUUAUUAUUUUUCCUAUACAUACAAUUAUAUUUUUAUAAUUUUCUCACUAGGUAAAGAUAUUAUAAAUUAAGUGACACAUAAUUAAUAAUUUAAAUUUUUGAAUGAAUCUUUUAAUUUUAGGAAUAAUUUGAAAUUUAAAAAGUUGAUCCAAUUAAUUGUAAAUUAACUUAAAAUAUUAUAAAAUAUUAUGUUCAUAAUUAAGUACUAAAUGUAUAUAUGUAAUGAAAACUUAACUAGUUACAUGUUACAAAAGCCAAAAUUUAUUCAUUCUUUAUUUUAAAUAAAAUAUUAUUAAUAAUUAUUUUUUUUAAAAUAAUAUUUAGUAAUUAUUGUUUUUAAAUUAUUAUUAUUAAUUUUUAAUAAAAAAAUUGCAAAGUUAUUAAUAUCAUUAUAUUUCUAACAUAAAUUUAAAUAGUAUAUUUUUUAAUAUAUAUAUAUAUAUAUAUAUAUAUAUAUAUAUAUAUAUAUAUAUAUAUAUAUAAUUUAUGAUUUCAUUAUAAUAUUUUUAUUCAUGAUUGACGAAAAAUUAUUUAUUGUUUAAUUUAUUUGAAUUGCAAAACUAUUUUUCAAAAUUCAAGCGAGAAAAUAGGCCUGGAUUUGAAUUUCCUGUAGAAGAGAAGGAUGUGGAGAAUAUGUUGGGAGUAUUUGUGGAUAAAGAAAAGGCCAGGGUACUGAGAAAGGAGAGAGAACUUGCUCUUGCCAAAAGAGCCCUGCACAGGUAUUCUACUGAUUCUAAUUAUCGGUUCUUACAUGAUCAGAUUUCAGAUUUAUUUGCUGAGCUUCUGAAAUCUGAUACAGUAUUUAAACUCCGGUGAGCUUUACAAGAUUAGUCUCGCAUCCAAUUCCAAAUGGUGUCCCACAAUUGAUUCUUCUUAUGAUAAAUCCACCUUGAUAUGUGAAAAUAUUGCUCGAAAGGUUUAUCCUCGCGAGGAAUAUCCAGAAUACUAAGGAAUUGAGGAGGCUCACUAUGUUUAUAGAGUCAGGGAUAGGUUGAGAAAACAAGUAGUUGUUCCAUUACAUAAGGCCCUGGAGUUGCCAGAGGUUUUCAUGUGUUCGAACAAGUGGGGAUCACUUCCCUACAACCCUGUGGCUUCAGUGGCCAUGAAAUCAUACAAGAGCCUCUUCUCAAACCAUGAUACAGAGCGGUUUGGUGAGUAUCUUGAGAAAGUGCAAACUGGGAAGGCUAAGAUUGCAGCUGGUGCAUUACUUCCCCAUGAGAUUAUAGCUUCAUUGAAUGAGGAGGAUGCCGAGAGAGUUGCCGAGCUUCAGUGGGCAAGAAUGCUGGAAGAUUGAUCAAAGAAAGGGAGGCUCACAAAUUGCAUUGCAGUAUGUGACGUAUCAGGAAGUAUGAGUGGAACUCCAAUUGAGGUGUGUGUGGCUCUGGGGCAGUUAGUUUCAGAGCUCAGUGAAGAUCCAUGGAAAUUAAGGUAAUGUAAUUACUUUCAGUGCAAAUCCUGAGCUUCACAAGAUCCAAGGAGACAGCCUUGUAUCCAAGACUGAAUUUGUGAGGAUGAUGGAAUGGGGUGCCAACACUGACUUUCAGAAAGUUUUGACAGAAUCUUACAAGUAGCAGUGGAGGGAAAUAUGAGUGAAGAUCAAAUGAUAAAGAGGGUUUUCGUUUUCAGUGAUAUGGAGUUCGAUGAAGCUUGUGGGAGGUAUAACUAUUGUGACUAUGACUAUGAUAUGGAGGAAAUUGACGAGAGUCAGAAGGCAUCUCAGAAGUGGGAGACAGAUUAUGAAGUGAUACAGAGGAAAUUCCAGGAGAAAGGAUACAGAAAAGUUCCAGAGAUAGUGUUUUGGAACCUUAGAAACUCAUCAGCGACUCCAGUGACGGCCACAGAGAACGGGGUGGCCUUAGUAAGCGGGUUUUCAAAGAAUCUGUUGACCUUGUUUUUGGAAGGAGGUGGAAUUCUGAUCCCUCAGGAUGUGAUGGAAUUCGCCAUCUCUGAUGAAGAUUACAAGAAACUUGUUCUAUUUGAUUAAGAUAUCAAGAGAUUUAUCAAUAAUAAUAUAUUUUUUUUCUAUGUGAAAUACAUAUAAUAUUAACUGUGGAGUUAUCAAAGUUCUGGAGGUUUAAUUAUUUCUUCUUUUCAAGUUUUGUUUAUUUAAGGUUUUCUUUGUCUUUGUUAGGAAUUCCCCUUGGGUGGACCCAGCUGGGGAGUUGGAUUGAGGAAGUAAGCAGGCGAACUUGUGUUCUUCUAUGGACAGAGAAAAAAAAUAAAAUAAAAAAAUAAAAAAGGAGGUUAUUUGCAUUUGGAUGUCGUGGUUUGAGGGUACAACUACAAGCUCGAAAUUGUACAUAAUGUGAAAACUCCUGUGUCCAUUGCUGAGAACAGCAUAAAUGAUGGUGAUUUUCAAGUUGUGCCUGGUAUUCUACAGGAUGAAACAAGAAAGGAUCCAGGUGGUAUAUUGAACAAUAUCCCAAUCAUGUUGGUGGCAUCUUUAUUUAGUUAAUGGUAUUCAUUUGGUGGAAGCUGGUUGUUUAUGAUGUUUUUAAUUUUUUUUAACAUGAAGUUCGAUCAAAUACGUAUCUUAGUAUGUUUUGUUUGAGCUAAUUGGCAAAUGCGCUUUAAACAUGGUCACAUGGAUGCAGUUUUAUUUGUGAAAUGAUAAUAGUCGAUUACUUGGUCAGUAAGGUUUAUAUCUCUAACUUCAACAUCUUAUUGUAGUCUUUUAAAAUGUCAAAAGUUUAAUGCUUGAGAAAUUUUGGAAUGGAGACAUUCUAAACAAAGUUAAUAAUCCACAAGACUUGGUAAAACCGAUCAGAUGAUGCUUACGUACAUCAAUGCCUUCUUUAAGCCAUAUCCUAUUUUCAUUGAACGGGAUGUGCCAUCUAGUUUGGUUCUUUAAGCCUCCAAAUCCUAAACCUAGUCUCAAUUUAGAGCAAAUUUAGGGUGCAGGGCCUGCAUGCCUCCCCCUCCCCCUUCCACAAAUAGUAGUGACCUUGCUAUGCCUAUGCAUUGUCAAUGCCUCAUUUUCUAUGGUCUCCAAUGUAAUAUCUUAGUUUCAAUGUCUCUUUCCUUACUAUCUCCAAUGCAAUAGAUUGAUUUCAAUACCUCUUUACAACUAAGACCUCCAAAUUUUCUUGGUUCAAACCUACCAGAAUUUUUCUUCUCCUUUGCUUUCUAUCAAUAUUAGUUCCCCUAAUUUAAUAUAUACUUCUUUAUUACCUUCAACUCUACCUCUCUUUCUUUCUCUAAAAGCUUCCUCAAAGAUUUAAUUGCUUUCUUGCAUGUUUUAAGAAAACAAACAUGCUCAUAUUACAUUACCUCUACUUGAGAUCUACCUUAUACUCUACCUUCUUUCUUUACCUCCUAUAUCAUCUACUACAUUAGCUUCAAAAAUAUUAUUUAGUUUGAUACUAAAUAAGGCUCCUAAUCCUACUCUUCCUUCAACAAACUUUCUUUUUACAAGUUCCUUAAACUUUAUUUUUUAUUUUUUAUUUUUUGGAAAUUCGGGUUAGAAAGAUUCCAUUACUCUUACCUAAUAUUUCAACCAUCAAGUUGAAUCCACUUAUUGCCUAAAUCCAAGGAGUCUGCCCUCCACAAAAACAAGGAAAUUGAUCCCACAAUAACAAGGAGAUUGCCUUCCACAGAAACAAAGAGAUCUCCCUUCACAGAAGCCGAAUACAUUGCAAUCUAUUUUCUUUCUUGUAAGAUCAAAUCUUCAAUCGAGCUCCAUCUUAUGGGGGCAUAUUAGAGAAAUUUAAUAUUAUCCUUAAUUUACAUAUUAAUAUUUAUCUAUUUAUUAUAUAUUGAAUUAAAAUAGAAUAUAGAAUUUGAAUCAUAGUAGAAGUUUACUAUAAGAUUGAAUUACAAUAGUUAAUAGAGUUUAAAUUAUAAUAACUCAAAUACAUUUAUAUAUAUUUGACCUUACGAGAUUUUCUAUUUAUGUAUUUGAACUACAAUCCUUAUGAUCCUUAGGUCUCUAUACCUUCGUGAUGGGCUCCUUGACAUUUCAUAGGUUGUGCUACACAUGCAUUUGAAAUUUAGAGUGCAUUUGACAGUGAUUCUGGGAAGUGUUUUUGGCAUUUCUAACACUUAAAAUUUUUUAUUUUUCAAGUAUUAGAAAUGCUACAAACACUUUUGAAAAUUACUGUCAAACACACUCUUAGGAGCGCAUAUAGUAGAAAACUAGAAAUUGUGGUUUUUUUAGGAUUUACUGUAAUGUCAUUAGGAGGGUAGUAAGUUGAAACUGAGUAUGAAUAAAUAUUUCUUUCUUUGGGAUGUUCUUCUGGUAGGUGCUGAUGAAACUGUUCUUUUUACUGCCAAUGUCACAUAUCAGCCAGAAAUUGAAAAUUUCAGUCAAGGUGUCCUCGGUUUUAGUGGUGAGGAAAGCUAGAAAUUUUAAGGUGAAGUUCUGUUAAAAACCUUAAGUAGCUGGGAUAUCAGGCCUGUUUUGCUUGAAAAAAAAAGUUGCAAGAUAACUCAUAUGCCAAACAGGUUCUGAUAUUGUGAAUCUAUCGGCAGACAUCAGUAAUCUCAUCUUCUGAGAUGGAUGUUGGGGGUGCAUGUGGUGGUGGAGGGGCAAGGUUUCAUUUGGUUUAUUUUGUUGAUGGAUAUUGUCUAGCCCCCUGCGCCAAGUUUGAGGGGUGGUGGGUUGUGAUGGCCCUACAAUUACUAUUAAUUUCUUCCUCUUUUACCGAUUAAAGUGUCCGAACAGUCGAAGUUACCCUUAUGCAUGUCAACUUGAUCACUUACCUCUUCAAUGGAGUUUAUGCUGGUUCAUUUAGGAACUGAUUUUUAUUGUUAUGCAUUCUAUGCUGAUGUUUAGGCCUCUCCAUCAUCACUAUAUACAAAAAUUCUAGGUUGAUACUAUAGGUUGAGAUUUAUUUUUUAAAUAAAAAAUAAUAAAAAUAAAAAUUAUGGUGAUGUUUAGUUGUUUUAUGGAAAAUUUUAACAAGUUAUUUUUGGGCAAGUUUUCAAACAAAAAGAAAAGUAAAAGUUGUUUUGACAAAAACAUAUAGAAAAAAAAAAUCAUAGAAAAGAAAUAAUUUCCCCAUAUUCUAACUUUUUUUAAUUUUUCUCAAUGGGCAAAGGAAUAUCAAAUCAAGUUUGAGUAGGAUUUCUUAAUUUUUAAAAUAACUUACAAUUAAAAAAUUUUGGUGUUUUCAUUUUUGGACAAUUUUUUAUUAAGCAAAUGGACUCUGAGUCAUGCAAGAGAUAUGGUUGAUUAAUGGGUCAAACAAUUUUUUUAAAAUAAUUUAAAACUCAAAUACAUAAUCAAUGUCACAAAAUUUAUAAACAAAAAUAGGUUUAGAGAAGAUCUACACAUAAUUUUACUUUUCUAAUUUUAUUUUAUUUUAUUUUUUUGUUGGAAAAUAGUCUUCAAAUCAUGUAAGAUUUAAUAGGUUAAAUUUGUUAACAAUAAAUUUUAAAUUAUAAAAUAUAAUCUGGAACUUAAAAAUCAAUUCAAGUAAUGCUAAAAAAAAUCAAAUUUGGUAUAGAAUGACUACGUAAAAUUUUUUACAAAACAAAUGAAUUUUAAAUCAAGUGAGAUUUAAUGCAUUAGAUUUUUAUCAAAUAUAGUAAUUUUAAAAUUUAAUUUGGAACUCAACAAUAGACACAAUAAAUACCAAAAAAUAAUGAACCAAAAUUGGUUUGGAAUAACUCCACAACCUCUUUUUUUUUUUUUUGGUGCACACGAAUUUUCUUACUAGGUAUAUUGCUUUCAAAUUGAGAAAGAUUUACUAUUUAGAUUUUUUUUUUUAAUGAGUUUAAUGGUAUUUUAAAAUAAUUCAAAAUUUCAAAAAUUGACUAAUUACUAUUAUAAAUUCAUAAACCAAGACUAAUUCAAAAUGCAUUGGGGGCUAAGGGGGUUGAAAAUAGGGACAAUGGGAUGGGUUUGGGACAUGACACUCAUAUCUCAUUUCCAUUCCAAUUACAUAGUUAUCUCCCAUCCUUAUCCCAAACUUGUGUUGGAGCAAGUUGAUUUGUUCCCAUCUUUGUUGAUGAAAUGACUAAUAACCUCAUCCCCUCCUUAUCUUAGAUGUACAUUUUGUCAAAUUUGAUCAGGUAUGAUUGAUCCAAGCCCUAACCCUAAUUGGUAAUGACUGGAUACUACACCUAAUUGCAUUCUUCUUUCGUCGCAAAAUAAUGAGAUUAUAAUAAUCUAGCAAAUAAGAAAAAAUAGUAUGGAAGUUCAAUUUAACACCAUAACUAUCAAUAAUUUUAAGCUUAUAGAUGACUUAAAUGAUUAAAAACUAAUGCAAAAUACCAAAAAAAAAAGUUCAUAUAAAGAAUUCACAAGAGAACAAAAUGAACAAAAACCAAAUAUGAACAUGGGUCAACAUUAGUUAUGGAUUUGGAUUCCUUUCAAGGCCAAUCUUUGAACCAAGACUUCAUCAAAUCUACUACUUCAAAGGCUUUUGUGUUCUUCUUGGGUUGUGCUCUCAAACAAAGACUUCAAGGUGAUGCUCUAGAUGAUUGCAUUACACAUAUUUAGGGUGGAGAGAUUGGAGAAGCUUGAAGAUGCCAACGAUGGGUACAAUUGAGUGGUCAAUAAGAACAAUGUAGCCUAUGACUAGUUUGAUGUCGUGGUACAAGAGUUUUAGGCAUUGAGGUUAAAGCAAGAGCAACAUGGAAUUGAUUUUGGAGUCUUUCAAUUAGUGUAAAGGAGGAAGAAGUGGUAUUGAUUCUAGAAAUAGGGUUUUAGGUGGUGCGUUAGAGGAUGAAGAAGAAGAAAAAGAAGGAUCUGUUGGAAUUAGUGUGAGUGUGAAGAGAGAAGUAUAUAAAUAAGGGGAAGUAAAAGCAAAGUUCUAAAAGCUAUAUUUUUUUUUAUUGUUGGUGUAUGGUUGCAUGAUUAUCCCUAUAAAUAAUAGGAGUUUUUUUGGUAUUCUACUAGUAGUUGAAGGAUAAUUUCAUAAAUUUAUAUUUAGAGUGGGGUGGGGUGAGUUGUGACAAAAUUCAUACCCGUCCUAAACCUUGGUUCAGAUUUUUAAAAUAUCCUCAAACUUAUCAUAUACCCAACUUUUAUAUUUCAUACUUGUCUUGAUAGAGGCAGGUUAGGCCGGGUUACUUGAGUAACCUACAUAAUUGUCAUCCCUAGUUGAAAUACACUUUUUUGGCAGUGGCCACCAACUGAGCUAGAAGCUUGAUCGAUUGACCUACAAGAUUAGUUCUCAUCAUUUUAAAAAAAGUUUUGGCCUUGGUUGUGAGUGCAAUUGAAUCUAAACUGGCAUUUCCUUAAUGCAUCUACUUCAAUCCUAAAUUUCUUACUUCCUAAGCCUCAAUUGUUGUUAGGAUUUUGGAAAGCCCAUUUCCUUAAAUUGUAAAUUUAAGAAAAAAUAAAAUAAAAGUGAGACAUUUCUUGAUUGAAUAUUGUUAAAGGUCCCUUGGCAUUAAGACUUGGUUGAAGCCUUGGAAGAUUAGUGGAACUCUCAACUUGUGUUUGAAUCUUGAGGAGAGUGGACGUAAGCCAAAAUUUUGUCAAACCAUUAAACAAAUUGAGUUUGAAUCCUCAUUUCUUGAUUUCUUAUUUAUUUGCUUUUUCUUAUUAUUACUUGAAUUGUCAUUUGCAUUCAUUAAUGUUAAAAUUGGUUAUAAUUAACCAACACUAAUUCUCUUUCCCCUUCCCUUUCUUGGGUGUAAACCUAGGUUGGAUUAACUAGAUUAAUUUAUAAAAUCUAUUAAGAUGGUAAAAGAAUAAUUAUUCUUAACACACAUAAGAUCAUCUUCAAUCAAAUGACUCAUUGGCUAAUAUGUUGAAUUUGCUUAUUACUUGCAACUCAAAAUUGUGUUCUAGUUGAUAUGUCAAGUCCCCAGUGUAUGGACAUUAAAUUUGUAGUACGUGAUGGUAAUUAGAUGGUCCAACUCCAAGAAAGUGAUUGAAAACUAGUUCAAGAAAGGUGCAAAAGGGAAUUGUUUUGGUAUUUUCGUUUUUAUUCUUGAAGGUGGCAGAGCUAAAAUUUGUGAAAUCAAGCAAAACAUACUGAAAUUACAUUGAAAGAAAGAAAAUGGGAGUUAAUGUCUUGCAGUAGAUGAUAAGGACUUCAUGCAUGUAGUAUGACCCAUGUCUUGGACUGAUGCCAACUCACGGUUACACUUAUACCCUUGGUUCUCUCUUUACUACCUUGGCUAACCUAGAUCAGGCUAUGAGAUAGGCUCCUCACCACACCAUUACUUGCCCAUUAAUUAGAGACAUUUUCAAGCACUGAGGUAACAUGGUGACACCAAGAGGGUUUAUUCCUCGCCCUCCUCGCCCUCAACAAGUCUAGACUUGGUCUCAAAAAAAUGGAGAAAAAUGAGGUGUCGUUAUGUAGAAAUACAACAACCAUGCCUUCCUCAUUACUUUGAUUCAGAAUGUGAAGGUGAAAUUGAGAAACAGAAACUCUUGAAACCAAAAUGAAAAUUGAUACUUUUACGAAGAAUUACAACAACAUUGGAGGAAGACUACAUUCUUCCUCUUUAUUCCUACAUUUCUACACUACUUCUACUCCACUCCAUAUUUCUACAUACAUCUUUAAUCAGUCUUCCCUCCUUUAUAUAGAGCCAUCUUCACACAAAUUCCGCAAGGUAGAAAAGAGGAAUGAAACUUGGAGCAAGGUUCGACUACUGGCUGUAGCUUGUCAAGGCUGGAAGUGAACCUUUUUUCUUGGCUUUUCUGGGCAUGGGUAGUAACUUGUGGGUUCCUUUUUGGGAUACAAAUGGCUAGAACAUGUGGCACUAUCUUGUUGGAUGAUGUGUCAAGCAUGUGGCAGCCAUCUAGUGGCGAUUAUGUCAAUUUUGGGAUGGAGAGUUGGCAUCCAAUUGCAAAGAAAUAUGACGUCUACCAACAGGCAAUGUAAACCUAUGUAGAUCAUAUGAAGAUAGAGAGGAAAAAUAUAGAAAUGGAUAUAUACCUAGAACUAGCUUUUUAUUAAAUGAAACGGAGAGCCAACAAUGAAGGAAAAUAAAUUUUUUUGGCUUAUAUCAAAGAGUUCACAUUGUGCUACCCUAGGUUUUCUUAAAACUUACUUUUAUGAUAACAAAAAAAAAAAAAAACAUUAUUGUUUAAUCCUUUGUUUUAAACGCAUGUUUAGCAAGUUAUAAAAUGUAAAAAUCUUUCUAAGUUCAAAUAUGAAGAUAUGACAUCAUUUCAAGCAAGAUAGUCUCUAGGAAUUAAUGUAAAGCUAAAUUAAGGUGAAAUUAAAUUAGUUCAAUGCAUUAAUUUAAGAAACUUGACCUAUCAAAAGUACAAAAUUAGAUGAAAUCCAUUUCAAUGGUUAAAAUGAUCAAAAUCAAACUUUUUCUAAGUAUUUUUUAAAAGUAUCAAUAUUGAAAGACAAUUUUAUAUUUAGUCAGAGUUUGGACAAAACCAAAAAGCACACAAAAUCCAAGCGACCAUCUCUAGCUUGGAUGGUCGCUUGAUCUCUAGCUUGUGUACUUGGAAAGCAACAUCGAGAUGAUAUAUAUAUAUAUAUAUAUUUUAUAUAAUAUUGUUUGUCCAAAUUCCCUAAAAAUUAGGCCACCACAUGUUCAUAAUUCUCCCUUCUUGAAUUUGAAAACUCGGACAAUUGGACAAUGCGACACCUAAGUCCGGUUUCUAAAUGCUAAAGUGAAAGGGUAGGUAUGGACCAUUGAAAUGUGAUCACAACUUUUCUCUGUAGCCAUGUUGUCUCUUUUUUCUUUUGCAUGAUUUUCUCACCUUAACAGAAUCAUAGACUUGUUUAAUCUCUAAAUGGGAUUAAUUUCAUCCAGCUUUAAGCUACUAUAUUAUAUCUAGGUGGAGGACUUUUAAGAGUGCAACCGACAUAGAGCACAUGCAAGUGGGUAUAUGGGACAUGAAAUUUCUUCUUAUAAAGAUUGCAUGAUUUUUAUAUUAGAGUUGUUGGGGCGCAAUGUAUGUAGCUUGUUUUGCAGUUAAAUUAAUUGGAUAAGUAGACAUUGGCGUUUCUAAAUCUACUGUGAAGUGCUUCAUGUACGUGUGAAGUAUUAGAAAUUUCUUUCUUGGCAACUUGUUUUUUCUUUGCGGUCUACUGAUAGGUUUGACUAAAAUUAUAUUCCCUGUCAUGCUAAUUAAUUUUCACGUGCAUGCUCAAAAGAAGAGUAUGACCUUAGUGCACCAAAAUCACUUUGAUUAAUUUGUGAUAGGUUUUUGUGCAUCAUGACAUUAGCCUUAUUCAUUUAGAUAAUGUUUAGUUUUUAGAAAGUAUUAAGAAAAGGAAAAUAAAUAUUAAGAAAAAUAUUCUUAUAUUUGAUUGUAUUAUGAAAAAUGUCAUAAAAAAAUCAAAUAUAAUUUAAAUUAAUUAAUAAUUUAUACAUUUUCAAAUUAUUUAAUCUUUAUAUUGAAGAUAUAAUAUAAAUGAAAUGAGUUUUAAGUAUUAUAUAAAAGUGAUUUAUUGAUCUUGCAUAUAUGUAUUUCUUUUUUUUUUCUUCUAUUUUUUUUCUUUAUUUUAUUUUCCUUAUGUUUUCCUCAACAUUUUCCGGAACCAAACAUAGCCUUAGGAAAUCCACAAUUACCUUCAACUGAGUAUAUUCGGUUGUUUUAGCAAUGUUAGGCUGCUAACUUGUGUUGGUACGAACCUGUUAAGCCUAAAGAUGUAAUUAGUUAGGAUAUUCUUUUCCCUCUAGUCUUGUAGCUCCACGUGUAUAGUUGGUUAGGACCUCAUUGUAUAUAAUGCCUGCCCUGUUAUUGUUGAAGACAACAGAGAUAAAUAAUAUUAACAUUUUUCCUCUCAUCUCUCUUUGUUUCCCUCUGUUUUCAUCUCCUCUCUCAUCUUGGUAUCAGAGCCUCCAUGGAUUCUUUCAAAGAAACCUCCGAAUCACCUUCUGCUAGCAUUGUUAAUGUGCAAAACCCAUUAUCUCAGUCAAACAACCUUCCUUCACCAGCAGCCACACCCUCUUUUUCUUUCUUGUCUAUGAAUCAACCUCUCACAGUGAAGCUGGAUAAUGGAAACUACCUCAUCUGGAAGAAUUAGCUUCUGAAUGUCAUCAUUGCGAACAGACUCGAUGAUUUCAUUUAUGGAACUCGACCCUGCCCUCCUUGAUUUCUCAAUCUGCAACAACAAACCCUCACUCCAGAGUACUCGGUCUAGCAGAGAUACAAUCGACUUCUAAUGAGUUGGCUGUACGCAUCCUUGUCCGAAGAUAUAAUGACUCAGAUUGUUGGGUAUUCAACAACUGUGGAGAUUUGGAACGUCCUUAAUCAGAUUUACUCUGCCUCUUCAAUGGCGUGGGUUACCGAGCUUCACACCAAGCUUCAAACGCUCAAGAAAGAUGGACUCUCAGUUGGUGAAUAUAUUCAAAGGCUCAAAUCCAUUUGCAAUAGUCUUGCAGCAAUAGGAGAACUAGUUUCUGAGAAAGACCAGCUUAUCUAUUUGUUCAAUGGAUUAUAUUGUGAGUAUAAUUCUUUUGUUACCUCCAUUCAAAAUCGAUCUGACCAACCAACUAUUGAGCAAAUCCAUAGCCUAUUGCUUAGCUAUGACUUUCGGCUUGAACAACAAAACUCUGUUUCUCUCCAUUAUGCCCAAGUCCGUAUGGCUCAUCUGAACAAGAAACCUUAUAAAUCAACUCCUCAACCUACAUUCAAUCAUAUUCACAUUCAACCUAGAUACUCUUCUCCACCUUUUAAGCCAACCACUAGUCAAUAUCAACCCAGGAUUUUGGGCAAACCACAACCACAACCAUGACAGCCUCAACCUCAAUGGAAACCACAUUUUUCAAUCCAGAAUCAAAAGCCUCAGUGCCAAAUUUGUGGUAAAUUUGGACACACUGCUCUUAUUUGCUUCCAUUGCACAAAUUUGAACUAUUCACCCCAACCUUCUCCUAAAUCUUUCAAUACUGUUCUCACCACAAAUUCCCAGCUCCCUAAUCCUCCAAAAUUUUCUUACCCUACAAUGGCUCAUCCUGCUGCUACGCAUAACACGAUUCCUGAUACAAAUUGGUACAUGGACUCAGGUGCUACACAUCACUUUACUCCGGACAUCAACAUGCUUGACACUGUGACACCAUUUAGUGGUUUAGAACAGGUGACAGUUGGGAAUGGUAAGCAACUCUGUAUCUCACAUCUUGGUACUGCAAAACUACCAUCCUCGUAUUCUCCUCUUGUUCUACAUCAGGUAUAUCACACUCCAAAAAUUUCAAAUAAUCUUAUUAGUGUUAGAAAAUUGUGUUCUGAUAAUAAAGUUUUUGUUGAAUUUUAUGCCACUCAUUUUCUUAUCAAAGAUCAAGUUUCGAAGAGAGUUCUCUUUCAAGGUCAACUUGAUAAUGGCUUAUACAAAGUUCAGUCGUCAUGCUCUCCUUCUACUAUUUCCUUUCAUCCUCAAGUUUUCAUAGCCAACAUCAAGGAUCAAAAUUUGUGGCACAAGAGACUAGGCCACCCAGCUUUAUCUGUUAUUAAUCAAAUCUUGGAUUCUUGUAACAUUGCUCGAACACAGAAAAUUGGUUUUAAUUUUUGUAGUUCUUGUCAAUUAGCAAAAAGCCACAGGCUUCCUUUUUCUCUGUCUCCAUCCAUUGCAGAAAAACCUUUUGAGUUAAUUCAUACAGACCUAUGGGGUCUUUCUCCUGUUCGCUCUAUUUCUGGUGCUCGUUAUUUUUUACUUUUCAUUGAUGAUCAUACUCGUUUUACUUGGUUUUAUUUGCUCAAAACAAAAGAUGAAGCAUAUCCUACUUUUCUCAAGUUUCAAGCUCUCAUUGAAAAUCAAUUUAAUACCAAGAUUAAGGUUGUCCAAUCUGAUUGGGGAGGUGAGUUUCGAUCUCUCUCCAUACUGUUUUCAAAUAUGGGCAUUGUCUAUCGUUUAUCAUGUCCAUACACCUCACAACAGAAUGAGUGGGUUGAGCGAAAAAAUCACCAUGCGGUUGAAAUGGGAUUGUCCUUUCUUGCUCGCUCGGGUAUGCCCUUAUCUUAUUGGCCUUAUGCCUUUCAAACUGCCACUUACCUUAUUAAUCGUCUCUCUACCCCUGUGCUGCACCAUCAAUCCCCUUACUUCGCACUCUAUCACAAAUUCCCAGCUUAUACUCAUCUUAAGGUCUUUGUUCCUCUUGUUUUCCAUAUUUACGCCCUUAUAAUACCCAUAAACUCCAAUACAGGUCACUGGAGUGUGCUUUUCUUGGUUGCAGUUCACACCACAAAGGUUAUCUAUGUCUUGACAUUCAUUCUAGCAGGGUGUAUAUUUCUCGCCAUGUGAUUUUUAAUGAAGAUUCUUUUACAUUCAAGAAUUUGAAAUCUUCUCUCUCUUAGUCUAUUUCUUCUUCCUCUUCUUUAUUAGUUCCUCUGUUCAUUUCCUUGCCUCCCCUCUCCCCAUAUCCUCCUAUUUCUCCAUCUAUAUCUCAUUCUUUUCUCUCUUCUUCUUCUACCUCUAGUACUUGUUCCCCUCUCGUUGCUCCUACCUCUCUUCCUCCCUCUUCACACUUUGUGUCCCAUCUAUUCCACCUCCUUCUCCACCUUCUUCGAGUGUGGACCUGCUUGUACCUUGUGUGAAUACAAAUUUACUUACUUUUUCUCGCACUCACAAUAUUCAUCCUAUGGUGACCAGAUCUAAGGGUUUGUAUCUAUAAACCUAAGUUGCUAUUGAGUGUCUCCAUAGGUUCUCUCACUAAGCCUACUUCCUUUCUUCAAGCUAUUAAAGAUCCUUCAUGGAAGCAAGCCAUGGAAUUGGAGUUUGCUGCCCUUCAACACAACAAGACCUGGCAUCUAGUUCAUUCACCUUCCUCAGGCAAAGUAAUUGGUUGUAAAUGGGUCUAUAAGAUAAAGCUUUAGCCUGAUGGCUAAUUGAGAGAUACAAGGCCCGCUUAGUAGCUUAGGGUUAUCAUCAAACUGAAGGUAUUGACUACUUCGAAACAUUCAGCCUGGUUGUCAAGCCUUCUACUACCGUAUUGUGCUCAGUCUUACUUUUUCCCAGAAUUGGUGUAUUAGACAGCUGGAUGUUCAUAAUGCCUUCUUACAUGGUGACUUAGCUGAAGACGUUUUCAUGGAACAACCACCUGGAUUUGUUGAUCCUCUCUAUCCUACUCAUGUCUGCAAGUUGGAUAAGUCUCUCUACGGUCUUAAUAGUCACCUCGGGCUUGGUAUACUAAGCUGAGUACUUCUCUACUACACUUGGGAUUUGUUACUUCUAAGAAUGACUCUUCCUUAUUUAUUUGUCAUUCGUCUCAUGGGUUACUUCUUGUUCUUGUCUAUGUGGAUGAUAUAAUCGUCACUGGGAGCCACUCUCCUCAAGUUACUCACCUUAUCCAAUAGUUGCAUCAUCAGUUUUCUUUAAAGGAUCUUGGUCAUUUACACUAUUUUCUGGGCUUGGAGGUUCAUCACACCCCUACUGGUAUUCACCUCAGCCAAGCAAAGUAUAUCACUGAUCUCCUUACCCGGGCGGCUAUGUUGGAUGCCAAGCCAUGUCCCACUCCUAUGUCCUCCAACACAUAUCUUUCUCUUCAUGAUGGAGUGGCUCUUGAAAAUGGUUCAGAUUAUUGAAGUUUUGUUGGUGCCCUUUAGUAUUGUACCAUGACACGCCCAGAUAUAGCUUUUGCAGUAAAUAAAGUGUGUCAAUUCAUGCACCAUCCCUCUGAUGUUCACUGGCAGGCUAUAAAACGUAUUCUCCAGUACUUAAAGGGCACAUCUCAUUUUGGUCUCUUCCUACAGCCUUCCUAUGACUUCAACAUCACUUGCUAUACAGAUGCCGACUGGGCUUCCUGCCUUGAUGACAAGUGUAGCACCAGUGGCUACUGCCUCUUUCUUGCCUCUAAUCUGGUUUCUUGGUCAUCUUCCAAACAAAAAGUGGUCUCCCGCUCCAGCGCCAAAUCAGAGUACCGAGGGGUAGCAAAUGGGGCUGCUGAAAUUGCUUGGACUGAAUCUCUUCUUUGUGAACUUUCCACCCACUCGACCUCCCCUCAUUGUCUGUGACAAUAUCAGUGCCACAUACUUAGCUGUCAAUCCUAUUUUGCAUGCCCGCACCAAAACAUGUGGAAAUCGACUAUCACUUUGUCUCGGAACGUGUUCUUCAACGCUCUCUCUCUCUCCAGUUUACACCUUCGGAUGAUCAACUUGCUGAUUGCAUGACCAAGCCUCUCUCCACCCAACGUUUCAUCACUCUACGCUCCAAGCUCACUGUUCUCACUAGACCAAUGAGCUUGAGGGGGGAUGUUAAGCCUAAAGAUGUAAUUAGUUAGGAUAUUCUUUUCCCUCUAGUCUUGUAGCUCCACGUGUACAGUUGGUUAGGACCUCAUUGUAUAUAAUGCCUGCCCUGUUAUUGUAGAAGACAACAGAGAUAAAUAAUAUUAACAUUUUUCCUCUCAUCUCUCUCUCUGUUUCCCUCUGUUUUCAUCUCCUCUCUCAUCUGAACCAAAUGAUCCAUGUUAACCUUGGCUUGGUUUGAUUUGGCUCUAUCUUAGAGAGCUCAAGGAUCACGUCAACUCUGGUUUCUACUAUUCAGGUCCAUUCCCAUAUGAACUGGUUCAAAUUUGAGAAAAUGGUAACAGACCUUUAGUGAUGUUGGUUUGGAGCCAGUUGCCAAACCCGCCCUGAGCUUUACCACUAAUGUCAAGGGAGAAAGCCUUUUGAACAAAAACAAUAGCUUCAAGAGACUGAAUCGUGGAUGAAAUCUGAUCCACAUUUCUUCUCAUUUUGGAAACAAAUGAGAACUUAACUAAGAAGAUUCUACGGCCUCAUAGUGCUUUUCCUGAUCUAAGGUUGGUUCGUUUCCCAAAUUGUGAGAUGCACGGGCCAGACUUCAGAACUCUCACGCUCAGGAGUGUAUCCACGUGGUGGACAUAAGAUGGUGGCUUAAGAUCUGGUGUCGGUGGCUUUACUUUACUAGGAGAGUAGUGUGUCUUCAUCUCAUUCACUGCCGGAGGGUGGCGUAAGCAGUGACGCUAAGGUGGGGCAUAGUCAAUAUCAUUUGCAUUUGACCAUUAUAGUUUUCUCCCGGCUUGAAAGUAACCUUAUCGUGAUAAAGGAUUACUAGCACUAGUUCAGAUGACAGUCAUGUUAAAUUCGGACCAUGUUUGUGUCACAUUAUCAGCAACCAUGUGUUUAUGGUUCAUGCUUUCUGCAACUGAAAUUGAAAUUGAUAUAUAACCAGGUGAACUUCAAUCUAAAUUCUGGAAGUACUCAUGUGAGCGAUGGUGCCCAUCUGCAGAGUCCAUCAAUUGAAAAAUGGAGUGAGUGUAUCUAUAAGAGGGAAGGCUUGGCAAAUGUCCAGUUUUCUGGGAAUUCAACAAGGAUCUAAAAUAGAUUGUUUUCUUUGCUGAUUUCAAUGGUUGAAAUUUGAGAAGAUUGUGUCCCACAUAACACAACUAUUACUGGUCCUUCUGUUGCAAUUUAUCCUCUAAGGCUCUAGCAUGUCUUCCAAUUCCCACUUCCCUGUUACUCCAGGAAAGCUAUUUCUGUCAUUGUGAAGAAGAAAAGAGAAUGUAGAUAUCGAUGCUUUUAAGUGACUGGAGCAUUCAUAUCAGGUGGUCUGCAGCCAUAUAUGCCACUUUGUGAAGAUUGGAACAGUCAAUCACUAGGCUAUAUAUUAGUGUGGCCCAGCCACUUUAAUCAAGGACAAUUCUUCAUACUUAAAAGUCAAAUUCUGCCUUUAGUCUCAUUAUAAAUUGCUGUUUAAAUAUUAAGCAAACAUUUGUUUAAUGCGAUUAAGACAGUACUAACUCAAUACUUGUUCUAUUUUUGGAUGGAAAUGCUUGAUGGUUUCAUCAUUGGAUGGGAUAAAGGUGCAUUCAUGAUUAUGAAUACUUGUAGUUAUAUUUUCAUUCUCUUUUUUCUCAAUGAGACUUGUUGGCACAAUUUUUCUGUUCAGAAACCUACCUCUCCAUGGAAAAUAAGUUGUGAUUGAUAGUACUGGAUAUAUUCAAGAAAGCUAAAUAUAGAUAGCACAAAAUAUUAUCGACAUAAAUAGCAUUAACAGCGUACGUAUGUCUCAGUGCUCAUCAGCCAUAAGCAUGGGGCAAACACUUACGAUGAGCAACUUACGUCAAAAUUCCAGAAUAGGACAUAGAAGUGACAGAUCUAUAUAUAUAGAACACUGCAUAAGAGUCACAAGAAAGGAAAUUACGGGUGCAUAGCAGCUCUUAUUUCACAUACUACUCAUACUGAUCAAAGUCACUCAGUUGGGAUGGGUGGGAGUAGGAGGUUUGUGGGGUGGCUUGUGCGGAGGAGUUGGCAGCUUCUUUCCAGGACCUGGUGGCUUCUCUCCCUUAGGUGGUUUGCCAACUGGGGUUGGUGGCUUGUAUGAGUCUUCAGCAUUCUCUGCAGGAGGGUGACCAGGGUUGUGACCAUAAUGUGGUGGCUUCUCUCCCUUAGGUGGUUUGCCAACUGGGGUUGGUGGCUUGUGUUCUGGGAGUGGCUUCUCCCCCUUGGGAGGUUUUUCCAAUGGGGUUGGUUUGUGUUCAGGAGGUGGCUUCUCCACUGGAGGCUUGUGUUCAGGAGGUGGCUUCUCCACCGGAGGCUUGUGUUCAGGAGGUGGCUUCUCCACCGGAGGCUUAUGCUCUGGUGGUGGCUUCUCCACCGGAGGCUUAUGCUCUGGUGGUGGCUUCUCGAAUGGGGGAUGCUUAGGGUAAUCAGCAAGUGAGGGGGCGGUGAGAACCACCAGGCCAAGCAAGACCACUAGCAAGUAUGUAGGAGACAUCUUUGGGUUUAGACUCAGAUGGUGCAAAACUAGGAGAAUUGUCUUUUAUAGCGGAUCGCACCCAAUAAUGAAAUGACACGUGUCUUUAUGACCCAUGUGUAAUGGGGUCGAUUUGGGUCCUACAGUGUUGAAAACUUCGACAUCCACUUUUGGCCUUUUGCUUUCUCUACAGCCGCCUUGCUUUUUCCCUCUUUCCUUUUGUUUUCCUCCUGCCCCAUUCUAUCAACUAAACACAAUUAUGUAGUUGUUUAAUUCUUAAAUGAGAUAUUAUCCGUCAAUCGUAUCAUAUUUUAUCAACAGAGAACGGAGUGCAAUGUGGCAAUCCAAAGAAAGAAGAUCCAUAAUGCAGCUGUAAUUUUAUCGUUUACUUUUAUCUCUUGGACCACUGCAUUUUUGUUAAGAGGUGCAAUAAUACACGUCUUUAUCUGCCAUUCAAUGUUUACAGUAAAGAGAGGGCACAAAACUCUUCACUGCUCUGCAUGUGUCCCAAAAAUGCAAUUGGACAAAUUAUGAUUUGCAUGCUAAAAAGAGGCAAAUGAGGUUAAUUCGCACCAUAAUUAUUUUGUUUUCUGGACCCCGGGGCCCUUUGGUUGGUUUGGGGGUCAGAAAAUGAACAUCAUAGGGGGUUUUUCCCUUAUGUGCAUUUGUAUCUGAUGGCUUUAACUCGCCUUGUUACUACAAAGAAAUUGUCACAUAUAGGAACUUAUUCCAGGCUGAGUAUCUCCGCAUAGACCCUAUAAAAGAAGACAAGUCAUAAUGAACAUCUAACCUUUGUUCAAUUUGAUUCAAUGCCCCAUUGUGUCCACCUCACAAAUCUGAAUUAUUAUAUCCAUUGAAUACAUAAAUUAAUGAAGAAAAUAUGAAACCCAAGAUACAUCUCUGCACAACCUCAACCCUGGUUGCUAUGUUUCCCUUCUAUUCACAUGAGGAUAUUGAUUACGGAAUAGGGAAACCUAGCAAGGGUUUACUCGGCUCUGGUUUGAUGCUAAUUGCCAAACUUGCAACAAGCCCUGAGUUUGAAGCUCACAGAAGAUGUUAUACAGGCAGGGAAAAACCUUCAGAGUUCGCUGCCAAAGAUAAUUAUUAAGGAGAUAUCACCAAGAGAAUUCCAAGGAGUCUGAAUCAAAGACAAAUUGGUCGUUCGUGGAGGUUCUUACUUUCUUUUGGGUAUAACUCACUGAGGGCACUGUCUUUUUUAUUUUCAUUUCACAUUUAGAGUUCUGUUCUGGAAACAUAUAAAAGGAGCAUCAGUUUGUUCUUGGGUAACCCAUAGUCGUGAGUGGGUCCAUUUGCAUGCUACUUAGUUGAAAAGUUGGACCAUUUGCUCCGACGCCUACCUCCUGGAUUCCAUGCUCGGAUAAAACAAGAAUAAAAAAAUAUUUAUAAUUUACAAAUGGGGGAAAGAAAAAAAUGUCAACAACAAACUAGGAAAAAAGAGUAGUAAAAUUCAUGUCACAUGCUAGUGAGAGAAGGGGUUGUUACACUCACUCGAAGUUCUUUUCAAAAUAUCGCAUGGUAUUUUAUUUUAUGUGUGAGCGCAGUUGUGAAUGGAACGUGCAAAAGUCCAAAUUGGUGACCUUUAAUAAAUAUUUAAAACAAAAAACGAAAAAAAGGAGGGAAAAGGGAUCAGAAAAGAUAAAACAAUGUGUACAAAAGCUCAAUUAGUUUGCAAAUUACUGUUUGGAUUUUGAUAGUAUUUUAUUUGAUGUAAAAGAGAAUUUAAGAUAUUUCCGAAACAAAAGCAUUAGUUUGCUCCAUGUCAAUUUCGGCAUUUCUCAUAUGUUUCACACAUACACAGAAGAGCAUCGUUUUUUAAAGCAUGCAUUUAUGUUGGAUUAAUUUGGAUUUUGUGGGAACUGGGGCAAGGAUCACAUGGAAGAGAGGUUGACUUUUUUCAGUACUUCAAUGGUUGAGACAGGUGAAGGCCUGAUUGAUACUGAAGCCUGAAAUUGCGACUCCGUCAUUUGUCAAAACAUAUGACAGCUUCCAUGCUCUCGUUUGGUUGCAUUGUUCUGUGGUCAUGCAUACAUGCCACUUAGUGAUCAGUCUGUAACUGUCAAUCAUUGGGCUUUGACUGAACAACAUCAGCCAUGUAUAAAUACUUGCAAAUCAAACGGUCUUCUUCCUCCCAUAAGGAAUUUCGGUUUAAUUAUGAAGCAUGCAUUUGGCUGACCAUCAUAAACCACUUCUUUAAAUUGAUGAAUGAUAGUUUUUCAUUCAUUCUUUCAUUCGUUCAUAUACAGAGUAUAUAUAGAGGGUAAUCAUCAUUCUAAGAAUGGGAAAGAAUGAUACAAGGAAAUAAUGAUAUAAAGAAAUAACAACUAAUAUUCUAAUAUCUCAACUUUCCUAAUAUCUAAACAUUCCUAAUAUCUCAACACUAAAUGAUAUAAAGAAAGAAUGAUAUAAGGAAAGCAUUCCUAAUAUCUCAACACUCCUCCUCAAGUUGGUGCAUAGAUGUCAAACAUGUCCAACUUGUCUAAAAAUUUUGAGAACAGUUGACUUGAGACAUCUUUGGUGAGGAUAUCGGUCAAUUGAUCUUCUGAUCGAAUCUUAGGCAAUUCCACAAUCUUAUCAUCCAACUUUUCCUUAAUGAAAAAUCUAUCCAUCUCGACAUGCUUUGUACGAUCAUGUUGUACUAGAUUAUGAGCAAUGUCACAUGCUGCUUUAUUGUCACAAAACAAUCGGAUUGGUUGCCUAGAUAGGUAACCUAAAUCCUAUAAGAGGAGUCUUAGCCAUAAUGCCUCACAAAGUCCUAAAGUCAUACCUCUAAAUUCCGCUUCUGCACUUGAACGAGCGACGACAUUUUGCUUCUUACUUUUCCAUGUCACAAGAUUACCACCUACAAAGGUAAAGUAACCAGAUGUAGAUCGCCUAUCAUCCACUGCACCGACCCAAACAGCAUUAUACUUCUAUACUCUGAUGAUCAACAUUUUUAGCGAACAAAAUUCCCUUCCUAGGAGCAUUCUUCAAAUACCUCAAAAUACGCAUGACUACAUUCAUAUGUUGCUCUCCAGGAUUAUGCAUGUAUUGACUCACUACACUCAAUGUAUAAGCAAGAUCUAGUCUUGUAUGAGCUAAGUACAUUAAUCUCCCCACAAGUCUCUGGUAUCUUCCCUUAUCGAUUGAUACUUGAUUAGGCUCAACACACAAUUUCAGACCUUCUUCUAUUGGUGUAUUAAUAGGUUGACAUCCCGACAUUCCAGUUUCCUGUAGAAGAUCUAAGGCAUACUUUCUUUGAGACAGAAAAAUUCCUUCACUUGAUCGAGAAACUUCAAUCCCAAGAAAGUAUUUCAGACGACCAAGAUCUUUCAUUUCAAAUUCUCUAGAUAGAUACUUUUGCAAAGCUUUUCUUUCUUCAGGAUCAUUUCCUGUAACUACAUGUCAUCCACAUAUAUCAUAAGUGUCGUAAUCUUACCAUGUUGCUUUUUCAAGAACAAAGUGUGAUUUGAAUUACUUUGAUGAUAGCCAAAAGCUCUCAUUGAUUUUGUGAACCUUCCAAACCAUGCUCUCGGGGAUUGCUUCAACCCAUACAAUGACUUCUUCAAUUCGCACACCUUCUGACAUUGCUUUUCUGACACCAUGCAUCCUGGUGGAAGAUCCAUAUAUACUUCUUCAGAUAAAUCGCCAUGCAGAAAGACAUUUUUUACAUCGAACUAUUGUAAUGGCCAAUCUAGGUUUGCAGCUAAAGACAAUAAUACUCGAACUGUGUUGAUCUUAGCUACAGGUGCAAAUGUCUCUGUGUAGUCAAUUCCAUAAGUUUGAAUGUACCCACUAGUCUUGCUUUAAAUCGUUCAAUACUACCAUCUGCCUUGUACUUCACAGUAUAGAUCCAACGACACCCAACUAGCUUCUUUCCUGGUGGACAUUCUACGAGUUCCCAUGUUUCAUUUUUCUGCAAUGAUUUCAUCUCUUCAUUCAUGGUUGCUUUCCACUUUGGAUCAGCUAAAGCUUCCUGCACACUAUUAGGAAUAGCUACAGUAGAUAAUUGAUUUACAAAUGACUUAUUUGAUUCAGACAAACCAUGGUGUGGACCCGCAUUUUUCACGUGCGCCUCUACUCGAUCGGCGAGACUCGCUUUCUAUUUGUGAAAAAUUAAUUUUAGAAAAGUUGGAGUCGCCACCUAUUUUAUUUUUAUUUUGAAGGGAAAAUAAAACAAGAAAGAAAAACCCUAAAAAGUGACUCCAUAGUUUUGGAAAAAGCAUGUCUUUGGGAAACCUGAGUCUAGGUCCGGGGAUCAUGUUACUUAUUGGGAAGGUACCUCUAGGAGGUAGCACCCCUCUAAGCCUUAUGAAGGUCUCUACUAACUAAAUUAAGGGAAGUGUGGCAAUAAAUCGAUUGAUCAUAGAUACCUAAGUAGACUAGGUGAUUUUAAAGUGUGGCAUGUCAAACACAAUCAAAUUGCAAUAAAGGAGAGUUAGGGCGCGUACCUGAACCGCUUCUCAAGCGCUAUCAUAAAACAUCAAUGGUUAAUUUAAAUAAUAUAUCAUCCAGCAUGUAUUUUAUUAGAAAUAAUCAAACAAUGAAACAUGUAUAUCAGAACACUCAAGCAUUAUUAGACAUAAGCAUUAUUUCACUAUUCACAGAAUUCAGAAAGUAGGUGAUAGAGGACAUACCUGGAUAGCAUAGAUAAUUUGUAAUGUGCUUCCUCAAGUUGUAAGGGGUUAGAUAACAAAUAAUAAAAUAUAGAAAUCCUAGCAUGCUCGUUAUCUAAUUAGCAUAGCAAAAGUGAUCACAGUAUACAGAAUCAUCAAUUAUCACAUACAUCUUGUAUAUAAUUCCUAAAAAAAAUAGAUAGACAUGAUUUCAACAAGUGUCAAAUGUGGCAACAAAAAUAAAUUUUGAAAAGAUUUUCUUAUGUAGGGGUUUCACCAAUUCCCCAAAUUAAUAUACACGAAUUUAGCUUAGAAUUAUCCCAUUUAUUUGGGACUACAAGCUUUGAUUCGUGUUUUUGUUCAAAACCAAAAAUUUUUGUUGAAAAUCAAGAAGGAUGCGAACCGAACAAGAUAUGGUUGCAUAUUAUUUUUAAAUAAAUAAAUAAAUAAAUAAAGGAGAUUUUGAUCCUGAGGACUUUAAUGAGUUUUUUUUUUUAAAAUAGAUUUUUAAAAUGAUUUUUUUGAGAAAAGUAUUUUAUUUUAAAAUAAAAGGGAUUAAUUUGGGAAAAAAAUAAAAUAUAAGAAAUAAAAUACCAAACAAAACAAAAAUGAAACCUCAAAGUAAAAUUUUUUUAGUAAUUAACAAAAAUGAUAAUGGUGAUGGUAGAGGGCAAUCUUCAUGAUUUUCCAAUGGCCUCAGAAAGAAAAUCAAAUUAAAUGAAGGAUCACUAACAGGCAAGACAUUCUAAAUUAGACAAACUAACAAAGUAUCAAUUCAUGAACUAACCGCUAGGAUUUUGAAAGCAUAUAAGCUAAGAUAAGGGUGAUCAGGAACUAAUAUUAAUGAUUUUGAAAUAAAAACUAAAAAAAAGGAUCAAUUCGGGUAAGGAACUAAAAUUAUAAAAGUACCUAAACUAAUUAUGACGAGUUUGACUAAAUUAAACUAAAAACAUGAACUUUCAAACAUAGAAUUAAUUUUACUAAUGAACCAAAGCAAACUAAAAAUAUGUACUUUCAAGCAUAGAAUUAAUUUUAUUGAUGAACUAAACUAUAACAAAUAUCUAAACUAAAUAUAAUGAAUCAAAUUAAAUUAAAGCAACUUAAAAACGCAAACUUUCAAACAUAGAAUCAAUUUUAUCAAUGAAUUAAAACUAUAAAUGUAUUUGAACUAAAUAGAUGAAUCAAACUAAAUCAGAGCAAAAUUAAAAAAAAAAAAGAACUUUCUAACAUGAAAUCAAUUUUAUCAACAAAUAAAUGAAUGAAUAACAAGUAAUUAAAAGAAUAGCUACUACAUGAAUAACUGAAUGAAUAAAAUUCAAAUGUUUUCAAUCUGAAGCAAUCAAUCAAAAUUAAAUAGGGAUCAAAUCAAAAUAAUCGAAAUCGGAAAAACAAUAUGCAAUCUUUCUAAAGGUUUAACCAGACAAUUGAAUUAAAAUUAUGAAUAGAAUAAAUUAAUAAACCAAAUCGAAACCUAAAUUGUACCUAAAAAGAUUAAUUAAUUAAACUAAGAAAUCAAAAUCAAUAACAAAACUAAACUAAGGAGUAAAUUAAGACAAGACUAAUUAAAUUAAACUCACAAACACGUUUUAACUAUCAUAUGGAUUAAAACAAAAUUAGCAUGGACUUAUGAAUUACGAACAAAAAUAAUCAAAACUAUUUUAAAAAACUCACCUCUAUUAUAAGAAAAAAUCUGCCUUUGAUGCGUUGAGGUGGCUCCCCUCUCUGUGUGGAUCUCUCUGCUCCCCAGAAAAAAAAUGUCUCUUCCUCCGUUCUCUUUUGUUUCAGCAAAAUAAUAUAUCCCCUGCUGUGGAUCUCUCUACUCCCAGAAAAUAAUAUAUUCUCUCCGUGUCCUAAAGUGGACCUAGGGUGCCUAAGUGGACCUAGGGUGCCUAAAUGGGCCUAGGGUGCCUAAAUGGGCCAAGUGUAUCUAAAUAGGCUUAGGGUGCCUAAGUGGGCCUAAGUCUAAGUGAGCCUAAGUCUAAAUCAAGACUACCAAGGAUCAUAAUAAGGGGUUAGGCAAUCCCUUAACCAAAGUCUCCAAGGUGGCUAAAAAAAAGUAAGUAGUAUGAGUAGCUAUGGGUCACCAAGGAACUACUGUGGAGCAUUGAAAACGAAUUUAAAGACAUGUGCCAAAGGGACAAAAUUGAGGGUCUACAGAUGGUUAGACACAUAGUUGCUCAUGGGAUAUUUGACUUUGGUAAACAAUUCAGAUUCAUAUGUGGGUUUAGGAAUACCUUUAUUAUGACGGUGUGGUAAUCGUUUCAUGAAUGGAUCAGGUUGCAAAUUAAGAACACCCUCAGCAAACAACGAUUGGUUUGGUAUUUCAGUGAAGACAUCUUCGAACCCAAAUUGUUGACCACUCAUAUCCAACUCACCCGCUUCCUGGUUCACUAGUUCAGAUUGUCCAAAUUCAUCAUUCUCAUAGAUAUGAUAAUCAUAAUCGAGAGUCUGAAUUUCCUUAUGGUACUCCCCCUGAAGUUCAGACUUAGAUGAAAAAUACAUCGAAUAUUCAUGAAACAGCNNNNNNNNNNNNNNNNNNNNNNNNNNNNNNNNNNNNNNNNNNNNNNNNNNNNNNNNNNNNNNNNNNNNNNNNNNNNNNNNNNNNNNNNNNNNNNNNNNNNNNNNNNNNNNNNNNNNNNNNNNNNNNNNNNNNNNNNNNNNNNNNNNNNNNNNNNNNNNNNNNNNNNNNNNNNNNNNNNNNNNNNNNNNNNNNNNNNNNNNNNNNNNNNNNNNNNNNNNNNNNNNNNNNNNNNNNNNNNNNNNNNNNNNNNNNNNNNNNNNNNNNNNNNNNNNNNNNNNNNNNNNNNNNNNNNNNNNNNNNNNNNNNNNNNNNNNNNNNNNNNNNNNNNNNNNNNNNNNNNNNNNNNNNNNNNNNNNNNNNNNNNNNNNNNNNNNNNNNNNNNNNNNNNNNNNNNNNNNNNNNNNNNNNNNNNNNNNNNNNNNNNNNNNNNNNNNNNNNNNNNNNNNNNNNNNNNNNNNNNNNNNNNNNNNNNNNNNNNNNNNNNNNNNNNNNNNNNNNNNNNNNNNNNNNNNNNNNNNNNNNNNNNNNNNNNNNNNNNNNNNNNNNNNNNNNNNNNNNNNNNNNNNNNNNNNNNNNNNNNNNNNNNNNNNNNNNNNNNNNNNNNNNNNNNNNNNNNNNNNNNNNNNNNNNNNNNNNNNNNNNNNNNNNNNNNNNNNNNNNNNNNNNNNNNNNNNNNNNNNNNNNNNNNNNNNNNNNNNNNNNNNNNNNNNNNNNNNNNNNNNNNNNNNNNNNNNNNNNNNNNNNNNNNNNNNNNNNNNNNNNNNNNNNNNNNNNNNNNNNNNNNNNNNNNNNNNNNNNNNNNNNNNNNNNNNNNNNNNNNNNNNNNNNNNNNNNNNNNNNNNNNNNNNNNNNNNNNNNNNNNNNNNNNNNNNNNNNNNNNNNNNNNNNNNNNNNNNNNNNNNNNNNNNNNNNNNNNNNNNNNNNNNNNNNNNNNNNNNNNNNNNNNNNNNNNNNNNNNNNNNNNNNNNNNNNNNNNNNNNNNNNNNNNNNNNNNNNNNNNNNNNNNNNNNNNNNNNNNNNNNNNNNNNNNNNNNNNNNNNNNNNNNNNNNNNNNNNNNNNNNNNNNNNNNNNNNNNNNNNNNNNNNNNNNNNNNNNNNNNNNNNNNNNNNNNNNNNNNNNNNNNNNNNNNNNNNNNNNNNNNNNNNNNNNNNNNNNNNNNNNNNNNNNNNNNNNNNNNNNNNNNNNNNNNNNNNNNNNNNNNNNNNNNNNNNNNNNNNNNNNNNNNNNNNNNNNNNNNNNNNNNNNNNNNNNNNNNNNNNNNNNNNNNNNNNNNNNNNNNNNNNNNNNNNNNNNNNNNNNNNNNNNNNNNNNNNNNNNNNNNNNNNNNNNNNNNNNNNNNNNNNNNNNNNNNNNNNNNNNNNNNNNNNNNNNNNNNNNNNNNNNNNNNNNNNNNNNNNNNNNNNNNNNNNNNNNNNNNNNNNNNNNNNNNNNNNNNNNNNNNNNNNNNNNNNNNNNNNNNNNNNNNNNNNNNNNNNNNNNNNNNNNNNNNNNNNNNNNNNNNNNNNNNNNNNNNNNNAACCAAAGGAAGCAUGUUCCAGACGUCGAUGCCACAACCAAAUUUCAGACUUUUUCUUCUCCUCCUUAGAUCCAUCUGCCAUCAAGGCUUGUUGCAACUUAUUUGAAUCCUUUGAUUGCAAGUCCAAGUAUAGAGUUUCCCCCGCUUAAUACGACAACCAAUCGUCUGUCUUGUUUGAAUGUCCUUAAUCACACAAAAUUCAGGCCAAAAAAUGACAAUACAAGAUAAGGCUGCAGUGAUUUGAGAAACUAACAAAAGAUUGUAAUCUAAAGAUGGAACAACUAAAACAGAAUCCAAAUUCAAAGUAUCAGUAAGAGUUAAGGAUCCUUCCCCAAUGACUGGGGUUGUGUUACCAUUGGCUGUGGAAACAAUUUUUUGUGAGGAAGGUCUAAGGGGUGAAACCUGUCUAGAAUCAAAAGUCAUAUGAUCUGUAGCACCAGAAUCAAUUAUCCAUGCACUAUUAAUAACAGGUGUAAAAGUAUUUAAAAACUUACCACAAUGAUCUGUAGCGGCUACUAAUGCAGAGACUUUCUCAACAACAUUAGUCUUUGUUUUUAUUUCGGUAACAGUUGCAAUCAAGGUUUUCUUGGAAUUCUUCUUCCGUUGAUCACGAUUAUUAUCAUUAAUAACAAAGUGUUGAUAGCCUAAACAUGAUCUAAAGGUCCAUGGUGCAAACCCUCGGUUCCUCAUUGUUUUCCUGGUCAUACCAAGAGUUGUUGCUUUGAAAUUGUGGGAUAUCCAGACUGGUGGGAUCAGUUUUAUUGCAGUGAGUGCAUUUGAAUGUUGACUUAUCAAUAUUAGGGCUUGUCUUCGGAUGGUUGAUUGCUGUUGGACUACCAUAGCGACAAAAUAUCCAGGAUUUCAAUUCCAGGGCUCUGAUACCAUCUUCAAAUUGAUGAAUGAUAGUUUUUCAUUCAUUCUUUCAUGUACAGAGUAUAUAUAGAGGGUAAUCACCAUUCUAAGAAUGGGAAAGAAUGAUACGAGGAAAUAAUGAUAUAAGGAAAUAAUAACUAAUAUCCUAAUAUCUCAACUUUCCUAAUAUCUCAAUAUUCCUAAUAUCUCAACUUUCCUAAUAUCUAAACAUUCAUAAUAUCUCAACACUAAAUGAUACAAGGAAAGAAUGAUAUAAGGAAAACAUUCCUAAUAUCUCAACACCACUUCAUGAUAUAUAUAGUUUCUUACCCUUAAUCAAUGGUUUCUAAGUGAAUUUAUAUAGAAAGAAAUCCAAACUGUAGACAGCAGUAUUGGUAACACUCAAUAUUCUGUAUAUAAUAGAAUAAAUAGCGUCACAGUGAUCGUCGCCUACAAGCAAGGUACAAAUACCACAAAGAGUGACCCACAUAGACAUUCCCCAACAAGAUGUAGUAGUGACUGACACAUAGCCACAAUUAACACGUAGAAAAGGAUAAGACCGGUGCACAGUAGCUCUUAUUUUACAUACUACUUAUGCCAACCAAAGUCACUCAGUUGGGAUGGGAGGGAGAUGGAGGUUUGUGCGGUGGCUUGUGGGGCGGAGUUGAUGGCUUCUUUCCAGGAGCUUCUGGCUUUUUCAUCGGAGCUGAAGGAGGCUCAAUCUUAUGAGGCGGCUUGUACGAGUCUUCUUUGCUCUCGAAAGGAGGGUGGCCAGGGUUGUGACCAUAAUGUGGUGGUUUCUCUCCCUUGGGAGGUUUACCAAUUGGGGUUGGUGGCUUGUGUUCUGGGAGUGGUUUCUCUCCCUUGGGAGGUUUAGUGGGUGACUUGUGUUCUGGAGGUGGCUUCUCCACCGAAGGCUUGUGCUCCGGUGGUGGCUUUUUGGUUGGAGGGGGCUUGGGGUAAUCAGCAAGAGAUGGGGUGGUGAGAACCACCAGUCCAAGGAACAACACUAGCAAGUAUGUGGGAGACAUUUUUGAGUUUGGGCUGAUCAGAUGAUGCAAAACUAAAGCAUUACGUGACCUUUUAUAGCAAGUAGCUCCCAAUACCUACUUGACACGUGUUACUGUGACCCAUAAAUAUUAUGGGGUCUAUUUGUGCCCUACCGGGUUGAAAACUUGGACAAUUGGGCAAGGACCCGCCUGACUAUGGAGGACUACUGAGGUGUGAUCACAGCUUUAGGAUUUUUCUUCCUCUGCAGCCGUCUUGCCGUUGGCAUGAUUUUCUUAAUCUCAAAUAAAGGCAUAGUUAUAGAGUUGUUUAAUCUCUAAAUGGGAUUUUAUAUAUCUUCAGAUAGCCAUUAAUACAUUUGAUGAAGAAAGAAAGACAAGUGCAUACAACAUGUAUACGACUAGCUUUCAUGGAGUUCAUUUAUGAUCAGUUUUCCUGUACAUGUAAACCAAGAUCAUAUAUGUUUUUGUUCCACAACAAUUUUGGAAUCUUGUUUAUCCGUUUUUAUCAUUAUAAUGUCACAUAGGCUGCCAACUUGGGCGCUAAAUUAAAGAUCCAGUUGGGCAAGUUCGUUUCAGAAUUUCAAUGGUGGAUUCAGGAAUUGUUUUAUAAGAUAUGCAAAAUAGUAGAGGGAUGAAUAGUGUUUCAUUAAGAAAAGAGCCCUGUAAAAAUAUUGUUUAAAGGUGCCAUAGAAACUAUAAUCAAUAAAUAACUUUUUUUCCCCAUGGGUGGUGUUUCUUGUGGGGAUCAGUGACUGGUUUGAGUCAACGCCGUGUCUCUUUAGUCCAGAAAUCAACUAUUUUAUGCAUUGAAUACAUCAACAAAGAAAAUAUGAAAGCCAAAUGACACCUCCCCCGCAAAAACUAAACCCUGGUUGCUAACUUUCUAUGUUUCAGUUCCAUUCACACAAGAAUAUUAGUUCAAGUUUGAGAAAAAUGGCGACUUACCUAGUGAUAACUCGGUCUUGGUUUGCGAUUUGACUUUAACGUCAUGGGUUGAAGCCUCCUACAAUCAUCGUGUAUGCUAGUUCAAAGCUCGUGGAAGAAGUUAUACAGGGAGGGAGAAACCUCCACAGCAAGCUCCAAAAGAGAAUUAUCACAUUGAAAGCUCCAGUUGAACACUGGGUGAAAGCCAUAACAAGAUUGGUUUUCUAUCGCUCUUUUAAGUAAUGGAAGAUUAUUAUCUCUGCUUGUCACUACAACCGUGCAUGCUGCUAGAUCUUUCUAGACACUUCAAACAGUGAAACCAAGUAUGAUUCUUUUUCUCUUGAGUGGGUCCACUUGCAUGCCAAUGAACGAGUUGAAAAGUUGGACAAUUGGCCACAGCGCGCACUUACCUUCUGGAACCGAAGGUCAGUGAAGUGGGGUUCCUUUUGGCCCCUUGUGUUUCUGUUCCAACCUACUCCAGGAACCGAAGUUCAGUGAAGUGGGGCUACUUUUGGCCUCUUGUGUUUCUGUUCCAACCAAACAAAAAUGGGAGGGAAAAAUAGCAUUAUGCUUGUGCUAAAGAUCAACGCAUGAUAGCUGAAUAAGGGAGAAAAAGGCAUUGCUAUCUCAAUUUCAUAAACUUGAUAAGUAGUGACAUUAAUAGUCUUCCUCAUAGAUGGAUACAUGGUUUUAUUUUAUUUAUUUAUUUUUAUUUUUUUGUUUUAUGUCAAUGCUAAUGAAUGAAGUGCAUUAGCUUGUUUUGUGACUAGAACUACAAAUGUCCAAAUUGGAGCUUCUCCAAUAUAUUUCUCAGUGAGUUAUUGAUUAGAACUCUUGGAUUGAGUUCCAAGAUUUGAAUCAGACCCCUCUAGCAGCUUCAGGGGUACGUAGCAACCUAUAGCAUAUUAAUGAAGACUUAGGAUUUAGACUUAGGAAUACAAAUUAAUAUGUACCUCAUGCUCUGACUAGCUUCCCUGCGUAUGCACAAAAUGGAGAUGACUCCCAAAAAAAUAGCAGAAUCGCCUUAGUAUGUUUUUGUGGUUAAGAUGAUUCUCCACUUUAUAUAUCCACAUUGGUUCAUUAUGCAAAUUAAUCAACUAAGCUAUUUUUAUUUUUUCUUAAAUGUGAAAUAGGAGCUCCAAAUUAACCUAACCAUUGGCCUGAUUGAAUUGAUUUCACUUGCAUAAUGUUAUAGUAGAAGUCCGUAAUUUGAAUUUUAUUUUUGCAAAAGGUAACGUAAAUGAAGCAUUGUAAUUAAAUUUAUUUGUAAUUACAAACUAAUUUUAUUUUAUUAAGAAUUAAUUUAAUUACUCAUUUAAAAUAAAAAUCAGUUAUACUUUUACCAAGAUGAUAAUAUUCAUAUUUUUCUAGUUAACAUAUAUAAAAUAGUACACUUUUUCAUAUAAAAAAAUAAUUUAUGAUUUAUUAUAAUGUUACUAUUCACAUUUUACUAAAUUGAUGGUACAUGAUAGUGAGAGAAGGGGGUGUCACACUCAGCUAAAGUUCUUUUCAAAAUAUUGCAUGGUGUUUAAUUUUAUGUGUCGGCGCGCGUGUGAAUGGAACCUGCAAAAGUCCAAAUUGGCGUUUCUCCAUUUUCCACAUAGGAUGGUGACGUUAAUAGACAAAGAUACAAUAUCUGUAGACAUUGCUUAAAAAUCGAUGUGAAGUAUUAGAAAUUACAGGGCACUGUACUGGGGGAGCGGCUGCCCCGCCAAAGGAGGAAGAAUGUAGCAAUUUCUUCUGUUAGCCAGGCCUUAGGAUUUAUGCAUGGGAUGCCUAAUAACAAACAGAGAAAAUAUACUUUUGGGGAAGGUAUCCAACAACAGACACCAUCAUUCAGAUGGUGGGAAGGUAUCCAACAGAUGCCAUCAUUCAGAUGGUAACAUAUAUAUACAUUUAUUAGUGAGUUUUUUUAAUACCUAUAAAAAAAAAUAUACACUUUGAUAUUGUGGCUGAAUCCAUUACAUACUCAACUAACCUUGCUCAUUAGGGAUUUGACUUAACAAGGGCAACGUUGCAGUACAAGCUCAAAACUUUAUGCAGGUGACAUUACAUUUGGUAAAGAAGAGGAAAAUAACGAAAGCCAUCCAUAAAAGCAAAAUUCCACAUGGGAUGAAAUUCACAAGCUUCAUUUACGAUAGAGUCGCAUCCAGGCAAUUAAUUCCACAUUAGACCGCCUGUUGACAUGUGUACCAAUCUUUUUUCAAAAAAUAUUUAUAAAUAAUUGAUACUCACAAAAAUAAUUUAAUAUUUAUAAAGGAUAAAAAAAUAUUUUCAAAUCUAUAACAAUUUAUAAAAUAUUAAUAAAAAAUUAUCUCUUAAACUUAGUAUAGUUUUAUCAGAUUAAACUUUUAUUUUGAACAAAUAAUUUUAAUCUAAGUUUUAAAUUCUAAAAUUAUUUCCUUAAAAUAAAAUUUUAAAAUUCAACACUUCAAUUGAAAUUGUCUUUUUAAAAAAUAUCUUCUUAUUUUAAUCCUUAUAAACUAUAGUUGAUUGAAAAUACUAUUGAAGUUCUCUCUUAAAAAAAAGUCUUAUUUUAAUCUUCAUAAAUUGCCCUUGAUUUGAAAAUAAAUUUUCAGUUAUCAUAUUUUAAAUAAUAUCUAUAUUUAAAAUACUCUAUUUAAAAAAAAAUGAACUAAUUUUAAUUAUAUUAUAUUUUAUUUUUUUAUAUAUUUUUAAUGAUAAACCAAACAUAGAAAAUCAUUUUUCUAAAUAUUUUAAAAUUUCUAAGCAACCAAACAUAAUCUUCAAAAUAAAAGGAAAAUAAGGAGGGACAUUUGAGAAAUGGCGAUUAAAAAAAAGUGUACAAAAGCUCAAUUAAUUUUCUUCUAGUCUUUUAUAUAAAAAAGUAAAGGAAUUGAAAAGUAUUGAUAUGUAAAUUAAUAUUUGGAUUUUAAUAGUAUUUUAUUUGUCUUUCUCUAUCUCAUGUAAAAGAGAAUUUAAGAUAUUUCCUAAAGCAAAGCAUUAGUUAUCUGCAAUCAGUGGUGAUCAUGCCCCAUGUCAAUUUCGGACCCAUAUCUUAAAACUGUAUAAUUUGCAUUCAAACAUUACUGAUUUCUCAGAUGUUUCAUACUCCACAGAAGAGCAUUGUUUGUGAAAGCAUGCAUUUAUGUUGGAUUUUGGAUGAUGUGGGAACUGGGGCAAGGAUCAUAUGGAAGAGUGGUCGAUUUUGUUCUGUACUUUAACAUUUGAAAUAGGAGAAGCUCGGGCAUUUGUGGGGCUUAAUUGAUUUUGAAGCCUGAAAUUGCGUUUCUGUCAUUUUGUAAAAAAUAUGGCAGAUUCCAUGCUCUCAUAUGUUUGGUCUGUGGCCAUGUAUAGAUGCCCCUUAGUGACCAGUUUGUAACUGUCAAUCAUAGUGUUUUGACUCUGGCUCAACAACAUCAGCCAUUGACGGAUUUUCAUACUUGCAAAUCAAAUAGUCUUCUUCCUCCCUUAGGAAUUUCGGUUUAAAUGUUAUUAAGCAUACAUUUGGCUGACAAUUAUUAACCACUUCAUGAUAUGGUUUCUUACCCUUAAUCAAUGGUUUCUAAGUGAAUAUAUGCAGAAGGAAAUCUGAACUGUAGACAGCAGUAUUGAUAACUCUCAAUAUUCUUUAUAUAAGAGAAUAAACAACGUCAUAGUGAUCGUCGCCUACAAGAAAGGUACAUUUCCCAACAAGAUGUAGUUGUGACUGGUACAUGGACGCAAUUAACUCGUACAAAAGAAUAAGACCAGUGCACGGCAGCUCUUAUUUUACAUGCUAAUUAUGCUAACCAAAGUCACUCAGUUGGGAUGGGAGGGAGAUGGAGGUUUGUGCGGUGGCUUGUGGGGCGGAGUUGGUGGCUUCUUUUCAGGAGCUUGUGGCUUUUUCGGAGCUGAAGGAGGCUCAAUCUUAUGAGGCGGCUUGUACGAGUCUUCUUUACUCUCGACAGGAGGGUGGCCAGGGUUGUGACCAUAAUGUGGUGGCUUCUCUCCCUUAGGUGGCUUGCCAACUGGGGUUGGUGGCUUGUGUUCAGGAAGUGGUUUCUCUCCCUUGGGAGGUUUACCAAUUGGGGUUGGUGGCUUGUGUUCUGGGAGUGGUUUCUCUCCCUUGGGAGGUUUAGUGGGUGACUUGUGUUCUGGAGGUGGCUUCUCCACCGGAGGCUUGUGCUCCGGUGGUGGCUUCUCCACCGGAGGCUUGUGCUCCGGUGGUGGCUUCUUGAUUGGAGGGGGCUUGGGGUAAUCAGCAAGAGAUGGGAUGGUGAGAACCACCACUCCAAGGAACAACACUAGCAAGUAUGUGGGAGACAUUUCUGAGUUUGAGCUGAUCAGAUGAUGCAAAACUAGAAGAAUUACGGGACCUUUUAUAGCAAGUAUCUCCCAAUACCCACAUGACACGUGUUACUAUGACCAUAAAUAUUAUAGGGUCCAUUUGUGCCCUACCGGGUUGAAAACUUGGACGCUUGGCCGAGGACACACCUGACUAUGGAGGACUAUUGACGUGUGAUCACAGCUUUUGGAUUUUUCUUCCUGUGCAGCUGUCUAGCGGUUGGCAUUAUUUUCUUAAUCUUAAAUAAAGGCAUAGUUAUAGAGUUGUUUAAUCUCUAAAUGGGAUUUUAUAUAUCUUCAGAUAGCCAUUAAUAUAUUUGAUGAAGAAAGACAAGUGCAUACAACAUGUAUACGGCUUGCUUCAAUCGAGUACAUUUAUGAUCAGUUUUCCUGUGCAAGUAAACCAGUUUUUUGUUCCACAACUAUUUUGGAAUCUUGUUUAUCAGUUUCUAUCAUUAUAAUGUCACAUAGGCUGCAAACUUGGGCACCCAAAGAUCUAGGUGGGCAAAUUUGUUUCAGACUUUCAAUGGUGGAUUCAGUAAUUGUUAAAAGGUGUUUCUUCAUUAAGGAAAGAGUCCGGUAAAAAUAUUGUUAAAAGGUGUCAUAGAAACUAUAAUAAAUAAAUAACUUCUUUUCCCCAUGGGUGGUGUUUCUUCUGGGGAUCAGUGACUGGUUAGGGUCACCCAAAAUGAGUCCAGAUUAAAAUUGGUUCGAGUCAAAGCAGUCUCUUUUGUCCAGAAAUCAACUAUUUUGCGCAUUGAAUGAAUCGAUAAAGAAAAAAUGAAAGCCAAAUCACACCUCCCCUGCAAAACCUAAACCCCGGUUGCUAACUUUCUAUGUUUCAGUCCUAUUCAUAUAGGAAUAUUGGUUCAAGUUUGAGAAAAAUGGCAACUUACCUAGGGUUUACUUGGUUUUGGUUUGCGACUAUUUACGCAACCAACCAUGAGUUUGACUUUAACGUCAUGGGUUGAAGCCUCCUACAAUCAUGUAUGAUAGUUCAAAGCUCGUGGAAGAAAUUAUACAGGAAGGAAGAAACCUCCAAAGCUAGCUCCAAAAGAGAAUUAUCACAUCGAUAGCUCCAGAGAUUCCCAAGGGAACUGAAUCAAAGACAAGUUCCUCACUUUUUCUUCUUUUGAGGCCAAAUAUGAACCAAGGAUCACACGACCUCAUUCAACUUCAUAAGUUUGAUUUCAUGCAGUUGAACACUGGGUGAAGGCCAUGACAAGAAUUGAUUAAAAAAUUCUACCACUCUUUUAAGUAAUGGAAGAUUAUUAUCUCUGAUUGGCACCACAACAGCACAUGCUGCUAGAUCUUUCUAGACACUCCAUGCAAUGAAAGCACAAUGGAUCUUGUAAUGAUAGAAACUAAGCCAUGCUACAGUACUAGAUGAGGGGGUAAAACUAGUAGACAUCUUUCUAGACACUCCAUGCAAUGAAAGCACAAUGGAUCUUGUAAUGAUAGAAACUAAGCCAUGCUACAGUACUAGAUGAGGUGGUAAAACUAGUAGACAUGGCUGGCAGUUGAUUACUACUCAAAAAGUACUCUUUUAUAGCUUGAAACUAACUGUUUUAAACACUUUUGAGUAGUAGUUAAUACCUUUUAACUUAAUUGGCACAUUAAGGAACCUAGCAAGGGUUACUAAUCAACAUUUGGCAAGUUUUGAUGUUUUUGGUAGCUAUUUGAUCAUUGAAACAAGCCAAGAAUGAGGGGGAAUUUUGUGAAGUCCAUGGCAAUGCAAGUUAAAGCUCAAAUACAUGAAGAAUCCAAGCUUUGGAGCACUUCAUAGCCCUUUGCCAAGCCAAUCAAAGAUGCAAGGAAGAAAACCAAAGGAAGAAAUCCAACAAUCAGCAUUUUGGCAUGGCUAUGUGAAAUUUCGCACACCAUGCGAAACCACAAGAGGCAGCCAAAGAAUUUCGCAUGGUAUGCGAAAUCUUCUUGUGCACUGACUCUGUUAGAUUUUUAUCUUCAGAUAUUUUGUGUAAUUUCCUAGUUUCUCCUUGUAACCAACUUAGAUAUUUUCUUUUAUAUCUUUUUUUAUAUUUUUUAGGUAACAUCAUAUAUAAGAGGAGAGACAUAAGGAGGAUAUGGAUGUUUUUCAUAGAACACUUGUAAAUUUUUGGUAGUAAGAAAUAUACAAAGCUUUUUGCUCUGCCUUACCUUCUCAAGGGAUGAGUGGCUAGGUUUUCUUGGAGUGAGGGAAGCUAGGUGAAGGACCUGAAUGCAAAGGUGGGAGUUUUCCUUACUUUAAAUGAAAGUAGUUGUUAAACAUUAAUGGUUUUUAUUUUAAGGUUUAGCUUUAAAUCCCUGAAAAACACCUUGAAUGGCCAAUACUUGGUAAGCUUUUUAGAUUCUAUGGAUGCUUAUUGCUAGAUCCAUGGAUGUCUAUUAGUUAUCAUUUACGAGCCAUUGGAAGGUGAUUCAAGGUGAGGGUCUUUAGUGUUUGAAGCCAUUAAUGGGAAGCAAUUACCAUUUUUUCAUGAAUCCUUUGGAUCAAAUCUUAAUUGCUAAAUAUAAAACCGGUUUCGAGAGAUAACCACCAUCCUUUAUGUUAUUAUCCCCAACGCGAGGAGAAGAUCCGAAAUCUUCCUUUUUAUCUAAGGAACCCGAUCCUAGUGACCUAAAGCUCCAAGAUACCUUUUCUUUGUAGUUAACUUCAUUUAUUGUUUUUGCUUAACUUAAAAUCAAUCUUUGCAACCACAAUUCCAUUUUCUUUAAAAGCUAAUUUUUAUAAGGAAAAACACCAUUUUAUUUCCUUCACUAAGUCAACUGUACGAUGAAAACCCAUCCCUGUGGACGAUCCUAGAGCCACUAUACUAUGUUAGCUAUGCUACCCUAGUGUGAGGUGAUUUAGGUUUUAUAAAUUUUUUUGAUAACACCCAUCUGAGCCAGAAUCAAAUGGCACGACUGAACCAGGGACGAAUCAAAUGACGCCGCUACCAAGGAUGGUGCCAAAGUACAUUGACAUGACUUUUGGUGAACACUUGUGAUCUUCACCACAAGUUUGGUGAUUUUUCUUUUACUAAUUUUUUUUAUUUUAGCUUAUCUUUUAUUUAGUUUUUAGUUAACCUUAAAUUUUUCCUAGAAUUGUAUUUCUUUUGUUUUCUUUGUUUUUGUUUCAGUGAUCUUUAGUUGUGCAUGCCCUAUUGGAUAAGAGAUAUUGAGGGAAUACUUGUGAAGAUUGAAACUCCUCGAGAAACUGAGUUAGAAGUGUGCUUGAACAUCAUGGAUGUUCCACCUGAAGACCAGAAUAGCCAACAUGGUUAAGAGGAUAAUUUCAACACAUACCGAUCCAUGAGGAACCGCAUACAUCCACCUUGUAUGAGUGCACCGUCAGGCAUAAUGCCUCCCACUGAGCAGCUAGUAAUCUGACCUCACAUUGUGCCACUCCUACCUACUUUCCAUGGGAUGGAGAGUGAGAAUCCCUACUCGCAUAUUAAGGAAUUCGAGGAGGUUUGUAAUACAUUCCAAGAAGGAGGAGCUUCAAUUGACUUGAUGAGGCUCAAGCUAUUUCCUUUCACUUUGAAGGAUAAGGCCAAGAUUUGGCUUAAUUCUUUAAGGCCAAGAAGUAUCCAAACUUGGAUUGAUUUGUAAGCCGAGUUUCUUAAGAAGUUCUUCCCUACCCAUAGGACCAAUGGUUUGAAAAGGCAAAAUUUGAACUUCUCAGUUAAAGAGAAUGAGAAAUUCUAUGAGUGUUGGGAGAGCUACAUGGAAGCUAUUAACGUUUGUCCUCACCAUGGCUUUGACACAUGGCUCUUAGUGAGCUAUUUUUACAAUGGUAUGUCUUCUUCAAUGAAGCAACUCCUAGAAACUAUGUGUGGAGGAGACUUCAUGAGUAAGAAUCCGGAGGAAGCCAUGGACUUUUUGAGUUAUGUGGCUGAAGUUUCAAGAGGAUGGGAUGAACCAAAUGCUAGAGAGGUGGGAAGAAUGAAGUCUCAACCUAAUGCUAAGGGUGAGAUGUAUGUUUUGAAUGAAGACAUUGACAUGAAAGCAAAGGUUGCAGCUAUGGCAAGGAGAUUGGAAGAGCUAGAAAUGAAGAACAUACAAAAAGUGCAAGCCAUUUCUGAGACAUCAAUGAAAGCUAUGCCUUGUUCCAUUUGUCAAUCUUAUAAGCACCUAGUGGAGGAGUGUCCUACAAUUCCAGCAGUGAGAGAGAUGUUUGGUGAUCAAGCAAAUGUUAUUGAUCAAUUCAAGCCUAAUAACAAUGCUUCAUAUGGCAACACCUACAAUUCAAAUUGGAGGAACCAUUCAAAUUUCUCUUGGAAACGAAAGCCACCUCAAUACACACAACCUACUCAAGCACCUUAGCAAUCCUCGAAUCUUGAACAAGCUAUUGUGAACCUUAGCAAGGUUGUGGGAGACUUUGUGGGAGAUCAGAAGUCCAUCAAUGCUCAACUGAAUCGGAGAAUUGACAGUGUGGAGAGUACAUUGAACAAAAGGAUGGAUGAGAUGUAAAAUGAUCUGUCUCAAAAGAUAGACAAUGUCCAAUACGUAAUCUCAAGGCUUACCAACCUCAACACAGUGUAAGAGAAAGGAAAGUUUCCUUCUCAACCUCAUCAAAAUCCUAAGGGUAUCCAUGAAGUAGAGGCUCAAGAGGGAGAAUCUUCAAAGGUGAGGGAAGUCAAAGUAGUUAUCACCUUGAAGAGUGGUAAAGAGGUUGAUCAACCCACAUCCAAGCCAAAGCAUAAUGAAGAGAGUGUAGCAGAAAAAGAAAAGAGAGGAAAAUAAAGGAAUUAGAAUAGAGAAAAAUACAAAGAAAGAUGACCAUGAGUCUAGUGUGGAUGAAGAGCCCGAGAGGAUGGUGAUCAAGGAAGAUAUGAUGAAGAAACACAUGCCUCCACCUUUCCCCUAAGCUUUGCAUGACAAAAAAAGAACCAAUAAUACAUCAGAAAAUUUUGAAGUAUUGAGGCAAGUGAAGGUCAAUAUCCCUUUGCUAGACAUGAUCAAACAAGUGUCGACAUAUGAAAAAUUCUUGAAGGACUUGUGCACUGUAAAGAGAGGGUUGAAUGUGAACAAGAAAGCUUUAUUGACCGAGCAAGUGAGUUCCAUCAUACAGUGCAAGUCCUAGUGAAGUACAAAGAUCCGGGUUGCCGUACCAUCUCAGUGAGUAUUGGAAGGACUUGUGUGGAGAAAGCUUUGUUGGACUUGGGAGCAAGUGUGAAUUUGCUAUCCUACUCUGUCUAUAAGCAGUUGGGAUUUGGAGAGUUGAAGCCAAUAUCCAUCACUCUAUCUCUAGCGGAUAGAUCAAUGAAGAUUCCAAGAGGGAUGAUCGAAGAUGUCCUGGUUCAAGUUAACAAAUUCUACUAUCCAGUAGAUUUUGUUGUUCUUGAUAUGGAUCCGGUUGUCAAAUGAACUAAUUAUGUUCCUAUCAUACUUGGAAGACCCUUCCUAGCUACAUCAAAUGCAAUCAUCAAUUGUAGGAAUGGAGUCAUGCAACUCACAUUUGUCAACAUGACAUUAGAGCUCAACAUCUUCCAUUUGUACAAGAAGCAUAUCCAUCAGGAGGAAAAAGAAGGUCUAGAGGAAGUGUGAAUGAUUGACACUUUAGUGGAAGAGCAUUGUGAUCGAGAAUGCAAAAAGAUUUAGUUGAGAAUUUUGGGGAUCUUGAUGAAAGGUUACUUGAACCCUCAGAUUUGCUUGCUACCCUACUCCAUUGGAAGAGAAGAGAAGAAAUUCUACCCUUAUUCAAUGAGGAGGAGACGCAAAGAGCUGCAAAGGAGAAACCCCCAAAACUUAUUCUUAAGCCACUACCCACAGAGUUGAAGUAUGUAUACUUGGAAGAAGACAAGAAGUGCCCUAUUGUUAUAUCUUCAACUCUUACCAUUCAUCAGGAGGAUUGUCUACUUGAAGUCCUUAGAAGAUGUAAGAAGACAAUAAGGUGGCUAAUUUCUUAUUUGAAAGGGAUCAGCCCUUUAGUCUGCACCCAUCAUAUUUACAUGGAGGAUGAAGCUAAGCUAAUUCAUCAACCUCAGAGAAGGUUGAACCCUCACAUGCAAGAGGUGGUUCGAGCUGAAGUUCUGAAGCUACUUCAGACCAGUAUUAUUUACCCCAUAUCAAAUAGCCCAUGGGUGAGUCCUACUCAAGUUGCGCCAAAGAAGUCUGGGAUCAUGGUGGUGCAAAAUGAUAAGGGAGAAGAUGUCUCUACACGCCUCACUACAGGUUGGAGGGUGUGUAUCAAUUACAGGAGGUUGAAUGCAGUGAUAAGAAAGGACCAUUUCUCAUUGCCCUUUAUUGAUCAGGUGCUUGAGAGGGUCUCUGGGCUUUUUUUUUUAUUGUUUCUUGGAUGGCUACUCCGGGUACUUUCAGAUAGAAAUUGAUGUUGAAAACCAAGAUAAGACCAUUUUCACAUGCCCAUUUGGAACCUAUGCAUAAAGGAGAAUGCCUUUCGGCUUAUGCAAUGCACCCGCAACUUUCCAAAGAUGCAUGUUAAGCAUUUUCAGUGAUAUGGUGGAGCGUAUUAUGGAAGUCUUUAUGGAUGAUAUCACCAUUUAUGGAAGUGCAUUUGAUGAAUGCUUGGUCAACUUAGAAGCUGUUCUGAACCGAUACAUUGAGAAAGACUUAGUGCUUAACUGGGAGAAGUGCCAUUUCAUGGUACACCAAGGGAUUGUCCUUGGGCACAUUAUCUCCAAGCAAGGCAUUGAAGUUGACAAAGCAAAGGUUGAACUCAUUGUUAAGUUGCCAUCCUCAACAAAUGUCAAAGGAGUAAGGCAAUUCUUUGGCCAUGUCGGGUUCUAUAGGAGGUUUAUCAAGGAUUUCUCUAAGCUUGCAAGGCCUCUUUGUGAAAUAUUGGUGAAUGAUGUUAAAUUCAUAUGGGAUGAUGGAUUUGAAAGGAGUUUUGAAGAAUUGAAGCUAUUUUUGACAACCGUACCAAUAGUGAGGGCUCCCAACUGGCAACUGCCCUUUGAAGUAAUGUGUGAUGUCAAUGAUUUUGCUAUAGGAUUUUUUCUUGGGCAAAGAGAAAAUGGAAAACCUUAUGUGAUCUACUAUGCGAGGAAGGCAUUGAAUGAGGCACAAAGAAACUACACAACCACCGAGAAAGAAUUGUUAGCUGUAGUUUUUGCCUUGGAUAAGUUUCGCGCUUACUUGGUGGGGUCCUUCAUCAUGGUUUUUACUGAUCACUUUGCUUUGAAGUAUCUGUUGACUAAGCAAGAUGCUAAAGCAAGGCUGAUUAGAUGGAUUCUCUUACUUCAAGAGUUCAAUCUCCAUAUCAAAGAUAAGAAAGGAGUGGAGAAUGUGGUAGCAGACCACAUUUCAAGGCUAGCUAUCGCACAUAAUUCCCAUGCUUUGCCCAUUAAUGACGAUUUUCUAGAGGGGUCUCUCAUGUUGGUGGAAGUUGUCCCUUGGUACGCUCACAUUGCUAACUACCUGGUCACGGGAAAAGUUCCAAGUGAGUGGAAAGCACAAGAUAAGAAGCACUUCUUUGCAAAAAUUCAUGCCUACUAUUGGGAAGAGCCAUUUCUAUUCAAGUAUUGUAUGGAUCAGAUAAUAAGGAAGUGCGUUCCUGAAGAAGAGCAACAGGGGAUCCUUAGUCAUUACCAUGAAAAUGCAUGUGGAGGCCACUUUGCUUAUCAAAAGACAGCCAUGAGGGUGUUGCAAUCGGGUUUCUGUUGGCCAUCACUUUUCAAAGAUGCCCACACCAUGUGCAAGAGUUGUGAUCGAUGCCAGAGGCUUGGGAAGUUGACACGCAGGAACAUGAUGCCUUUGAACCCCACUUUAAUAGUUGAUAUUUUUUAUGUUUGGGGCACUAACUUCAUGGGACCUUUCCCUAUGUCUUUUGGCUACUCUUACAUCUUGGUAGGAGUAGAUUAUGUUUCUAAGUGGGUUGAGGCAGUCCCAUGCAAACACAAUGACCAUAGAGUGGUUCUCAAGUUUCUUAAAGAGAAUAUCUUCUCAAGAUUUGGGGUGCCCAAAGCCAUAAUUAGUGAUGGGGGUACUCAUUUUUGCAACAAGCCUUUUGAAACUCUCCUAGCCAAGUAUGGGGUGAAGCAUAAGGUAGCUACACCUUACCACCCUCAAACUCAUGGACAAGUUGAGUUAGCAAACAGGGAGAUUAAAAACAUAUUGAUGAAGGUGGUGAACACAAACAGAAAAGAUUGGUCAGUCAAGCUUCUUAAUUCACUAUGGGCAUAUAGAACAACUUACAAGACCAUUCUCGGGAUGUCUCCUUAUCGCCUAGUUUAUGGCAAAGCAUGCCAUCUCCCUGUGGAAUUGGAAUACAAAGCUUGGUGGGCAAUCAAGAAGCUCAACAUGGAUUUGAGCAGAGCUGGGUUGAAGAGGUUCUUAGACCUUAAUGAGAUGGAGAAAUUGAGAAAUGAUGCCUACAUCAAUUCAAAAAUUGCAAAAGAAAAAUUGAAGAGGUGGCAUGAUCAGUUGAUUUCCCGCAAGGAUUUUCAAAAUGGACAAAGAGUCUUACUUUAUGACUCUAAACUCCACAUCUUUCCGGGCAAGCUGAAAUCAAGGUGGAUAGGUCAUUUUACCAUUCACCAAGUGCAUUCAAAUGGAGUAGUGGAACUACUCAACUCCAACAAUAUCGAGAACUUCAAAGUGAAUGGCCACCGUCUCAAGCCCUUUGUGGAGUCUUUUUCUCACAACAAGGAGAAAUUCAUCCUCCUUGAUCCACAUCAAGCUUAACAAGACCAAUUUUCUUGAUGGACUUAGUCUUUCUAAAGACUAUCGAGUCCAUAACUUUUUGUUUUAUUUUUUAUUUGAGAUUUUUUCGGUAUUGUUACUUGUUUUGUUUUUUAUUUUUCGUUUUAAUUUUAUUUGGUUUGAUUUAACUUAGGUUUUUGAUGAUCAAUUACAGGGGGGAUUUCAAAUAGAGGAAAAACCAAGAUAAUUCGCACACCCUACGAAAAUUUCGCAAGGCAUGCGAAAUUUAUGGCUUAUUUUGCAUGGGGUGAAAAUUUUCGUACAUCUUACGAACCAAUUUCGAACACUUUGCGAAAAUAAACCAACCCUGCGAAAUCAUUUCGAUUACUCUACGAAAUUUUCGUAGAGCAUGCGAAAAAUUUAGCACACCAAACACCAUUUCGCAUACUAUGCAAAAACCUAAGGGGUCUGCGAAACCAUUUCGCACCUCCAAAUCCAUUUCGCACAUUGUGCGAAAACCAAGAGGCGCUGUGCGAAAAUGAAAAGUCGCCCUGUCAUCCCUUUUUAAACCCCUCGAGCCCUAAAAUCUCCAUUUCGCAAGCACCCCUGUCCUUGCGAAUCCCUCAUUUUCCUCUACUACCUUGCAACCUCGUCCCUUUCCAUUUGAUAUUGUGCCCCGCGCACAUCUCAUUUCAGAGACUCGCACUCCGCGCCCCCUCAAAGCAUGGACUCGAGACCCACCUUCCAUUUCCGACGUGGCACGGACCCAAGGAGCCCUUUCUGCCCCUUCACUAAGACACACACCAAGGCAGAAAGCCUCCUUUGCUCAAGUGCCUAGUGAUUCUCCAUCUUAGGCCUCAGAGGCCUCGGAGGCCCCGUGGAUUCCACCUUCCGAGGGUAGAGCAGCCAUUGGUCCUUCCUCUUCUACUCCUUAGCGUAGAUACGAGACGAGGAGACCACCUACUACACAAGGGGCGACUACUUCGAGCCUUGAGAAUUCAGUACGAUGCCUUCCUGCCAAGAGGGUCAAGACUUCAGGUCCAAGUGAGUCAUCCAGAGCUUCAUAGCCUAAGCCUCCUGUAGAUUCCAAGGUUCCUACUGACAUAUCACCGGAGUCUAUUAUCAGAAGCCCGAUGCUCAUAGCACCGCCCAUUGAGGGCAACUCAGAUUAUAGAGCGAGAUCUUUCCACUUGGAGCUAUAUUUUGAUCAGGAGGCCAUACGACAGCAGCCUGAGCUCCGAGACUCUUAUGGCUUACUGCAGAGGUACCAUCUUGAGGAACUUAUGACUCCUCGUGAGUUUUUUUAUCCCAGAGUAGCACUAAACUUUUACCAGUCCAUGACUACUCGUGGCGUCCCGAGUCCUACCACGAUUCACUUCACCAUUGAUAGACGUCAUGGUAUCCUCAAGGCCAGACAUAUUACAGAGGCUCUACAAAUUCCUUUCGAGCUAGAGGAUCCAUCUGUUUUUCGCUAAUGGUCCCCAGUAUCUCAGAGGGACAUGGUCCGUAUUUUAUCUAGGGGAACAUCUACAGAUUCGAUCUUUCUACGGAAGGAGCUUCGACCUGGGAUGCUCCUCUUAGAUGUGGUGCUAUGCUCCAACCUCUUUCCCUUACAACAUUCGGUACAUAGGUGAUGAGCUAUUUUGGACGCUUUAUUCCGUAUAUCAGAGGGCUUCUACUUUGGCCCGCACCACUUGAUCAUGGUCUCCCUCAUCCACUUUGAGGAGAAGGUUCAUAGGAAGAAGCUUCAGAGGGUGGACACCAUUCCAUUACUAUUCCUGAGGUUACUUUGCCAGGUCUUGGAGUACAUGGGCUUUCCUACUGAGCCUCGGCUCGAGCUUUGCCGCCUUUGUCGAGAGUGAUCCACUCUCGACAAAUGGAAUUAGUUGGCGGGCUAUUCUGCACCUCCAGGAGCCCCUCCCAUGGUAGCACCUCCAAUGUCCCCACAGGCAAAGUAGGGCGAGCUCCCGGCAAAGACUGUACCACCAAUGCCCACACUUGAGGCUAUUUCUGCUGCUCUGCCUAUGACUCCUACUGUUCCACCAGUUGGUCCUUUUACAUCCGAGCCUUCCAUCACCAUCUCGGCUUCGGAGUUUCGCGCCCUUGUGCAUACCUUUCAGACACUCACCACCACACAUACUCCUCUCUUCUAGCAAAUGGUUGAGAUGUGUGCCCAUCAGGACCGGAAGACUACUAUACUCUGCCAAAUUCAGCAGCACCUAAGACUUUUGCCUCAACCUCAACCUAACCAUCCCAUAUCAUCAGAGCCUCUAGCUCCAACUGAGGAUACUAUUCCACCUGAGAACACUACCACAGUAGAGGUCCGGUUUCCACCACCUUAAGAGGCCACCACAGCUACAUCAGAGGAUGUGUCAUCUCCACUUGAGGCUCCCACUACUUGAUCAUAGGACAUAUCUUUAUCUUAUUGUAUUUACAUAUUAUAUUACUAGAGAUUUGUCCUUGUUUUGAUACUUUAUAUUCUGGGAUUGGAUGUAUUGCCUGAUGAUAUCUCAAUUGUACUUUCUCAUAUUAAUAUAUAGACAUCAAUUUUUUUUAGUAUACUUAGCAUUUUUCUAUUUCCUCUACUCAUUACUCUUUUGUUUUUUUUUACUCAUGUGGUUUCUCUUAUACAACUCAGACUCCAUUUCACUCAGGAGGUACCACUUCCUCCCUUUAUUUUCAAUUGCUCUUGAAAUAUUGAGUGCAAUGUUGAUCUUGGUUGGGGGGAGAGUUGAGGAAGGAAGUUUUGUUAAUAAUGCUAGGUUAAUUUGUUAAUUUAGUUACUUUCUGCUUAAUUUUAAAAGUUUUCACUCUACUUUCCAUGGUUAUUAAGGAAAAAUUCUCAAAAUGAAAUGGGAGAAAUCGAAUUCUUGCAUUUUUACUUGAAUCUUAGAAUUUGUAUCAUGCUUAUUAAAGUUGAUGAAUUAUUGAAACUCCUAUUGAAUUCAACCUUAUUUUUUCCACUUUAAUCUUACCACACACGGUGCACAUUAGGUUCCAGUUAUAAGAUAAAAAACUAUCUCACCCCCUAAACUUAGAAAAAUUUACACUUGGUACCUUUGACAUCGUUUUAAUAGUGUUGGGACACCUUAUAAAAGGCCAAUGAGCCUUUAAAAAAAAAAAAAAAAAAAAAAAGAGAAAGAACAAAGUAUUGCACUUGCCUUGAAACCUGAGCAAGAUCCGAGGGGUAUACAGUGAAAGUCUUUAAAACCUGGUGCCCUAAGCCUUGAUUGGUUGGGAGUCACCGACCUCAAUGCUCGUUAUAAGGGUGAAUAGGUGGAGUUUAACAUAUUGUAGGUGCUUGGGUAUUGAAUUUCAAUCUCAAAAGUCCGGGAAAAAAUCUAAGGAGUUAGUGGUCAAAAGAUCCUUAAAGCUUGAUGCCCUAAACCUUGAUUGGUUGAGAGUCAUUGAUGGAUCCCCGCUACAUGGACAUUUUAGAAAACAAUACCUUUAGCAUUGCACGCCUACAAUGAAAAAAAAAUGUGAAAUAAAAGAGGUGCGUUCUUAGCCUAUUGGAGGUUGGUCAGUUUGCUAAAGUUUGAGAAAUCUAGGUUGGGGGGAGAGAAUAGUCCGACAUACUAUAAUAAAAAACUAAUAACCUUAACACUUAGAUUUUUGUGGAAGAGUAAGGAUUGGACCUUUAGGGGUGGAAAUUCUUUUGAUGCUUAAAUUUGCAUAAUGCCUACUCUUUAUAAAUUAUGAUUAGGCAAGAGAUUUGAUGACUCUUGUUCAAAGUUGGGUUUUUCCUCUUUGAUGUUCCAUGAGAGAGUAUAAUCCUCAUCAUGCCACUUGAAAUCUUUUUGGAGUGAUUAACAUGAUUUUGUAAAUUAUUUUACUGUCUAUUUUUCUUUAUCUCUCUUUUAUUGCUAAUGGACUAGCAAUAUGUCAGUUGGGGGGAGUGAUUACUACUCAAAAAGUACUCUUUUAUAGCUUGAAACUAACUGUUUUAAACACUUUUGAGUAGGUGUUAAUACAUUUUAACUCAAUUGGCACAUUAAGGAACCUAACAAGGGUUACUAAUAAGUUUUUGGCAAGUUUUGGUGUUUUUGGUAGCUAUUUGAUCAUUGAAACAAGCCAAGAAUGAGGGAGAAUUUUGUGAAGUCCAUAGCAAUGCAAGUUAAAGCUCAAAUACAUGAAGAAUCCAAGCUUUGAAGCACUUCAUAGCCCUUUGCGAAGCCAAUCAGAGAUGCAAGGAAGAAAACCAGAGGAAAAAAUCCAACAACCAGCAUUUUCGCAUGGCUGUGCGAAAUUUUGCACACCAUGCGAAACCACAAGAAGUAGCCAAAGAAUUUUGCACACCAUGCGAAAUUUCGCAUGGUAUACGAAAUCUUCCUAUGCACCAACUCCGUUAUAUUUUUAUCUUCAGAUAUUUUGUGUAAUUUCCUAGUUUCUCCUUGUAACCAACCUAGAUAUUUUCUUUUAUAUCUUUUUUUUAUAUUUUUUAGGUAACAUCAUAUAUAGGGGGAGAGACAUAAGGAGGAUAUGGAUGUUUUUCAUAAAACACUUUUAAUUUUCUGGUAGUAAGAAAUAUACAAAGUUUUUUGCUCUGCCUUACCUUCUCAUUUUGUUUUCACCUAUCUUUCUAGCCAAACAACCUCUGAGAAUGAUUUCUCAGGGGAUGAGUAGUUAGGUUUUACGUUUCUUGGAGUGAGAGAAGCUAGGUGAAAGACCCAAAUGCUAAGGUGGGAGUUGUCCUUGCUUUAAAUGAAAGUAGUUGUUAAAUAUUAAUGGUUUUUAUUUUAAGGUUUAGCUUUAAAUCCCUUAAAAACACCUUGAAUGGCCAAUACUUGGUAAGCUUUUCGGAUUCUAUGGAUGCUUAUUGCUAGAUCCAUGGAUGUCAUUAGUUAUCAUUUAUGAGCCAUUGGAAGGUGGUUCAAGAUGAGAGUCUUUAGUGUUUGAAGCCAUUAAUGGGAAACAAUUACCAUUUUUUCAUGAAUCCUUUGGAUAAAAUCUUAAUUGCUAAAUAUAAAACUGGUUCGGGAGAUAACCAUCCUUUAUGUUAUUAUGCCCAAUGCAAGGAGAAGAUUUCGAAUCUUCUCAUUUGUCUAAGGAACCCGAUCCUAGUGACCUAAAGCUCCUAGAGACCUUUUCUUUGUAGUUAACUUCAUUUAUUGUUUUUGCUUAACUUAAAAUCAAUCUUUGCAACCACAAUUCCAUUUUCUUUAAAAGCUAAUUUUUAUAAGGAAAAGCACCAUUUUAUUUCCUUCACUAAGUCAACUGUAUGAUGAAAACCCAUCCCUGUGGACGAUCUUAGAGCCACUAUACUAUGUUAUCUAUGCUAUCCUAGUGUGAGGUGAUUUAGGUUUUAUAAAUUUUGUUGAUAACACCCGUCUGAGCCAGAAUCAAAUGGAACCACUGAACCAGGGACAAAUCAACAGCCUAUAUGGGAGGGACACAAGUUUAAUUGAUUUGCAUUUCAGCGUUAUAGAUAAGUAUGUUUUGGAAGAUUUGUUCUGGAAAUACUGCACCAAGUACGAUUCUUUUUCUCUUGAGUGAGUCCAUUUGCAUGCCAAUUAACGAGUUGAAAAGUAGGAGCACCUACCUCGUGCUCAUGGAACCGAAUGUCAGUGAAGUGGGGCUCCUUUUAGCCUCUUGUGUUUCUGUUCCAACCAAGGCGGCGUAGGGAAAAACAACAAUAUGUCUGUGCUAAAUAUCAACGCAUGAUAGAUGUUUUUUUUUUUUUUUUUGGUAUGUCAAGGCUAACGAAUGAAAUGCAUUAGCUUGUUUUGUGACUAUAACUGCAAAUGUCCAAAUUGGAGUAUCUCCAUUUCUCACUUCGGAUGGUUAACUUUAUAAACAAGAUAUAGGAAACAUGUGAACAUCUUGAGGAACAAUUCAAAUUAUUCAUUAGAAGUCCUGGGUUAAGUUCCAAGAUUUAAAUCAGACCCUUCUAGCAGCUUCAAGGGUACUUAGCAACCUAUAACAUAUUAAUGAAGAUUUAGGAUUUAGACUCCGGAAUACAAAUAAAUAUGUAUCUCAUGCUUUGACUAGCUUCCCUACAUAUGCAUAAAAUGGAGAUGACCCAAAAAAAAUAGCAGAAUCUAGCUUCCCUACAUAUGCACAAAAUGGAGAUGACCCAAAAAAUAGCAUAAUCGCCUUAGUUUCUGUGGUUAAGGUGAUUCUCCGCUUAAUAUCCACAUUGACUCAUUAUGCAAAAUCAACUGAGCUAAUUUUAUUUAUUUAUUUAAUGUCAAAUAGGAACUCCUAAUUAACUGAUUACUGUCGAAAAGUGCUAUUUUGUAGACCUAAUUAUAAGGGUUUUAAGCACCUUUGAGUAGUAAUCAUAUUCAUUUAACCUAAUUAAUUCAUUAAGCUCCUUAGUAAUUAGUUCUAACCAUUUUUAGUGGCAAGUUUACAUGUUUUUCAUCAGCUUAUGAACCAAUUCAAGCAUGCCAAUUGAUGGAGGAGCUACUUGGGCGAGUUAAGCAAGGAUUUUGGACGUUUACAGGCUUGAAUUUCAAGUGGAAACACGAGCACAAGCAAUGGGAACACCAUUUCGCAAGGGGAGGCAAUUCACCUUGCCAAAUGACCAAUUUCGCAAGGGGAUUUUCCUCAUGGUGCAAAAUUUGGUCAUUUCGCACCAUGAAGAAACCACCUUGCAAAAUUUCGCAAGGUGGAUUUAGGCACCUUGCGAAAUGCCAAAUUUCACAAGGUGGCUUUUCACCUUGCGAAAUUUGGACCUUUCAUCUUCCCCCCUUGCGAAAUGCCUUUGAAAUCCCCUGUUUUGAGACGCUGUUGAUGAUAUUCCACUGCCGGUUCUCCAAGAUAUUUUGCUUGACUUUUAGCUUUAUAAAUACCUAUUUUACCCUUGUAAUCAACCAAUGAAAAGGUUGCUUUUGUAAUAGCUCUUGUAAUUUAGCUUUUUAUUGUCUUUAAAUAGAGGUGAAGAGCCUCAGACACGAUCAUCUUGUAACCUGUAACUUUAUAAGUUAUAAGAGCACUUUUGUUCAUACGCUUCUUUUCUCUUUUCUUUCUCAUUUUCUUAGUAGCCAAACAUCCUUGGAGGAUGAAAUCCCCAAGGAUGAGAGGCUAAAACCUUUUAGUUUCUUGAAGUAAUGGAUGCCAUGUGAAGCUCCCGUGUCAGGAUGGAGAUUUCCAAGCCAUAAAUGUAAGUAGCUGAGCGUCAUAAAUGUUUUCAUUCAAAGUAAAGCUUUUAAUCCCUCUGACUUGCUUUGAAUGGCCAAUACUUGAUAACCUUUUGGUCUCAAUGGAUUCUUAUUGUUAGAUCCACUGACGUUCAUUAGUUAUCUCCUACGAGCCAUUGUAUUGCAAGUCGAGGAGAUGACCUAUACCAAUAAAAGAGCAUUUAUGAGGUUCAACUACCCUUUUUGUAAGUUUUCAAGGACUAAAACUCAGUUGUUAAACUCAUACCGGUUCGAGAAGUAAGCAUCACCUUAGUUGCUUCCCCAACUCGAGGUGAAAAGUCCCAAAAUCUCCAUUUUUACACAGUGAGUUAAGCAUGGCUAUCCAAAGCUUUAAGAAACUUCUUUUUCCAUCUUUUAACCUAUUUUCAUGUUAGUUUAGUUUACAACACCUUCAUCUUUUUAUGUUUUCAUCUUAACCUAAUUUUUAUUAAGAAAAGUUCACUCCAUCCUCCGAACUUCACCAGUUAAAGUAAAAACCCUUCCCAGUGUUCGAUCCUAGAGCCACUAUGCUAUAGUAGCUUUGCUACUUUAGUGUAAGGACCUUAGGUAUAAAUUUUGUUGAUACCCUUACAUGCCAAGCUACCAAGAGUCGGGUUAUCAUUAACCUAACCAUUGGCCUGUGUAAAUUGAUUUCACAUGCACAAUGUUGUAGUAGAAGUCCAUAUUUUGAAUUUUAUUUUUGUAAAGGUAAGGAAAAUGAAGCAUUGUGUAAUUAUAAAAAUAACUUCAUUGGAAUUCACAAGGUUCACCCAAAAUGGAGCUACAUCUGUAUUCUAUCCUACAGUAGACUAUAUAGAUUGUACAAUAGUAAAUUGCAAAUACAAUUAAUAAGUCUUGUGCUUCCUUACUAAUAAUCCUUUGACAUGAACAUUGCAGCACUAAGGUCCUCUUGGGAAGACACCUUGCACCCAUGAGAGCACUAAGAGGAAGCAAGGCAGAGUCAUGGGUGCAAUGUCAUGACUUGUUGUUGCACCAAGAGAGGCUUGGUGAUGCCAUGGUGUUGCAGUAGCAAGAAUGUUGCCUUGGCAGGGACACGAUCUAGGGAUAGAUGCCAAGAAAGGCUUAGCACUCACAUGAGUUGCACAAAGAUGAAUGUAAUAGAGCAUCAGAGAGACGUCUUGGCAAGUAAAUGAAUGGAUCCAAGAGACAACAACAUGAGGAGUUUCAAAUGGAUAAGGAAUGACUCAAAGACAUUUGAAAGCUACAAGUUGGAUUCUAAUUACGAUUGCAAUUUGAGUUUGAGUAGGAGUUUAGAUUUUGAUUGUAAUUGUAGUAUGAGUUGGACUAGGAUUGCUUAUCCUUAGUCAAUAUAGGAGCGGUUCGUGUCACCCUAUGAAAAGAGUUUGAGUAGGGACUAGGAUUGCUUACUCCUAGUCAAAUAUGGAGUAGGUGGUGCCACACCUAUAAAAAAAAGGGACAACAUGAGAGAGAGAGAGAGAGAGAAAGAGAGAGUGAAUUCACUAAAGAUAUUGUGGGAGUUUUGCUUUGUUACGUCUUGUAUUAUUACUUAGAAUAGGAAUAAAAUACAAGUUGGGGCUAGAGCCCCAUAAUUAAUCUCGUGUGCCUUUGUGGUUAUUCUUUAUUUGUCAUCUCGUGUGGAUUGGAUUAGGUUGACUUAGAGGGCUUCUAAGCACCACCUUUGUGGGUUAUUAUUUAUUUUCCAUCUCUUGUGGAUUAGAUUAGGUUGACUUAGAGGGCUUCUGAGCACCACCUUUGUGGGUUAUUAUUUAUUUUCCAUCUAUUGUGGAUUAGAUUAGGUUGACUUAGAGGGCUUUUAAGCACCACAUUUGUGGGUUAUUCUUUAUUUUCCAUAUCGUGUGGGUUGGAUUAGGUUGACAAGGAGAAAAAUUAUGUGGGAAAUUUGUGUUGGGACACUUACCAUAACCAAGUAAAAUCUACCAAGUCCUUUGUAAUAUCUUCAACAAAUAUUUUAGACUAGUUCUUUCAGUUAGUGUAAAGGAGGAAGAAGUGGUAUUGAUUCUAGAAAUAGGGUGUGUGUAUUUGAACUACAAUCCUUAUGAUCCUUAGGUCUCUAAACCUUCGUGAUGGGCUCCCUGACAUUUCAUAGGUUGUGCUACACAUGCGUUUGAAAUUUAGAGUGCGUUUGACAGUGAUUCCGGGAAGUGUUUUUGGCCUUUCUUACACUUGAAAAUUUUUAUUUUUCAAGUAUUAGAAAUGCUACAAACACUUUUGAAAAUUACUGUCAAACACACUCUUAGGAGCGCACAUAUAUAGUAGAAAACUAGAAAUUGUGGUUUUUUUAGGAUUUACUGUAAUGUCAUUAGGAGGGUAGUAAGUUGAAAUUGAGUAUGAACAAAUAUUUCUUUCUUUGGGAUGUUCUUCUAGUAGGUGCUGAUGAAACUGUUCUUUCUACUGCCAAUGUCACAUAUCAGCCAGAAAUUGAAAAUUUCAGUCAAGGUGUCCUCUGUUUUAGUGGUGAGGAAAGCUAGAAAUUUUAAGGUGAAGUUUUGUUAAAAACCUUAAGUAGCUGGGAUAUCAGGCCUGUUUUGCUUGAAAAAAAAAGUUGCAAGAUAACUCAUAUGCCAAACAGGUUCUGAUAUUGUGAAUCUAUCGGCAGACAUCAGUAAUCUCAUCUUCUGAGAUGGAUGUUGGGGGUGCAUGUGGUGGUGGAGGGGCAAGGUUUCAUUUGGUUUAUUUUGUUGAUGGAUAUUGUCUAGCCACCUGCGCCAAGUUUGAGGGGUGGUGGGUUGUGAUGACCCUACAAUUACUAUUAAUUUCUUCAUCUUUUACCGAUUAAAGUGUCCGAACAGUCGAAGUUACCCUUAUGCAUGUCAACUUGAUCACUUACCUCUUCAAUGGAGUUUAUGCUGGUUCAUUUAGGAACUGAUUUUUAUUGUUAUGUAUUAUAUGCUGAUGUUUAGGUCUCUCCAUCAUCACUAUAUACAAAAAUUCUAGGUUGAUACUAUAGGUUGAGAUUUAUUUUUUAAAUAAAAAAUAAUAAAAAUAAAAAUUAUGGUGAUGUUUAGUUGUUUUAUGGAAAAUUUUAACAAGUAAAAGUUAUUUUUGGGCAAGUUUUCAAACAAAAAGAAAAGUAAAAGUUGUUUUGACAAAAACAUAUAGAAAAAAAAAUCAUAGAAAAUAAAUAAUUUCCCCAUAUUCUAACUUUUUUGAAUUUUUCUCAAUGGGCAAAGGAAUAUCAAAUCAAGUUUGAGUAGGAUUUCUUAAUUUUUAAAAUAACUUACAAUUAAAAAAUUUUGGUGUUUUCAUUUUUGGACAAUUUUUUAUUAAGCAAAUGGACUCUGAGUCAUGCAAGAGAUAUGGUUCAUUAACCGGUCGAACAAUUUUUUUAAAUUAAUUUAAAAGUCAAAUACAUAAUCAAUUUCACAAAAUUUAUAAACAAAAAUAGGUUUAGAGAAGAUCUACACAUAAUUUUACUUUUCUAAUUUUAUUUUAUUUUAUUUUUUGUUGGAAAAUAGUCUUCAAAUCAUGUAAGAUUUAAUAGGUUAAAUUUGUUAACAAUAAAUUUUAAAUUAUAAAAUAUAAUCUGGAACUCAAAAAUCAAUUCAAGUAAUGCUAAAAAAAAAUCAAAUUUGGUAUAGAAUGACUUUGUAAAUUUUUUUACAAAACAAAUGAAUUUUAAAUCAAGUGAGAUUUAAUGCAUUAGAUUUUUAUCAAAUAUAGUAAUUUUAAAAAUAAAUUUGGAACUCAACAAUAGACACAAUAAAUACCAAAAAAUAAUGAACCAAAAUUGGUUUGGAAUAACUCCACAACCUUUUUUUUUUUUUUUUGGUGCACACGAAUUUUCUUACUAGGUAUAUUGCUUUCAAAUUGAGAAAGAUUUACCAUUUAGAUUUUUUUUUAAUGAGUUUAAUGGUAUUUUAAAAUAAUUCAAAAUUUAAAAAAUUGACUAAUUAAUAUUAUAAAUUGAUAAACCAAGACUAUUUCAAAAUGCAUUGGGGGCUAAGGGGGUUGAAAAUAGGGACAAUGGGAUGGGUUUGGGACAUGACACUCAUAUCUCAUUUCCAUUCCAAUUACACAGUUAUCUCCCAUCCUUAUCCCAAACUUGUGUUGGAGCAAGUUGAUUUGUUCCCAUCUUUGUUGACGAAAUGACUAAUAACCUCAUCCCCUCCUUAUCUUAGAUGUACAUUUUGUCAAAUUUGAUCAGGUAUGAUUGAUCCAAGCCCUAACCCUAAUUGGUAAUGAGUGAAUACUACACCUAAUUGCAUUCUUCUUUCAUUGCAAAAUAAUGAGAUUAUAAUAAUCUAGCAAAUAAGAAAAAAUAGUAUGGAAGUUCAAAUUAACACCAUAACUAUCAAUAAUUUUAAGCUUAUAGAUGACUUAAAUGAUUAAAAACUAAUGCAAAAUCCUAAAAAAAAUAAAAAUCAUAUAAAGAAUUCACAAGAGAACAGAAUGAACAAAAACCAAAUAUGAACAUGGGUCAACAUUAGUUAUGGAUUUGGAUUCCUUUCAAGGCCAAUCUUUGAACCAAGACUUCAUCAAAUCAACUACUUCAAAGGCUUUUGUGUUCUUCUUGGGUUGUGCUCUCAAACAAAGACUUCGAGGUGAUGUUCUAGAUGAUUGAAUUACACAUAUUUAGGGUGGAGAGAUUGGAGAAGCUUGAAGAUGCCAACGAUGGGUACAAUUGAGUGGUCAAUAAGAACAAUGUAGCCUAUGACUAGUUUGAUGUCAUGGUACAAGAGUUUUAGGCAUUGAGGUUAAAGCAAGAGCAACAUGGAAUUGAUUUCGGAGUCUUUCAGUUAGUGUAAAGGAGGAAGAAGUGGUGUUGAUUCUAGAAAUAGGGUUUUAAGUGGUGCGUGAUUACUACUCAAAAAGUGCUAUUUGAUAGCCUUUAAUUAAUCCUUUUUAACACUUUUGAGUAGUAGUUUAGGCCUUUUAACUCAAUUGGCAUGUUAAGGAUCCUUUAAAGCAAUUUUGAUCACUUUGUGCAAGUUUUGGUGUUUUUGUUAGUAUUUUGAUCACCAAAGCAAGUCAAGAAUGAGGAGAACUAUGAGGAAUCAUGGGCAAAGCUUAGAAUUCAAUUGCCAAGAGUGAAUCCGGAUUGCAAGGAGAAAAAGCAAAGAGAAUCUGUCAUGAAGCCUAUUCUUGAUGACAGUCGUAGCAGCCACUUUUGGAGCACUUUCUGAAGUCCAAAUGAUGCAAGCUAUAUACCAUUUCAAAGAUCAGGAAGUCAACAAUCCAAUGCUUCAAACGGUGCGCGAUUCGGAGUUGAAACGAAGAAGUUGCAGCCAUUACAAGCCAGUCACUCUAAAGUGUUGCGGAAUCAGCCUUUUGUUGCGAGAAUUUCGCAGCACUUUUGUACAGUAAGGUGUUUCUCCUUCUGACGAUGCACGAACCAUGCCGCGAGAGGGAAGCUAGGAACUUCAAGAUGGAAGCCAACUUUGCAGCCUGGUGAAGAUAGCUUGGUCUUGCGAAAUAAUUUCGCAGCCCUCUUGGGUGUCUGCGAAAUUUCGCAGGCACCACUUUUUUCCUGCGAAAUGGCUCCGGAAGCCUCCCGAAGCUUGCUACCGACAUUGGGAGAUAUUUUCCAUUAGAUUUUUGUUGUCUAAAUUCCAAAAUACUCCUUGUAAACCACCAAUUACAUGAUUCCUUAGUUUUUAAGUUAGUAAAAAGACCAAAUAUCUAUGUAAUAAUUAGUUUUAUAUUAGUUUGCUAUAAAUACCUCUCGGGAGCAUGUUCUCAGAGAGGAGUUCCUUCUGUAACCAUUUUGGUAAGCAAGUAAAGUCUUUUCUUUCUACUGCCUUACCUUCUCACUUUGUAUUUUCAUUUUAUUUCUAAGUUAUGAAUUCUCUGAGGAGCUUUCCCCAGAGAAUGAGUAACUAAACCUCCAAUUCCUUGGAGCUAAGGUUGCCGGGGAAGGUUCCAAGUGCAAGAAUGCAAAGCUCUGUGGUUUUAGCUAGUAAUGAAGAGGAAGUGAAAUCCUUUAGUGAUUUCAAUGUUUUUAGUUAACUUAAAACACCUUGGAGUCACCUGGGCCAACACUUGGUAAGGCAAGUGAUUUCCAACCGUGGAAAUGCACUAGUUUACCCCUUGCGAGCCUCUGGUAGGUGACUUCAAGGUAGGAUUUUCUGGAAUUACCAACACUUGGUAAGCUUUUGGACUCCUAGGAGACAUCCAUUAGUUAUCUCUUGCGAGUUUGUGAAGGGGAAUCCAAGGUUAAAGAUCACCUUGAAUGGUAAGUGCUCGUGAGAGGCAUGAACCAUUGCAAGUUGUAUCAGUGAGAGAAUUAAAGUGAAAUCUAAUUGAAGGAGUCUCUGUACAUCACCGGUUAGAGAAUUGACUAUAAGUUGAAUCUCUAAUGCGAGGAAAUGAACCAUCUGACCGGAGCUAUGUCUUUUGCAUGAGGAACCACCCCAGUGAACCUAAAUCUCCAAGGAAUGCUUUUCUUCCUAAAUUAUUCCAAACUUCUGUUAAGUUAGUUAGUUUAAGUCUAAACCUUUACCAAUCAAACUUUGUGUUUUAUUUCUUAAGCUAACCGUGAAAUGAAACAAAACCAAUUCACUUGGAAUUGGUAUCCUUGAUUGCUUGCAAAUCAUUCCCAGUGAACGAUCCUUAGAGCCACUAUACUAUAGUAGCUUUGUAUUUGCUACCCUAGUGUAUGGUGUUAUAGGUAUAAAUUUUGUUGAUCACUUCCUCAAUCAAGGAACACCAGCUGAACACAAAUCAGCUGAGACACCAAUUGGGCAUGAGUCAAAUGGCGCCGUUGCCGGGGAAUGAGUGUCAAGAUCAUUGUGAUACCAUUUUUGAGCACUUGUGAUUUUCAUCACAAGUUGGUAAAGUUUCUUUCACUUUACUAAUUUUCAUUCUCUCUUUGUUUAUUUACAAUCUAAGUUUAUCUUUUUAAAAUUUAGUCUAGUUUAAUUUUGCUAUUGUAGCCUUGUUUCUCUUGUUGUCCUCUGUUCUUGUUGUCCUCUGUUUUCAUUUUAGUUGCAGCUGAAUACUAGUUGUGUAUGCCAAAGUGGAUACGAGACAUUGGAGGUAGGCUUAUUAAGUGUGAUACACCUCAGAGAGGAGAAUUGGAAGUAAUCUUGAAUAUCAUGGAGGCUGCACCUGAAGAUCAGCAUAGUCACCAAGGUCGUCAAGACAAUCUCAAUGAAUUCAGAUCAAUGAGGGACCGUAUGCAUCCACCUCGUAUGAGUGCACCAUCAUGUAUAGUGCCCCCUACAGAGCAACUAGUGAUCAGACCAUAUCUUGUUCCACUUCUACCAACUUUCCAUGGGAUGGAAAGUGAGAAUCCGUAUGCACACAUCAAGGAAUUUGAAGAUGUUUGUAAUACAUUCCAAGAGGGAGGAGCUUCAAUUGAUUUGAUGAGGCUUAAGUUAUUUCCUUUUAAUUUAAAGGAUAAGGCCAAAAUUUGGCUUAAUUCUUUAAGGCCAAGGAGUAUCCGCUCUUGGACUGAUUUACAAGCUGAAUUCCUCAAGAAAUUUUUUCCUACUCAUAGAACAAAUGGCUUGAAAAGGCAAAUUUCAAACUUCUCAGCUAAAGAGAAUGAGAAAUUCUAUGAGUGUUGGGAAAGAUACAUGGAAGCUAUAAAUGCUUGUCCUCACCAUGGCUUUGAUACUUGGCUACUGGUGAGUUAUUUUUAUGAUGGUAUGUCCUCCUCAAUGAAGCAACUCCUCGAGAAAAUGUGUGGAGAAGAUUUCAUGAGCAAAAAUCCAGAGGAAGCUAUGGAUUUCUUGAGCUAUGUAGCUGAUGUUUCAAGGGGAUGGGAUGAACCAACUAAAGGAGAAGUGGGAAAGAUGAAGUCUCAGUUGAAUGCUUACAAUGCAAAGGCUGGGAUGUAUACUUUAAAAGAGGAUGAUGACAUGAAAGCAAAGUUGGCAGCUAUGACAAGAAGAUUGGAGGAGCUGGAGCUGAAAAGAAUGCAUGAAGUGCAAGCUGUUGCUGAAGCACCAGUGCAAGUGAAGUUGUGUCCCAAUUGUCAAUCGUUUGAACAUUUGGUAGAGGAAUGCCCUGCAAUUUCAGCUGAAAGGGAAAUGUAUAGAGAUCAAGCAAAUGUUGUUGGACAAUUCAGGCCCAAUAACAAUGCUCCUUAUGGAAAUACCUACAAUUCAAGUUGGAGGAAUCAUCCAAAUUUUUCAUGGAAGGCCAGAGCAACUCAAUACCAACAGCCGGAUCCACCAUCUCAACAAUCUUCAAGUAUUGAACAAAUAAUAGCUAAUCUCAGCAAGGUAGUGGGAGAUUUUGUGGGAAAGCAAGAAGCCACCAAUGCUCGAGUGGAUCAAAGAAUGGACAGAGUGGAUCAAAGAAUGGACAGAAUGGAGAGUAUGUUGAACAAAAGAAUGGAUGGAAUGCAAAAUGAUAUGAAUCAAAAAUUUGAUAACAUCCAAUAUUCAAUUUCAAGGCUUACAAAUUUGAAUACACUGCAAGAAAAGGGAAGAUUUCCUUCUCAACCUAACCAAAAUCCCAAAGGUGUCCAUGAAGUGGAAAGCCAUGAGGGAGAAUCAUCACAGGUGAAAGAUGUGAAAGCUUUGAUCACUCUAAGGAGUGGUAAGAAAAUUGAGCAGCCAACACCCAAGCCACAUGUUGAGAAAGAAGAAGAGAUGAAGAAAGGGAAGGAAAUGGAAGAUAAAGGCAGUGAGAUCAGUGAAGAAAAGAAGGACUCUGAUGCAACAAUGAAAGUAAUUCCAGAGAAGGAGCUUCUGAAGGAAGAAAUGCUGAAGAAAUCAACUUUUCCACCUUUUCCUCAAGCAUUACAGGGGAAAAAGGGGGUUAGAAAUGCAGCUGAAAUCCUAGAAGUAUUGAGGCAAGUGAAAGUUAAUAUUCCACUGCUGGAUAUGAUCAAACAAGUUCCAACGUAUGCAAAAUUCCUAAAGGACUUGUGUACUAUCAAAAGAGGGUUGACUGUAAACAAGAAAGCCUUCUUGACUGAGCAAGUAAGUGCAAUCUUACAGUGUAAGUCUCCUUUGAAGUACAAAGACCCUGGAAGUCCUACCAUUUCAGUCAUGAUUGGAGGAAAGGUAGUGGAGAAAGCCUUGCUAGACUUGGGAGCAAGUGUGAAUUUGCUUCCAUAUUCUGUCUACAAGCAACUGGGACUUGGAGAGUUGAAGCCAACAGCAAUCACUUUGUCUCUGGCAGAUAGAUCAGUGAAAAUUCCAAGAGGGGUAAUUGAGGAUGUAUUGGUUCAAGUAGAUAAUUUCUACUAUCCUGUAGAUUUUGUUGUUCUUGAUACAGAUCCUACUGUAAAGGAAGCUAAUUUAGUUCCUAUCAUCCUUGGAAGGCCAUUUCUUGCAACUUCAAAUGCAAUCAUCAACUGUAGAAAUGGGCUUAUGCAACUCACUUUUGGUAACAUGACACUGGAUCUAAAUAUUUUCUAUAUGUCUAAAAAGCAAAUCACUCCAGAAGAAGAAGAGGGUCCAGAAGAGCUAUGUAUUAUUGAUACUUUGGUGGAGGAGCACUGCAAUCAACAUAUGCAAGAUAAGUUGAAUGAAAGUUUUGUGGAUAUUGAGGAAGGUUUUUCUGAAUCUCCUAAUGGGCUUGCUACUCUACAAAGUUGGAGAAAGAUAGAAGGAAUUCUACCUUUGUUCAAUGAAGAAGAGGAGGCAGCUGUUGAAAAAGAAAUUCCAAAACUCAAUCUGAAGCCUUUACCUAUGGAGCUGAAAUAUACAUAUCUUGAAGAAAAUAAUCAAUGUCCUGUCGUAAUAUCUUCAUCUCAAACCAAGUCUCAAGUGAAGGAUGCAAGCUUCAAAUGGGAUCCGGGCAAACUGAAUCAGGAAGGGCAAAAAGUUUUGAUGUAUGACACAAGACUCCAUAUCUUUCCUGGGAAGCUCAAGUCAAGGUGGAUUGGUCCAUUUGUUAUUCACCGAGUAUAUUCCAAUGGAGUGGUGGACUUAUUGAAUUCCAAUGGCAAGGACAGCUUUAGAGUCAAUGGAUAUCGUCUUAAGCCGUUCAUGGAGUCAUUCAAAUCAGAAAAGGAGGCAAUCAACCUCCUUGAACCUCAAAAAGCCUAAGUGAAAUGGGUUUGCUGGACGUGGUUUUACCACAGUCCAAAAAUUUUUGUAAAUUUUGUAAAUUUUCAAGUUGUUUCCAUGCUUUUAAUCUUAGUUUUUGAUUUUAAAUCAUGUUUUUAGGUGUGUUUUAAUCGUUUUAUAUGAUCCCAGGCGGAAGAAAUUUCAAGGGGAUUGAAAAGAAAAAAAUCGGGUCGAAAUUGGAGCCGAAACAGAGCAAAAACAGGGGAAAAACAGAGCUCUGCGAAAUUUCGCAGGGUGAAGGAAACUUCUGCGAAAUUGGCAUUUUGCUGCCAAACCAUUCCGCAGCACUGUAGAAGCCUCUGCGAGUGUAUUUCGCAAUUGCGAAAGUGGAUUUGGCACACGAGUGCCACUUCGCAGCACAGUGACAUCAAUUUCGCAGCUGCGAAACUCACUGCGAAGUUGCUGCGAAAAUGGCAAGUUGCUGCGAAAUUGGCGUUUUGUUGCGAAACGUAAUCUGACCCCUGGGCUUCCGUUUUUCCUAUUUAUACCUGUCAAAAGUGCUGCGAAAAAGGUUUCAAAAAUUAGAGCACCAUUCUCGCAGCCCUUUCAUCUUCUUCGCCAAGCCACGCCGUCCGUUUCUCCGGUCGUCUUCUCCGUUUAGCAGCGCCGGCCAAAGAUCGAUAGCCCAAAAAUGGCACGAACGCGAGGGGCAAAGUCUUCAUCCCCUUCGAACCGCAAAAGGAGUCUGCGAAAGGAGCCAAGUUCAGGCUCUGUUCCAGAACCUGCUCCAAAGCCUUCGCCGUCGAGACCACAACCUUCUCCAGUGAAGCCGGCGCCACCAAAGCCGCCGGCAAGGCGAUAUUUAACCAGGUCAGGUGGUCAGCCAUUGAAGAAGAAAGCCAGAGUUGAGAGCUCUGAACCAAUCGAUUUGACUGAGCAAUCCCCUGAGAAAUCACCAAAUCCUUCACCGGUACAAAUUCCAGUGCCAUCACCGGUUCCCUCGCCAAUUCCCUCACCAGAAGCAACUCCAAUUCCAUCGCCGGUACCAUCUCCGGCACCCCAAGAAAAAGCUCAGGAGCCUCAAGCGCCAAUUCCAGAGCCCCAAAUUGCAGCUGAAGCACCUCUGGAAGAAGUGAUCCGAAGGCCAAUGCUGCCUCAGCCCCCAAUCGAAGGAAACCUGGAUUGCCGAACUCGGGCAUUCCAUUCUGAGCUUUGCUUCGAUUUAACAGCAUUCAGAGUGAGGCCAGAGCUUGCCCAAUCCUUCCAACUGCUGAGGAGAUAUCAUAUGGAGCAUCUGCUAGCUCCAAGGGAUUUUUUCUAUCCCCGGGUAGUCACGGAUUUCUACCAAACCAUGACAACCAAAGAAGUAAGAAAUCCAACUCUGAUUCAUUUCAUAAUUGAUGGAAGGCAUGGUAUUUUGGGAGCAAGACAUAUUGCUGAAGCCCUGCAAAUUCCUUUUGAGCCAACUCAAUUCGACAAUUUUAAAGCUUGGACAAAUCCUACUGAGUUAGAGAUGGUUAGCACACUAACCAGAGGAGCUGCAAAUCGAUCGCAUUUGUUGAGGGGGGAGCUACCUCCAGUUAUGUUUUUGAUUGAUGCCUUUUUGAGGCAUAAUAUCUAUCCCCUGCAGCAUUGGACCCAAAGAAGGGGAAUUCUCCUAGAAGCCUUGUACAAAAUGUCUGAAGGAUUCUUCUUUGGGCCUCAUCAUCUGAUCAUGGCAGCCCUUCUAUACUUUGAGGAGAAGGUUCACAAGAAGAAGCUUCAAAGAGCAGAUUGCAUUCCACUCCUCUUCCCAAGGCUGCUAUGCCAAGUUUUGGAGCAUCUCGGAUACCCCUCUGAGCCUCAGCAGGAAAGAAAGAGAAUAUGCCGUGAGCCUUUUACCCUUGAUAAAUGGAAUAAUAUGACGGCCUACAAAAUUGAUCAGCCUGGGCAGCCUCAGCCAGCAGCAAGGAGAGUCUCCCCAAGACAUAUACCUGAAGGUAUAACACUUGCUACUCCUGCCAUCCCUCGAGCUCCACCAGCUGCACCUGCUCCAUCACAGCCAUCCACAUCAGCUGAGCCGAGGAUGGCCAUCCCUAUAUCCGAAUAUCGAGAGCUGUGCCGUGCAUUGGAGACUCUUACAGCUUCUCAGAGCAAUCUUGCUCAGGAGUUGGCAGCCAUUAAAGCAUGCCAGGAGCAGAUGUUAGCCUCUCAGACUCAACAAGCUGCCAUCCUAAGGCAGCUUCAAGUCCAUUUCGAUCUGCCACAAGCUGUAGAGCCCUCUAUUCCUACUCCACCAGAGCCACACUCUCAGCCUUCAGAGUCUCAUCCUCCAGAACCCGAAGCACCAGCUGAUCCACCUACUGAGGAGGCAGAUCCUUCUGCCUAGCACCAUCACCCCCCUCAUCAGACAUUAUAUAUAUAUUUGCUGUUUAUGUUUUUAUGCAUGUUUGUUUUGUUUUAGUUGAAAAGAAAUCCCAGUAUUUUGGUACUAUAUAUGGGAUUCCUUGUGUUACUUGUCUUUAGUAUUGUAAUCACAUGAACUCAAAGUAAUACAAGUUGACUAUUUCUUGUUAAAAGUUAGCAUUAAAGUUUCCUUAUUUCCUUUUCUCACAUAUUCUAUUCUUUUUGAAACAUGUGGUUUUCCCCAAUCAAUAUUCGAAUUUGAUAUCAGCAUGGAGGUACCACUUCCUCCCUUUUAUUACAGUCACUCAAAUCACAUUGAGGACAAUGCUCAGUUCGGUUGGGGGGUAUGAGGAAGGAAGUAUUCUAAACCUUUUUGGUAUUGCAAUUAUAUUGGUUAAUUAGUUGUAGAUUUUACUUUUUACUAGUGUUACUCUAUUCUCCAUGAAUUUUGAGGAAAAAUUUUCAAAUUAAACCAAGAGAAAUUGAACUGUUGUUUUUCACUUGACUUAGAGUAUGGAUUAUGCUUACUAAAGUGGUUCAAUUGUUGAAACUUCUACUGAAAUUGAAUUGAGUUCUUCCACUUUAAGCUAUCCACACACUGUGCACAUUAGUUUCCGAUUAUAAGAUGAAAAGCUAUUUCCCUCUUGACUUAGUAUAUUUUUGGGACUUGGUAUAUUUGACCUCAUUUGAUAAAAAUUGAAACACCCUGCAAAAGGCCAAUGAGCCUUUGAAAUAAAGAAAGUUGUUUGCUUGCCUUGAAACCCGAGCAAGGUCUGAGGGGUAUAUGGUGAAAAUCUUUAAAGCCUGGUGCCCUAAGCCUUAAUUGGUUGGGAGUCACCGACCUCAAUGCUCGUUACAAGGGUGAAUAGGUAGAGUUAGCAUAUGGUAGAUGCUUGGGUAUUAGAAAUUCAUUCUUAAAAGUCCGGGGAAAAAUCCGAGGAGUUAGUGGUUGAAAGAUCCUUAAAACUUGGUGCCCUAAACCUUAAUUGGUUGGGAGUCAUCGAUGGACCCCCAUUACAUGGACAAGUCAGAAAGAGUACCCCAUAAAGCUACCUUAAAAAAAAAAAAAAAAAAAAAAAAAAAAAAAAAGAUGAAAGUGUGUUCUUUUCUUAUUGAUUUUGGUCAGUUUGCUAAAGUGUUGAAAAGAGAUAGGUUGGGGGGUGAGAUUAGUAGCAUAUUAUUCUCGGAACCUAAGGAACCAAUACACAUAGAUUUUUGUGGAAGAUUGAAGUUUAGUUCUUAGAAAAUGAAAUGAUUUUAAAACUUCAGUUUGCAUAAUGCACUCCCUUGAUUGACAGUGUUUAGCAUAGGUGUUAUGACUCUUGUUGAGAUUUGGGUUUGUAUUUCUUUAAUGAUUCAUGUGAGAAAUAGAUCAUCAUGCCACUUGAGAAUUAUUUUCCUUUUAGCAUGAUGUUGUAAAUUUUAGAUUAGUUUGCUAUUUAUUUUUUAUUUUCUCUCCUAUAUUGCUAAGGGACUAGCAAUAUGUCGGUUGGGGGGAGUGAUUACUACUCAAAAAGUGCUAUUUGAUAGCCUUUAAUUAAUCCUUUUUAACACUUUUGAGUAGUAGUUUAGGCCUUUUAACUCAAUUGGCAUGUUAAGGAUCCUUUAAAGCAAUUUUGAUCACUUUGUGCAAGUUUUGGUGUUUUUGUUAGUAUUUUGAUCACCAAAGCAAGUCAAGAAUGAGGAGAACUAUGAGGAAUCAUGGGCAAAGCUUAGAAUUCAAUUGCCAAGAGUGAAUCCGGAUUGCAAGGAGAAAAAGCAAAGAGAAUCUGUCAUGAAGCCUAUUCUUGAUGACAGUCGUAGCAGCCACUUUUGGAGCACUUUCUGAAGUCCAAAUGAUGCAAGCUAUAUACCAUUUCAAAGCUCAGGAAGUCAACAAUCCAAUGCUUCAAACGGUGCGCGAUUCGGAGUUGAAACGAAGAAGUUGCAGCCAUUACAAGCCAGUCACUCUAAAGUGUUGCGGAAUCAGCCUUUUGUUGCGAGAAUUUCGCAGCACUUUUGUACAGUAAGGUGUUUCUCCUUCUGACGAUGCACGAACCAUGCCGCGAGAGGGAAGCUAGGAACUUCAAGAUGGAAGCCAACUUUGCAGCCUGGUGAAGAUAGCUUGGUCUUGCGAAAUAAUUUCGCAGCCCUCUUGGGUGUCUGCGAAAUUUCGCAGGCACCACUUUUUUCCUGCGAAAUGGCUCCGGAAGCCUCCCGAAGCUUGCUACCGACAUUGGGAGAUAUUUUCCAUUAGAUUUUUGUUGUCUAAAUUCCAAAAUACUCCUUGUAAACCACCAAUUACAUGAUUCCUUAGUUUUUAAGUUAGUAAAAAGACCAAAUAUCUAUGUAAUAAUUAGUUUUAUAUUAGUUUGCUAUAAAUACCUCUCGGGAGCAUGUUCUCAGAGAGGAGUUCCUUCUGUAACCAUUUUGGUAAGCAAGUAAAGUCUUUUCUUUCUACUGCCUUACCUUCUCACUUUGUAUUUUCAUUUUAUUUCUAAGUUAUGAAUUCUCUGAGGAGCUUUCCCCAGAGAAUGAGUAACUAAACCUCCAAUUCCUUGGAGCUAAGGUUGCCGGGGAAGGUUCCAAGUGCAAGAAUGCAAAGCUCUGUGGUUUUAGCUAGUAAUGAAGAGGAAGUGAAAUCCUUUAGUGAUUUCAAUGUUUUUAGUUAACUUAAAACACCUUGGAGUCACCUGGGCCAACACUUGGUAAGGCAAGUGAUUUCCAACCGUGGAAAUGCACUAGUUUACCCCUUGCGAGCCUCUGGUAGGUGACUUCAAGGUAGGAUUUUCUGGAAUUACCAACACUUGGUAAGCUUUUGGACUCCUAGGAGACAUCCAUUAGUUAUCUCUUGCGAGUUUGUGAAGGGGAAUCCAAGGUUAAAGAUCACCUUGAAUGGUAAGUGCUCGUGAGAGGCAUGAACCAUUGCAAGUUGUAUCAGUGAGAGAAUUAAAGUGAAAUCUAAUUGAAGGAGUCUCUGUACAUCACCGGUUAGAGAAUUGACUAUAAGUUGAAUCUCUAAUGCGAGGAAAUGAACCAUCUGACCGGAGCUAUGUCUUUUGCAUGAGGAACCACCCCAGUGAACCUAAAUCUCCAAGGAAUGCUUUUCUUCCUAAAUUAUUCCAAACUUCUGUUAAGUUAGUUAGUUUAAGUCUAAACCUUUACCAAUCAAACUUUGUGUUUUAUUCCUUAAGCUAACCGUGAAAUGAAACAAAACCAAUUCACUUGGAAUUGGUAUCCUUGAUUGCUUGCAAAUCAUUCCCAGUGAACGAUCCUUAGAGCCACUAUACUAUAGUAGCUUUGUAUUUGCUACCCUAGUGUAUGGUGUUAUAGGUAUAAAUUUUGUUGAUCACUUCCUCAAUCAAGGAACACCAGCUGAACACAAAUCAGCUGAGACACCAAUUGGGCAUGAGUCAGUGCGUUAGAGGAUCAAGAAGAAGAAAAAGAAGGAACUGUUGGAAUUAGUAUGAGUGUGAAGAGAAAAGUAUAUAAAUAAGGGGAAGUAAAAGCAAAGUUCAAAAAGCUAUAUUUUUUUAUUGUUGGUGUAUGGUUGCAUGAUUAUCCCUAUAAAUAAUAGGAGUUUUUUGGUAUUCUACUAGUAGUUGAAGCAUAAUUUCAUAAAUUAAUAUUUAGAGCGGGGUGGGGUGAGUUGUGACAAAAUUCAUACCCGUCCCAAACCUUGGUUCAGAUUUUUAAAAUAUUCUCAAACUUAUCAUAUACCCAACUUUUAUAUUUCAUACUUGUCCUAAUAGAGGCACGUUAGGCCGGGUUACUUGAGUAACCUACAUAAUUGUCAUCCCUAGUUGAAAUACACUUUUUGGCAGUGGCCACCAACUGAGCUAGAAGCUUGAUUGAUUGACCUACAAGAUUAGUUCUCAUCAUUUUAAAAAAAGUUCUGGCUUUGGUUGUGAGUGCAAUUGAAUCUAAACUGGCAUUUGCUUAAUGCAUCUACUUCAAUCCUAAACUUCUUACUUCUUAAGCCUCAAUUGUUGUUAGGAUUUUGGAAAACCCAUUUCCUUAAAUUGUAAAUUUAAGAUAAAAUAAAAUAAAAGUGAGACAUUUCUUGAUUGAAUAUUGUUAAAGGUCCCUUGGCAUUAAGACUUGGUUGAAGCCUUGGAAGAUUAGUGGAACUCUCAACAUGUGUUUGAAUCUUGAGGAGAGUGGAUGUAAGCCAAAAUUUUGUCAAACCAUUAUACAAAUUGAGUUUGAAUCCUCAUUUCUUGAUUUCUUAUUUAUUUGCUUUUUCUUAUUAUUACUUGAAUUGUCAUUUGCAUUCAUUAAUGUUAAAAUUGGUUAUAAUUAACCAACACUAAUUCUCUUUCCCCUUCCCUUUCUUGGGUGUAAACCUAGGUUGGAUUAACUAGAUAAAUCUAUUAAGAUGGUAAAAGAAUAAUUAUUCUUAACAUACAUAAGAUCAUCUUCAAUCAAAUGACUCAUUGGCUAAUAUGUUGAAUUUGCUUAUUACUUGCAACUCAAAAUUGUGUUCUAGUUGUGUCAAGUCCCCAGUGUAUGGACAUUAAAUUUGUAGUACGUGAUGAGUAAUUAGAUGGUCCAACUCCAAGAAAGUGAUUGAAAAGUAGUUCAAGAAAGGUGCAAAAGGGAAUUGUUUUGGUAUUUUCGUUUUUAUUCUUGAAGGUGGCAGAGCUAAAAUUUGAGAAAUCAAGCAAAACAUACUGAAAUUACAUUGAAAGAAAGAAGAUGGGAGUUAAUGUCUUGCAGUACAUGAUAAGGACUUCAUGCAUGUAGUGUGACCCAUGUCUUGGACUGAUGCCAACUCACGGUUACACUUAUACCCUUGGUUCUCUCUUUACUACCUUGGCUAACCUAGAUCAGGCUAUGAGAUAGGCUCCUCACCACACCAUUACUUGCCCAUUAAUUAGAGACAUUUUCAAGCAAUGAGGUAACAUGGUGACACCAAGAGGGUCUAUUCCUCGCCCGGAACAAGUCUAGACUUGGUCUCAAAAAAAUGGAGAAAAAUGAGGUGUCGUUAUGUAGAAAUACAACAACCAUGCCUUCCUCAUUACUUAGAUUCAGAAUGUGAAGGUGAAAUUGAGAAACAGAAACUCUUGAAACCAAAAUGAAAAUUGAUACUUUUACGAAGAAUUACAACAACAUUAGAGGAAGACUACAUUCUUCCUCUUUAUUCCUACAUUUCUACACUACUUCUACUCCACUCCAUAUUUCUACAUACAUCUUUAAUCAGUCUUCCCUCCUUUAUAUAGAGCCAUCUUCACACAAAUUUCGCAAGGUAGAAAAGAGGAAUGAAACUUGGAGCAAGGUUCGACUACUGGUUGUAGCUUGUCAAGGCUGGAAGUGAACUUUUCUUGGCUUUCUGGGCAUGGGUAGUAACUUGUGGGUUCCUGUUUGGCAUAAAAAUGGCUAGAACAUGUGGCACUAUCUUGUUGGAUGAUGUGUCAAGCAUGUGGCAGCCAUCUAGUGGCGAUUAUGUCAAUUUUGGGAUGGAGAGUUGGCAUCCAAUUGCAAAGAAAUAUGACGUCUACCAACAUGCAAUGUAAACCUAUGUAGAUCAUAUGAAGAUAGAGAGGAAAAAUAUAGAAAUGGAUAUAUACCUAGAACUAGCUUUUUAUUAAAUGAAACGGAGAGACAACAAUGAAGGAAAAUAAAAUUUUUUGGCUUAUAUCAAAGAGUUCACAUUGUGUUACCCUAGGUUUUCUUAAAACUUACUUUUAUGAUAACAAAAAAGAAAAAACCAUUAUUGUUUAAUCCUUUGUUUUAAACGCAUGUAAGGUGUAAUUAAGUUAGUUCAAUGCAUUAAUUUAAGAAACUUGACCUAUCAAAAGUACAAAAUUAGAUGAAAUCCAUUUCAAUGGUUAAAAUGAUCAAAAUCAAACUUUUUCUAAGUAUUUUUUAAAAGCAUCAAUAGUGAAAGACAAUUUUAUAUUUAGUCGGAGUUUGGACAAAACUGAAAAACACACAAAAUCCAAGCGACCAUCUCUAGCUUGGAUGGUCGCUUGAUCCCACCUAGAGAUGUGCAUGAGUAAAAGGAUUUGAAAAUGGAAAUUGACUAUGUAGUCGAUCAAUUAACUUUGCAACAUCAUAUGCAAUCCUAAUUGCUAGUCAUCUAAUCAAUUAGGUAGUCAAUCAACAGGCCAAAAAUAUGUUUAUAAUGACUAUUUUGUACAAAAACCACCUGUAUAGUUAAAUAUAAUGCAUUUCAUUUAUAAAUCUUCUAAUUCUUGAAUAACGAUCCUAUCAUCCUUUGAAAGUUUUUAUUACACUUUUUUUACUUUUGUUCUAAAACUUACACAUCACCCUUAAUUGUACCAUGAGAACCUAGCUAUUUUUUAUUUUUUUUUUUGUAAUUCAUCAAAGUUAGCUUUUGUAUUCAUUGUUGUAUUAUUUUUAGUAUAACUUAGAAAGCUAGUGUUUUCAAGUGAGUAAAAUUAACUUGUAAAUAUUGUAAAGAUUCAUCGACAUGUAUCUUAAACUAAGUGUACAAGUUAAAACAUUUGCUAGUAGAUUUUCUCAAAAUUUAGAAUAGAGCUUGAGACUAUUGAAAUAGGUGGGGUUGCACCAAACCACAUCACAUCGUUGUUUGCACCUUUUUUCACUCUCUUUUACUUAGUUGCUCUAUAUUUGUUGUCUAGUAAUAUCCUAUAGGCUUGAUGGGUUAGGGAGCAUCCCUUUGUGAAAAAAUUUUAUUCAAUCCUUAGUUGUAUCACGCAUAUAUAAAAUGCCUCAUUGUUUUAAUGGUAUUCAGUCGUGGCAUCACAGAUAUGGGCAUCUAAAUUUUAAAAGUUUGAAACUUUUAUCUAAAGAAAAUAUGGUGCUUUGCCUUUUUGUAAAGCAUGUUGAUGAAAUCCAUGAGAAUUGUGUACUUGGGAAGCAACACCGAGAUGACUUUUUUUUUUUUUUUAUAAUAUUGUUUGUCCAAAUUCCCUACAAAUUAGGCCACCAGAUGUUCAUAAUUCUCCCUUCUUGAAUUUGAAAACUCGGACAAUUGGACAAUGCGACACCUAAGUCCGGUUUCUAAAUGCUAAAGUGAAAGGGUAGGUAUGGACCAUUGAAAUGUGAUCACAACUUUUCUCUGUAGCCAUGUUGUCUCUUUUUUCUUUUGCAUGAUUUUCUUACCUUAACAGAAUCAUAGACUUGUUUAGUCUCUAAAUGGGAUUAAUUUCAUCCAGCUUUAAGCUACUAUAUUAUAUCUAGGUGGAGGACUUUUAAGAGUGCAACCGACAUAGAGCACAUGGAAGUGGGUAUAUGGGACAUGAAAUUUCUUCUUAUAAAGAUUGCAUGAUUUUUAUAUUAGAGUUGUUGAGGCGCUAUGUAUUUAGCUUGUUUUGCAGUUAAAUUAAUUGGAUAAGUAGACAUUGGCGUUUCUAAAUCUACUGUGAAGUGCUUCAUGUACGUGUGAAGUAUUAGAAAUUUCUUUCUUGGCAACUUGUUUUUCUUUGCGGUCUACUGAUAGGUUUGACUAAAAUUAUAUUCCCUGUCAUGCUAAUUAAUUUUCACGUGCAUGCUCAAAAGAAAAGUAUGACCUUAGUGCACCAAAAUCACUUUGAUUAAUUUGUGAUAGGUUUUUGUGCAUCAUGACAUUAGCCUUAUUCAUUUAGAUAAUGUUUAGUUUUUAGAAAGUAUUAAGAAAAGGAAAAUAAAUAUUAAGAAAAAUAUUCUUAUAUUUGAUUGUAUUAUGAAAAAUAUCAUAAAAAAAUCAAAUAUAAUUUAAAUUAAUUAAUAAUUUAUACAUUUUCAAAUUAUUUAAUCUUUAUAUUGAAGAUAUAAUAUAAAUGAAAUGAGUUUUAAGUAUUAUAUAAAAGUGAUUUAUUGAUCUUACAUAUAUAUAUUUCUUUUUUUUUUCCUUCUAUUUUUUCUCUUUAUUUUAUUUUCCUUAUGUUUUCCUCAACAUUUUCCGGAACCAAACAUAGCCUUAGGAAAUCCACAAUUACCUUCAACUGAGUAGAUUCUGUUGUUUUAGCAAUGUUAGGCUGCUAACUUGUGUUGGUACGAACCUAUUAAGCCUAAAGAUGUAAUUAGUUAGGAUAUUCUUUUCCCUCUAGUCUUGUAGCUCCACGUGUACAGUUGGUUAGGACCUCAUUGUAUAUAAUGCUUGCCCUGUUAUUGUAGAAGACAACAAAGAUAAAUAAUAUUAACAUUUUUCCUCUCAUCUCUCUCUGUUUCCCUCUGUUUUCAUCUCCUCUCUCAUCUUGGUAUCAGAGCCUCCAUGGCUUCUUUCAAAGAAACCUCCGAAUCACCUUCUGCUAGCAUUGUUAAUGUGCAAAACCCAUUAUCUCAAUCAAACAACCUUCCUUCACCAGUAGCCACACCCUCUUUUUCUUUCUCGUCUAUGAAUCAACCUCUCACAGUGAAGCUGGAUAAUGGGAACUACCUCAUAUGGAAGAAUUAGCUUCUAAAUGUCAUCAUUGCUAACGGACUCGAUGAUUUCAUUGACGGAUCUCGACCCUGCCCUCCUCGAUUUCUCGAUCUGCAACAACAAACCCUCAAUCCAGAGUACUCAGCUUGGCAGAGAUACAAUCGACUUCUGAUGAGUUGGCUGUACGCAUCCUUGUCCAAAGAUAUAAUGGCUCAGAUUGUUGGGUAUUCAACAGCUAUGGAGAUUUGGAAUGCCCUUAAUCAGAUUUACUCUGCCUCUUCUAUGGCGCGGUUUACUGAGCUUCGCACCAAGCUUCAAACGCUCAAGAAAGAUGGACUCUCAGUUGGUGAAUAUAUUCAAAGGCUCAAAUCCAUUUGCAAUAGUCUUGCAGCAAUAGGAGAACCAGUUUCUGAGAAAGACCAUCUUAUCUAUUUGUUCAAUGGAUUAGAUUGUGAGUAUUAUUCUUUUGUUACCUCCAUUCAAAAUCGAUCUGACCAACCAACUAUUGACAAAAUCCAUAGCCUAUUGCUUAGCUAUGACUUCCGGCUUGAACAACAAAACUCUGUUUCUCUCCAUUCUGCCCAAGUCCAUAUGGCUCAUCUGAACAAGAAACCUUAUAAAUCAACUCCUCAACCUACAUUCAAUCAUAUUCACAUUCAACCUAGAUACUCUUCUCCACCUUUUAAGCCAACCACUAGUCAAUAUCAACCCAACAUUUUGGGCAAACCACAACCACAACCAUGACAGCCUCAACCUCAAUGGAAACCACAUUUUUCAAUCUAAAAUCAAAAGCCUCAGCGCCAAAUUUGUGGUAAAUUUGGACACACUGCUCUUAUUUGCUUCCAUCACACAAAUUUGAACUAUUCACCCCAACCUUCUCCUAAAUCUUUCAAUACUGUUCUCACCACAAAUUCCCAGCUCCCUAAUCCUCCAAAAUUUUCUUACCCUACAAUGGCUCAUCCUGCUGCUACGCAUAACACGGUUCCCGAUACAAAUUGGUACAUGGACUCAGGUGCUACACAUCACUUUACUCUGGACAUCAACGUGCUUGACACUGUGACACCAUUUAGUGGUUCAGAACAGGUGACAGUUGGGAAUGGUAAGCAACUCUGUAUCUCACAUCUUGGUACUGCAAAACUACCAUCUUCGUAUUCUCCUCCUGUUCUACAUCAGGUAUAUCACACUCCAAAAAUUUCAAAUAAUCUUAUUAGUGUUAAAAAAUUGUGUUCUGAUAAUAAAGUUUUUGUUGAAUUUUAUGCCACUCAUUUUCUUGUCAAGGAUCAGGUUUCGAAGAGAGUUCUCCUUUAGGGUCAACUUGAUAAUGGCUUAUACAAAGUUCAGUCGUCAUGCUCUCCUUCUGCUGUUUCCUUUCCUCCUCAAGUUUUCAUAGCCAACAUCAAGUAUCCAAAUCUGUGGCACAAGAGACUAGGCCACCCAGCUUUAUCUGUUGUUAAUCAAAUCUUGGAUUCUUGUAACAUUGCUCGAACACAGAAAAUUUGUUUUAAUUUUUUAAAUUCUUGUCAAUUAGCAAAGAGCCACAGGCUUCCUUUUUCUCUGUCUCCAUCCAUUGCAGAAAAACCUUUUGAGUUAAUUCAUACAGACCUAUGGGGUCUUUCGCUCGUUCGCUCUAUUUCUGGUGCUCUUUAUUUUUUACUUUUCAUUGAUGAUCAUACUCGUUUUACUUGGUUUUAUUUGCUCAAAACAAAAGAUGAAGCAUAUCCUACUUUUCUCAAGUUUCAAGCUCUCAUUGAAAAUCAAUUUAAUACCAAGAUUAAGGCUGUCCAAUCUGAUUGGGGAGGUGAGUUUCGAUCUCUCUCCAUACCGUUUUCAAAUAUGGGCAUUGUCUAUUGUUUAUCGUGUCCAUACACCUCACAACAGAAUGGGCGAGUUGAGCGAAAAAAUCGCCAUGCGAUUGUCCUUUCUUGCUUGCUCUAUGCCCUUAUCUUAUUGGCCUUAUGCCUUUCAAACUGCCACUUACCUUAUUAAUCGUCUCUCUACCCCUGUGCUGCAUCAUCAAUCCUCUUACUUCGCACUCUAUCACAAACUCCCAACUUAUACUCAUCUUAAGGUCUUUGGUUCCUCUUGUUUUCCGUAUUUGCACCCUUAUAAUACCCAUAAACUCCAAUACAGGUCACUAGAGUGUGCUUUUCUUGGUUACAGUUCACACCACAAAGGUUAUCUAUGUCUUGACAUUCAUUCUAGCAGGGUGUAUAUUUCUCGCCAUGUGAUUUUUAAUGAAGAUUCUUUUCCAUUCAAGAAUUUGAAAUCUUCUCUCUCUCAGUCUAUUUCUUCUUCCUCUUCUUUAUAAGUUCCUCUGUUCAUUCUCUUGCCUCCCCUUUCCCCAUCUCCUCUUAUUUCUUCAUCUAUACCUCAUUCUUUUCCCUCUUCUUCUUCUACCUCUAGUACUUGUUCCCCUCUCGUUGCUCCUACCUCUCUUCCUUCCUCUUCACACUCUGUGUCUCCAUCUAUUCCACCUCCUUCUCCACCUUCUCCGAGUGUGGACCUGCUUGCACCUUGUGUGAAUACAAAUUUACAUACUUCUUCUCGCACUCACAAUAUUCAUCCUAUGGUGACUAGAUCUAAGGUUUGUAUCUAUAAACCUAAGUUGUUGUUGAGUGUCUCCAUAGGUUCUCUCACUAAGCCUACUUCCUUUCUUCAAGCUAUUAAAGAUCCUUCAUGGAAGCAAUCCAUGGAAUUCGAGUUUGCUACCCUUCAACACAACAAGACCUGGCAUUUGGUUCCUUCACCUUCCUCAGGCGAAGUAAUCGGUUGUAAAUGGGUCUAUAAGCUAAAGCUUCAGCCUGAUGGCUAAAUUGAGAGAUACAGCCUGCUUAGUAGCUAAGGGUAUCAUCAAAUUGAAGUAUGGACUACUUCGAAACAUUCAGCCUGAUNNNNNNNNNNNNNNNNNNNNNNNNNNNNNNNNNNNNNNNNNNNNNNNNNNNNNNNNNNNNNNNNNNNNNNNNNNNNNNNNNNNNNNNNNNNNNNNNNNNNAGCUUCAGCCUGAUGGCUAAAUUGAGAGAUACAAGGCCUGCUUAGUAGCUAAGGGUUAUCAUCAAAUUGAAGGUAUUGACUACUUCGAAACAUUCAGCCUGAUUGUCAAGCUUUCUACUAUCUGUAUUGUGCUCAGUCUUACUUUUUCCCAGAAUUGGUGUAUUAGACAGCUGGAUGUUCAUAAUGCCUUCUUACAUGGUGACUUAGCUAAAGACGUUUUCAUGGAACAACUGCCUGGAUUUGUUGAUCCUCUCUAUCCUACUCAUGUCUGCAAGUUGGAUAAGUCUCUCUACUGUCUUAAAUAGUCACCUCGGGCUUGGUAUACUAAGCUGAGUACUUCUCGCUACACUUGGGAUUUGUUACUUCUAAGAAUGACUCUUCCUUAUUUAUUUGUCAUUCGUCUCAUGGGUUACUUCUUGUUCUUGUCUAUGUGGAUGAUAUAAUCGUCAUUGGGAGCCACUCUCCUCAGGUUACUCACCUUAUCCAACAGUUGCAUCAUUAGCUUUCUUUAAAGGAUCUUGGUCCUUUACAUUAUUUUCUGGGCUUGGAGGUUCAUCACACCCCUACUGGUAUUCACCUCAGCCAAGCAAAGUAUAUCACUGAUCUCCUUACCCGGGCGGCUAUGUUGGAUGCCAAGCCAUGUCCCACUCCUAUGUCCUCCAACACAUAUCUCUCUUUUCAUGAUGGAGUGGCUCUUGAAAAUGGUUCAGAUUAUCGAAGUUUUGUUGGUGCCCUUUAGUAUUGUACCAUGACACGCCCAGAUAUAGCUUUUGCAAUAAAUAAAGUGUGUCAAUUCAUGCACCAUCCCUCUAAUGUUCACUGGCAGGCUAUAAAACGUAUUCUCCGGUACUUAAAGGGCACAUCUCAUUUUGGUCUCUUCCUACAGCCUUCCUAUGACUUCAACAUCACUUGCUAUACAAAUGCCGACUGGGCUUCCUGUCCUGAUGACAAGUGUAGCACCAGUGGCUACUGCCUCUUUCUUGCCUCUAAUCUGGUUUCUUGGUCAUCUUCCAAACAAAAAGUGGUCUCCCGCUCCAGCGCCGAAUCAGAGUACCGAGGGGUAGCAAAUGGGGCUGCUGAAAUUGCUUGGACUGAAUCUCUUCUUUGUGAACUUUCCAUUACUCCCCCUCCCCUCAUUCUCUGUGACAAUAUCAGUGCCACGUACUUAGCUGCCAAUCCUAUUUUGCAUGCCCGCACCAAACAUGUGGAAAUCGACUAUCACUUUGUCACGGAACGUGUUCUUCAAUGCUCUCUUUUUGUCCAGUUUACACCUUCUGAUGAUCAACUUGCUGAUUGCAUGACCAAGCCUCUCUCCACCCAACGUUUCAUCACUCUACGCUCCAAGCUCACUGUUCUCACUAGACCAAUGAGCUUGAGGGGGGAUGUUAAGCCUAAAGAUGUAAUUAGUUAGGAUAUUCUUUUCCCUCUAGUCUUGUAGCUCCACGUGUACAGUUGGUUAGGACCUCAUUGUAUAUAAUGCCUGCCCUGUUAUUGUAGAAGACAACAGAGAUAAAUAAUAUUAACAUUUUUCCUCUCAUCUCUCUCUCUGUUUCCCUCUGUUUUCAUCUCCUCUCUCAUCUGAACCAAAUGAUCCAUGUUAACCUUGGCUUGGUUUGAUUUGGCUCUAUCUUAGAGAGCUCAAGGAUCACGUCAACUCUGGUUUCUACUAUUCAGGUCCAUUCCCAUAUGAACUGGUUCAAAUUUGAGAAAAUGGUAACAGACCUUUAGUGAUGUUGGUUUGGAGCCAGUUGCCAAACCCGCCCUGAGCUUUACCACUAAUGUCAAGGGAGAAAGCCAUUUGAACAAAAACAAUAGCUUCAAGGGACUGAAUCGUGGAUGAAAUCUGAUCCACAUUUCUUCUCAUUUUGGAAACAAAUGAGAACUUAACUAAGAAGAUUCUACGGCCUCAUAGUGCUUUUCCUGAUCUAAGGUUGGUUCGUUUCCCAAACUGUGAGAUGCACGUGCCAGACUUCAGAACUCUCACGCUCAGGAGUGUAUCCACGUGGUGGACAUAAGAUGGUGGCUUAAGAUCUGGUGUCGGUGGCUUUACUUUACUAGGAGAGUAGUGUGUCUUCAUCUCAUUCACUGCCGGAGGGUGGCGUAAGCAGUGACGCUAAGGUGGGGCACAGUCAAUAUCAUUUGCAUUUGACCAUUAUAGUUUUCUCCCGGCUUUAAAGUAACCUUAUCGUGAUAAAGGAUUACUAGCACUAGUUCAGAUGAUAGUCAUGUUAAAUUCGGACCAUGUUUGUGUCACAUUAUCAGCAACCAUGUGUUUAUGGUUCAUGCUUUCUGCAACUAAAAUUGAUAUAUAACCAGGUGAACUUCAAUCUAAAUUCUGAAAGUACUCAUGUGAUAGAUGGUGCCCGUCUGCAGAGUCCAUCAAUUGAAAAAUGGAGUGAGUGUAUCUAUAAGAGGGAAGGCUUGGAAAAUGUUCAGUUUUCUGGGAAUUCAACAAGGAUCUAAAAUAGAUUGUUUUCUUUGCUGAUUUCAAUGGUUGAAAUUUGAGAAGAUUGUGUCCACAUAACACAACUAUUACUGGUCCUUCUGUUGCAAUUUAUCCUCUAAAGCUCUAGCAUGUCUUCCAAUUCCCACUUCCCUGUUACUCCAGGAAAGCUAUUUCUGUCAUUGUGAAGAAGAAAAGAGAAUGUACAUAUCGAUGCUUUUAAGUGACUGGAGCAUUUAUAUCAGGUGGUCUGCAGCCAUAUAUGCCACUUUGUGAAGAUUGGAACAGUCAAUCACUAGGCUAUAUAUUAGUGUGGCCCAGCCACUUUAAUCAAGGACAAGUCUUCAUACUUAAAGUCAAAUUCUGCCUUUAGUCUCAUUAUAAAUUUCUGUUUAAAUAUUAAGCAAACAUUUGUUUAAUGCGAUUAAGACAGUACUAACUCAAUACCUGUUCUAUUUUUGGAUGCAAAUGCUUGAUGGUUUCAUCAUUGGAUGGGAUAAAGGUGCAUUCAUGAUUAGGAAUACUAGUAGUUAUAUUUUAAUUCUCUUUUUUCUCAAUGAGACUUGUUGGCACAAUUUUGCUGUUGAGAAACCUACCUCUCCAUGGAAAAUAAGUUGUGAUUGAUAGUACUGGAUAUAUUCAAGAAAUCUAAAUAUAGAUAGCACAAAAUAUUAUCGACAUAAAUAGCAUUAACAGCGUACGUAUGUCUCAGUGCUCAUCAGCUAUAAGCAUGGGGCAAACACUUACUAUGAGCAACUUACGUCAAAAUUCCAGAAUAGGACAUAGAAGUGACAGAUAUAGAACAUUGCAUAUGAGUCACAAGAAAGGAAAUUACGGGUGCAUAGCAGCUCUUAUUUUACAUACUACUACUCAUACUGAUCAAAGUCACUCAGUUGGGAUGGGUGGGAGUAGGAGGUUUGUGGGGUGGCUUGUGCGGAGGAGUUGGCAGCUUCUUUCCAGGACCUGGUUGCUUCUCUGCUGGAGUUGAAGGAGGCUUAAUCUUCCGAGGUGGCUUGUAUGAGUCUUCAGCAUUCUCAGCUGGAGGGUGACCAGGGUUGUGACCAUAAUGUGGUGGCUUCUCUCCCUUAGGUGGUUUGCCAACUGGGGUUGGUGGCUUGUAUGAGUCUUCAGCAUUCUCAGCAGGAGGGUGACCAGGGUUGUGACCAUAAUGUGGUGGCUUCUCUCCCUUAGGUGGUUUGCCAACUGGGGUUGGUGGCUUGUGUUCUGGGAGUGGCUUCUCCCCCUUGGGAGGUUUUUCCAAUGGGGUUGGUUUGUGUUCAGGAGGUGGCUUCUCCACUGGAGGCUUGUGUUCAGGAGGUGGCUUCUCCACCGGAGGCUUGUGUUCAGGUGGUGGCUUCUCCACCGGAGGCUUAUGCUCUGGUGGUGGCUUCUCGAAUGGGGGAUGCUUAGGAUAAUCAGCAAGUGAGGGGGCGGUGAGAACCACCAGGCCAAGCAACACCACUAGCAAAUAUGUAGGAGACAUCUUUGGGUUUGGGCUCAGAUGGUGCAAAACUAGGAGAAUUGGCUAGCCUUUUAUAGCGGAUCGUACCCAAUAAUGAAAUGACACGUGUCAUUAUGACCCAUGUGUAAUGGGGUCGAUUUGGGUCCUACAGUGUUGAAAACUUCGACAUCCACUUUUGGCCUUUUGCUUUCUCUACAGCCGCCUUGCUUUUUCCCUCUUUCCUUUUGUUUUCCUCCUGCCCCAUUCUAUCAACUAAACACAAUUAUGUAGUUGUUUAAUUCUUAAAUGAGAUAUUAUCCGUCAAUCGUAUUAUAUUUUAUCAAGAGAGAACGGAGUGCAAUGUGGCUGUAAUUUUAUCGUUUAGUUUUAUCUCUUGGACCACUGCAUUUUUGUUAAGAGGUGCAAUAAUACACGUCUUUAUCUGCCAUUCAAUAUUUACAGUAAAGAGAGGGCACAAAACUCUUCACUUCGCACCAUAAUUAUUUUGUUUUCUGGACACCCCGGGGCCCUUUGGUUGGUUUGGGGGUCAGAAAGUGAACAUCAUAGGGGGUUUUUCCCUUAUGUGCAUUUGUAUCUGAUGGCUUUAACUCGCCUUGUUACUACAAAGAAACUGUCACAGAUAGGAACUUAUUCCAGGCUGAGUAUCUCCUCAUAGACCCUAUAAAAGAAGACAAGUCAUAAUGAACAUCUAACCUUUGUUCAAUUUGAUUCAAUGCCCCCAUUGUGUCCAUCUCACAAAUCUGAAUUAUUAUAUCCAUUGAAUACAUAAAUUAAUGAAGAAAAUAUGAAACCCAAGAUACAUCUCUGCACAACCUCAACCCUGGUUGCUAUGUUUCCCUUCUAUUCACAUGAUUUGAUGCUAAUUGCCAAACUUGCAACAAGCCCUGAGUUUGACACCUAGUAUCGAUGGGCGAAUUUAAAGUCUCCUCCAAACAUAUAUUCCACAGCUUGAAGCUCACAGAAGAUGUUACAGGCAGGGAAAAACCUUCAGAGUUCGCUACCAAAGAUAAUUAUUAAGGAGAUAUCACAAAGAGAAUUCCAAGGGGUCUGAAUCAAAGACAAAUUGGUCGUUCGUGGGGGUUCUUACUUUCUUUUGGGUAUAACUCACUGAGGGCACUGUCUUUGUUAUUUGCAUUUCACAUUUAGAGUUCUGUUCUGGAAACAUAUAAAAGGAGCAUCAUUUUGUUCUUGGGUAACCCAUAGUCGUGAGUGGGUCCAUUUGCAUGCUACUUAGUUGAAAAGUUGGACCAUUUGCUCCGACGCCUACCUCCCGGAUUCCAUGCUCGGAUAAAACAAGAAUAAAAAAAAUAUUUAUAAUUUACAAAUGGGGGAAAGAAAAAAAUGUCAACAACAAACCAGGAAAAAAGAGUAGUAAAAUUCAUGUCACAUGCUAGUGAGAGAAGGGGUUGUUACACUCACUCGAAGUUCUUUCCAAAAUAUCGCAUGGUAUUUUAUUUUAUGUGUCAGCGCAGUUGUGAAUGGAACGUGCAAAAGUCCAAAUUGGCGUUUUUCCUUUUCCCGUGUAGGAUGGCGACCUUUAAUAAAUAUUUAAAACAAAAAACGAAAAAAAGGAGGGAAAAGGGAUCAGAAAAGAUAAAACAAUGUGUACAAGAGCUCAAUUAGUUUGCAAAUUACUGUUUGGAUUUUGAUAGUAUUUUAUUUGUCCAUCUAUAUUUGAUGGAAAAGAGAAUUUAAGAUAUUUCUGAAACAAAAGCAUUAGUGUAAAACUAAAUUAAGGUAUAAUUAAGUUAGUUCAAUGCAUUAAUUUAAGAAACUUGAUCUAUCCAAAGUACAAAAUUAGAUGAAAUCCAUUUCAAUGGUUAAAAUGAUCAAAAUCAAACUUUUUCUAAGUAUUUUUUAAAAGCAUCAAUAUUAAAAGACAAUUUUAUAUUUAGUCGGAGUUUGGACAAAACCAAAAAGCACACAAAAUCCAAGCGACCAUCUCUAGCUUGGAUAGUCACUUGAUCCCACCUAGAGAUGUGCAUGAGUAAAAGGAUUUGAAAAUGGAAAUUGACUAAAUAUUUAGUUGAUCAAUUAAAUUUGCAAUGUCAUAUGCAAUCCUAAUAGCUAGUCAUCUAAUCAAUUAGGUAGUCAAUCAAGUGUUUGUAAUGACUAUUUUGUACAAAAAACCACAUGUAUAGUUAAAUAUAAUGCAUUUCAUUUAUAAAUCUUCUAAUUCUUGAAUAACGAUCCUAUCAUCCUUUGAAAAUUUUUAUUACACCUUUUUUACUUUUGUUCUAAAACUUACAUAUCACCCUUAAUUGUACCAUGAGAACCUAGCUAUUUUUUUUUUUUUUGUAAUUCAUCAAAGUUAGCUUUUGUAUUCAUUGUUGUAUUAUUUUUAGUAUAACUUAGAAAGCUAGUGUUUUCAAGUGAGUAAAAUUAACUUGUAAAUAUUGUAAAGAUUCAUUGAUAUGUAUCUUAAACUAAGUGUACAAAUUAAAACAUUUGCUAGUAGAUUUUCUCAAAAUUUAGAAUAGAGCUUGAGGCUAUUGAAAUAGGUGGGGUUACACCAAACCACAUCACAUCGUUGUUUGCACCUUUUUUCACUCUCUUUUACUUAGUUUCUCUAUAUUUGUUGUCUAGUAAUAUCCUAUAGGCUUGAUGGGUUAGGGAGCAUCCCUUUGUGAAAAAAUUUCAUUCAAUUCUUAGUUGUAUUACGCAUAUAUAAAAUGCCUCAUUGUUUUAAUGGUAUUCAGUCGUGGCAUCACAGAUAUGGGCAUCUAAAUUUUAAAAGUUUGAAACUUUUGUAAAGCAUGUUGAUAAAAUCCAUGAGAGUUGUGUACUUGGGAAGCAACAUCGAGGUGACUUUAUUUUUUUUUCCUUUUAUAAUGCCACACCUAAGUCCGGUUUCUAAAUGCUAAAGUGAAAGGGUAGGUAUGGACCAUUGAAAUGUGAUCACAACUUUUGGCCUUUUCCUUUCUCUGCAGCCAUGUUGUCUCUUUUUUCUUUUGCAUGAUUUUCUUACCAAAACAGAAUCAUAGACUUGUUUAGUCUCUAAGCUACUAUAUUAUAUCUCGGUGGACUUUUAAGAGUGCAACCGACAUAGAGCACAUGCAAGUGGGCAUAUGGGACAUGAAAUUUCUUCUUACAAAGAUUGCAUGAUUUUUAUAUUAGAGUUGUUCACGUGCAAUGUAUUUAGCUUGUUUUGCAGUUAAAUUAAUUGGAUAAGUAAACAUUGGCAUUUCUAAAUCGACUGUGAAGUGCUUCAUGUACGUGUAAAGUAUUAGAAAUUUCUUUCUUGGCAACUUGUUUUUUCCUUGCCAUCUACUGGUAGGUUUGACUAAAAUUAUAUUCCCUGUCAUGCUAAUUAAUUUUCAUGUGCAUGCUCAAAAGAAGAGUAUGACCUUAGUGCACCAAAAUCACUUUGAUUAAUUUGUGAUAGGUUUUUUUGCAUCAUUUAGAUAAUGUUUAGUUCUAAGAAAAAUUUAUAUAAAAAUGGUUUAUUUAUCUUACAUAUAUAUAUAUAUAUAUAUAUUUUUUUUUUUUUCAUUUUUUUUUCUUCUAUUUUAUUUAUUUAUUUUAUUUUCCUUAUGUUUUCCUCACAUUUUCCGGAACUAAACAUAGUCUUACGAAAUCAACAAUUGCCUUCAACUGAGUAGAUUCUGUUGUUUUAGCAAUGUUAGGCUGCUAACUUGUGGUGGUACGAACCAAAUGACCCAUGUUAAUCUUGGCUUGGUUUGAUUUGGCUCUAUCUCAGAGAGCUAAAGGAUCACGUCAACUCUGGUUUCUACUAUUCAGGUCCAUUCCCAGAUGAACUGGUUCAAAUUUGAGAAAAUGGUAACAGACCUUUAGUGAUGUUGGUUUGGAGCCAGUUGCCAAACCCGCCCUGAGCUUUACCACUAAUGUCAAGGGAGAAAGCCAUUUGAACAAAAACAAUAGCUUCAAGAGACUGAAUCGUGGAUGAAAUCUGAUCCACAUUUCUUCUCAUUUUGGGAAAAAAUGAGAACUUAACUACAAAGAUUCUACUGCCUCAUUCAUAGUGCUUUUCCUGAUCCAAGGUUGGUUCGUUUCCCAAAUUGUGAGGUGCACGUGCCACUCUCACGCUCAGGAGUGUAUCCACGUGGUGGACAUCAGAUGGUGGCUUAAUAUCUGGUGUCGGUGGCUUUACUUUACUAGGAGAGUAGUGUGUCUUCAUCUCAUUCACUGCCGGAGGGUGGCGUAAGCAGUGACGCUAAGGUGGGGCACAGUCAAUAUCAUUUGCAUUUGACCAUUAUAGUUUUCUCCCGGCUUGAAAGUAACCUUAUCGUGAUAAAGGAUUACUAGCACUAGUUCAGAUGACCGUCAUGUUAAUUCGGACCAUGUUUGUGUCACAUUAUCAGCAACCAUGUGUUUAUGGUUCAUGCUAUCUGCAACUAAACUUGAUAUAUAACCAGGUGAACUUCAAUCAAAAUUCUGGAAGUACUCUUGUGAUAGAUGGUGCCUGUCUGCAGAGUCCAUCAAUUGAAAAAUGGAGUGAGUGUAUCUAUAAGAGGGAAGGCUUGGCAAAUGUUCAGUUUUCUGGGAAUUCAACAAGGAUCUAAAAUAGAUUGUUUUCUUUGCCGACUUCAAUGGUUGAAAUUUGAGAAGAUUGUGUCCACAUAUCACAACUAUUACUGGUCCUUCUGUUGCAAUUUAUCCUGUAAGGCUCUAACAUGUCUUCCAAUUCCCACUUCCCUGUUACUCCAGGAAAGCUAUUUCUGUCAUUGUGAAGAAGAAAAGAGAAUGUACAUAUCGAUGCUUUUAAGUGACUGGAGCAUUCAUAUCAGGUGGUCUGCAGCCAUAUAUGCCACUUUGUGAAGGUUGGAACAGUCAAUCACUAGGCUAUAUAUUGGUGUGGCCCAGCCACUUCAAUCAAGGACAAGUCUUCAUACUUAAAGUCAAAUUCUGCCUUUAGUCUCAUUAUAAAUUGCUGUUUAAAUAUUAAGCAAACUUUUGUUUAAUGCGAUUAAGACAGUACUAACUCAAUACUUGUUCUAUUUUUGGAUGCAAAUGCUUGAUGGUUUCAUCAUUGGAUGGGAUAAAGGUGCAUUCAUGAUUAUGAAUACUUGUAGUUAUAUUUUCAUUCUCUUUUUUCUCAAUGAGACUUGUUGGCACAAUGUUGCUGUUCAGAAACCUACCUCUCCAUGGAAAAUAAGUUGCGAUUGAUAGUACUGGAUAUGUUCAAGAAAGCUAAAUAUAGAUAGCACAAAAUAUUAUCGAUAUAAAUAGCAUUAACAGCGUACGUAUGUCUCAAUGCUCAUCAGCUAUAAGCAUGGGACAAACACUUACUAUGAGCAACUUACGUCAAAAUUCCAGAAUAGGACAUAGAAGUGACAGAUCUAUAUAUAUAGAACACUGCAUAUGAGUCACAAGAAAGGAAAUUACGGGUGCAUAGCAGCUCUUAUUUUACAUACUACUACUCAUACUGAUCAAAGUCACUCAGUUGGGAUGGGUGGGAGUAGGAGGUUUGUGGGGUGGCUUGUGCGGAGGAGUUGGCAGCUUCUUUCCAGGACCUGGUUGCUUCUCUGCUGGAGUUGAAGGAGGCUUAAUCUUCCGAGGUGGCUUGUAUGAGUCUUCAGCAUUCUCAGCUGGAGGGUGACCAGGGUUGUGACCAUAAUGUGGUGGCUUCUCUCCCUUAGGUGGUUUGCCAACUGGGGUUGGUGGCUUGUAUGAGUCUUCAGCAUUCUCAGCAGGAGGGUGACCAGGGUUGUGACCAUAAUGUGGUGGCUUCUCUCCCUUAGGUGGUUUGCCAACUGGGGUUGGUGGCUUGUGUUCUGGGAGUGGCUUCUCCCCCUUGGGAGGUUUUUCCAAUGGGGUUGGUUUGUGUUCAGGAGGUGGCUUCUCCACUGGAGGCUUGUGUUCAGGAGGUGGCUUCUCCACCGGUGGCUUGUGUUCAGGAGGUGGCUUCUCCACCGGAGGCUUAUGCUCUGGUGGUGGCUUCUCCACCGGAGGCUUAUGCUCUGGUGGUGGCUUCUUGAAUGGGGGAUGCUGAGGGUAAUCAGCAAGUGAGGGGGCGGUGAGAACCACCAGGCCAAGCAACACCACUAGCAAAUAUGUAGGAGACAUCUUUGGGUUUGGGCUCAGAUGGUGCAAAACUAGGAGAAUUGGCUAGCCUUUUAUAGCGGAUCGUACUCAAUAAUGAAAUGACACGUGUCAUUAUGACCCAUGUGUAAUGGGGUCGAUUUGGGUCCUACAGUGUUGAAAACUUCGACAUCCAGUUUUGGCCUUUUGCUUUCUCUACAGCCGCCUUGCUUUUUCCCUCUUUCCUUUUGUUUUCCUCCUGCCCCAUUCUAUCAACUAAACACAAUUAUGUAGUUGUUUAAUUCUUAAAUGAGAUAUUAUCGGUCAAUCGUAUUAUAUUUUAUCAAGAGAGAACGGAGUGCAAUGCAGCUGUAAUUUUAUCGUUUACUUUUAUCUCUUGGACCACUGCAUUUUUGUUAAGAGGUGCAAUAAUACACGUCUUUAUCUGCCAUUCAAUGUUUACAGUAAAGAGAGGGCACAAAACUCUUCACUGCUCUGCAUGUGUCCCAAAAAUGCGAUUGGACAAAUUAUGAUUUGCAUGCUAAAAAGAGGCAAAUGAGGUUAAUUCGCACCAUAAUUAUUUGGUUUUCUGGACACCAUAAAAAGAUGUUAUACAGGCAGGGAAAAACCUUCAGAGUUAGCUACCAAAGAUAAUUAUCAAGCAGAUAUCACCAAGAGAAUUCCAUAGAGUCUGAAUCAAAGACAGAUUGCUCGCUCGUGGGGGUUCUUACUUUCUUUUGGGUAUAACUCACUGAGGUCACUGUCUUUUUUAUUUGCAUUUCACAGUUAGAGUUCUGCUCUGGAAGGUUUGUUCUGGAAACAUAUAAAAGGAGCAUCAUUUUGUUCUUGGGUAACCCAUAGUCGUGAGUGGGUCCAUUUGCAUGCUACUUAGUUGAAAAGUUGGACAAUUUGCUCCGACGCCUACCUCCUGGAUUCCAUGCUCGGUAAAACAAGAAUAAAAAAAAAUAUAUAAUUUACAAAUGGGGGAAAGAAAAAAUGUCGGAAAAAAUAGUAAAAUUCAUGUCACAUGCUAGUGAGAGAAGGGGUUGUUACACUCACUCGAAGUUCUUUUCAAAAUAUCGAAUGGUAUUUUACUUUAUGUGUCAGCGCAGUUGUGAAUGGAACGUGCAAAAGUCCAAAUUGGCGUUUUUAUUUUUCCCAUGUAGGAUGGUGACCUUUAAUAAAUAUUUAAAACAAAAGACGAAAAAAAAAAGGAGGGAAAAGGGAUCACAAAAGAUAAAAUAAUGUUUACAAAAGCUCAAUUAGUUUGCAAAUUACUGUUUGGAUUUUGAUAGUAUUUUAUUUGUCGUUCUAUAUUUGAUGUAAAAGAGAAUUUAAGAUAUUUCCGAAGCAAAAGCAUUAGUUUGCUCUGUGAUGUCCCACAUCGAAUAGGGGAGAAAGUUUCUGGCGCUAUAUAUGUAGAGGCUCCUCUUAACCAAGUAGAUGCGUUUUAAAACCAUGAGGGCCCCCUUAGGUCCAAAGCGGACAAUAUCUACAUGAUUGGGUGUAAGUCAUUACAAAUGGUAUCAGAGCCGAUCCCCGACCCCGGUGUGGGGGUUUGUUUGGCCCUGUAAGGGGUGUUUGUCUGUUUGACCCCACAAUCCCAUGGGACACAACGAGGACGUUGUGUCUGCAUGGGGGGGCGUUUGUGAUGUCCCACAUCGGAUAGGGGAGAAAGUUCCUAGUGCUAUAUAUGUAGAUGUUUCUCUUAACCAAGUAGAUGCAUUUUAAAAUUGUGAGGGCCUCUUUGGGCCCAAAGCGGACAAUAUCUACAUGGUUGAGUGUAAGUCAUUACAUGCUCCAUGUCAAUUUCAGCAUUUCUCAUAUGUUUCACACAUACACAGAAGAGCAUCGUUUUUUAAAGCAUGCAUUUAUGUUGGAUUAAUUUGGAUUUUGUGGGAACUGGGGCAAGGAUCACAUGGAAGAGAGGUUGACUUUUUUCAGUACUUCAAUGGUUGAAAUAUGUGAAGGCUUGAUUGAUACUAAAGCUUGAAAUUGCGACUCUGUCAUUUGUAAAAAAAUAUGACAGCUUCCAUGCUCUCGUUUGGUUGCAUUGUCCGGUCGAGAGGUGCAAAAAGCAUUCUCUCUCUUCUAAUAGUCUUUUCGUUUAAAUCAAGGGAUUUGCCUUCCCGGUCGAGGUCCAAUAGAGGGUAACGGUCACCUACUAAACAUUAAAUGCUCCAACAACUAGUGAACUGAUCGACCCCAGCUCGACUAGUUGAGGUUACUUUUUGGUUUUCUUGUCUCCCGAGGUUAGAAACCUAUAAAUAGAGAGCUUCACUUCAUUUAUGAGUAAGAGAACACCUAAAUUUAUUUGUUUACCUACUUGUUUUUGCCAUAAAAGCUCUCAUUUCUUUUCUUGGUGUAUUAAAUCUCCAUUUGCAUAUCCUUUAGUGCACCUUUGUGAUUCAUUCUAGCCUUGAGUUGUAUUUAAGCCUUUGUUGAGCUAGGUUGAGAGUUUCAUACUUGUUUAUUGAGUGUUAAAGCCUUCAAGUGAGUUAAAACUUGAAGAGAUUGUGUAAGAGCCCAUUGGAGUCGGAAUCCAAGUGUAAAGGUGAUUAAAAGCUUGGUUGAAGCUUCAAGUUAGUGGAACUCUCACUCGGUUAUGAGCUUGAGAAGAGUGGACAUAGACAAGGCAGUGUCGAACCACUAUAAAAUCUGAGUUUGAUUUCUCUAACCUUAUCUCUUUAUAUUUGCUUCUCUUGUGCUUAAAUUUUUUGUGUUUAAAAAGAAUUUUUAAAAACUCAAUUCACCCCCUUCUUGGGAGUUUUUCUCUUUUAAGAUCAGCUUUUAUUUUCUCAAUUGGUAUCAGAACUAUGCCUCUUGUUUAAGACUUAAUCGUCUAAGAGGAAAUGGCUAAUCCAUCAAGUUCAUCUCACAUUGAAAGUUUUGCAACCAAUAGACUUCUUUUUUUUUUUUUGCGGGAACUGAUUAUCCCUAUUGGAAAACUAAAAUGACUUGGUUUUUACAAUCAAUUGAUUUAGAUGUAUGAGAUGCCAUUGAAGAUGACCUAACUUUUCCUUCAAAACUAGUUGAUGGAGUCAUGGUUCCAAAACCUAAGCAAGAAUGGGAUGAGCGUGAUUGAAGAAAUUUUCAAUUAAAUGCUAAAGUCGUUUAUACUUUGCAAUGCUCUAUGGACAGAAAUGAAUAUAAUAGAAUAUGUCAAUGCAAAUCGGUUAAAGAAAUUUGGAGAUUGCUUGAAAUAACUCAUAAAGGAACAAAUCAAGUUAAAGAGUCAAAAAUCAAUUUACUUGUUCAUAGAUAUGAAUUGUUUUUUAUGAAAGAUAAUGAAACUAUUGUUAAGAUGAUCACUAGGUUCACCAACAUUGUUAAUGGUCUUAAAGCCUUGGGAAAGACCUACAAGGAAUCCGAAAACGUGAUGAAGAUCUUGAGGUCACUUCCAUCAAAGUGGCAUACCAAGGUCACCGCAAUUUAAGAAGCAAAAGACUUGAUCAAGCUACCUUUGGAGGAGUUCAUAGGGUCAUUGAUGACAUAUGAAAUCAAUUUGGCAAAGAAGUAACAAAAAGGUGAAGACAAAAAGAAGAAGAACAUAACUCUCAAAGCUACAACUAAGGAAGAAGAAGUUGAAGAAGAAAAACAAAUUGAAGAAGAUGAAGAUUUAGCCCUCAUCACAAGAAAGUUCAACAAAUUCAUGAGGGGUGAAAGGUUUAGAAGAAGAAGGUUCACUUCUAGAAGAGACUUUUCUAAAAAGGAAUCUUCAUCUAAUGGUGACAAAAAGAGAUGGGAAGAGAAAAGAGACUUGGUGUGUUUCAAGUGCAAGAAACCGGGACACAUUAAAUAUGAUUGUCCUCUCUACAAAAGUGAAGUCAAGAGGAAAAAGAAUAAGGCAAUGAUGGCCACUUAGAGUGAAAGUGAAGAUGAAUCAUCCGAAGAAGAAAAUGAGAAAGAAGUGGCAAACAUGUGUUUCAUGGCAAUAGAUGAACUUGAUGAGGUAAAAUCUAACCUUAGUGAUUAAGAUAUACAUGAUGCAUUUGAAGAAUUGUAUGAGGAUUUUUAAAAACUUAGUUUGAAAAAUAUUUCUCUUAAAAAGAAAGUUCAACAACUUGACAAAGAACUUAGAGAAGUAAAAGAAAAAUUUUCAAAUGUUAAAGUUUCUAAAACUCAUCUUGAAAAAGAAAAUGAGAUUCUAAGAAAGAAAAAUGAAUAGUUGAACUCCUCUCUUUCAAUCUUUUCUUCUAGACAAAAAUCUUUUGAAAUGAUUCUAACUAGCUAAAAAUGUGUUUUUGACAAACAAGGGUUAAGAUUUAAAUCUUCAAAAAAUCAAAAGUAUUUUAAAAACUAUUUUGUAAAGGAAUCCACAAGUGCAAGUCCUUCCACUACUUGCAACUUUUGUGGAAGAGAAUGGCACAUUAGUAGUACGCCCUUUAAGAAAUGGUUCUCAAAAGAAUUUAAAUGCAAAAACUAAAAAAGAUUUGGAUUGAGAAAUCCAAGGUCACUAACCCUCAAGGACCCAAAAAGAUAUAGGUACCUAAAUCAACUUGAGUUUUAUGUUGUAAGGUUCAAAGAAUGAUAAGUGGUUCUUAGAUAAUGGUUGCUCAAGACACAUGACCGGAGAUGAAUCCAAGUUUGCUUUUCUUAAAAAGAAAAAUGGAGGAUAUGUUACCUUUGGAGACAAUGCAAAAGAAAGGAUGAUUGGUCAAGGCAACAUUGGUAAUGGCACAUCCUCUCUCAUUGAAAGUGUUUUAUUAGUAGAUGGUUUCAAACAUAACCUUUUAAGCAUUAGUCAAUUUUGCGACAAAGGUUUUUAAGUGAUUUUUUAAGCAUCUCAUUGCAUCAUCAAGGAUAUUCAAAAUGAUAAAACCAUUUUCAUGGGCCAUAGAUGUGAUAAUGUUUAUGCUAUAAAUAUUUCAAAAUAUGAUGGCCAUGAUAGAUGUUUUUCAAGCAUGCAUGAUCAAAGUUGGUUGUGCCAUAGGAGAUUGAGACAUGCUAACAUAGACCUCAUUUCCCAACUCAACAAAGAUGAACUUGUUAGAGGCCUUCCCAAAAUAAUUUUUUAAAAAGAUAAAGUUUGUGAAGCUUGUCAAGUGGGAAAGUAAAUCAAAAACUCUUUUAAAAACAAAAACUUCAUUUCCACAUCUAGGCCACUUGAGUUGUUGCAUAUGGAUUUAUUUGGUCCCUCUAGGACACCAAGUCUUAGAGGAAAUUCUUAUGCAUAUGCUAUUGUGGACGACUUCUCUAGAUACACAUGAGUCUUGUUUUUUAGUCAAAAGAAUAAAGUUUUUUAUGAGUUUUCAAAGUUUUGCAAUAAGAUUCAAAAUGAAAAAGGUUUUUCAAUUACUUAUAUAAGAAGUGAUCAUGGGAGAGAAUUCGAAAAUAUUGAUUUUGAAGAGUAUUGCAAUGAGCAUGGAAUUGACCACAAUUUUUUGGCUCUUAGAACUCCUCAACAAAAUGGGGUAGUUGAAAGGAAAAAUAGAACUCUUCAAAAAAUGACAAGAACCAUACUAAAUGAAAACAACUUACCAAAAUAUUUUUAGGCCAAAACGGUUAACACUUCUUGUUAUGUUUUAAAUAGAGUAUUAUUGAGGCUCAUACUUAAGAAAACUCCCUAUGAGCUUUGGAAAAACAAAAAACCCAACAUUAGUUAUUCCAAAGUCUUUGGAUGCAAUAUUUUAUAAUAAACACCAAAGACAAUCUUGGAAAAUUUGAUGCAAAAUUGGAUGUUGGAAUUUUCCUUGGUUACUCAACUUCAAGUAAAGCUUUUCGAGUUUUAACAAAAGAACCAUGGUUGUAGAGGAGUCCAUCCAUGUUAUUUUUUAUGAAUCUCCAAGAAAGAGAGAGGAUUGAUGAUGAUUUAGGUUUGAAGACCUCUAUAGGAAGAUUGCAAAUCGAAGAUAGAAGACAACAAGAAGAAAAUGGAGAGAAUCCAAAGAAAGAAGGAUCACCAUUGGCACUACCCCCUCAUCAACAAGCGCAAGGUGAAUCAAGUCAAGAGCUUCCUAAAGAAUGGAAGUUUGUCAUCAAUCACCCACAAGAUCAAAUUAUAGGCAAUCCAUCUAGUGGGGUAAGAACUAGAUCCUCUCUUAGAAAUAUUUGCAAUAAUCUAGCUUUUAUCUCUCAAAUUGAGCCUAAAAAUAUAAAUGAUGUUUUAGAUGAUGAAAAUUGGAUAAUUGCAAUGCAAGAAGAGUUAAAUCCAUUUGAAAGAAGUGGAGUAUGGGAAUUAGUACCAAGACCUUCAAAUCAAAGUGUUAUUGGAACUAGAUGGAUCUUUAGAAAUAAAAUGGAUGAAAAUAGCAUAAUUGUUAGAAAUAAAGCAAGAUUGGUAGCCCAAGGUUUUAAUCAAGAAGAAAUGAUAGAUUAUGAAGAAACCUUUGCCCCCGUAGCUAGGUUGGAAGCCAUUAGGAUGCUACUUGCCUUUGCAUGUUUUAAAGACUUUGUUUUAUAUCAAAUGGAUGUGAAAAGUGCUUUUUUAAAUGGUUUUAUAAAUGAAGAAGUAUAUGUUGAACAACCACCCGGUUUUCAAAGUUUCAACUUUCCUAACCAUGUUUUUAAACUUAAAAAGACACUUUAUGGUUUGAAACAAGCACCUAGAUCAUGGUAUGAAAAAUUGAGUAAAUUUCUUUUGAAAAAAAUGUUUUAAAAUGGGAAAAAUUGACACAACUCUUUUUAUAAAAACCAAAGAAAAUGAUAUGCUCUUAGUUCAAAUAUAUAUUGAUGAUAUCAUUUUUGGUGCUACUAAUGUCUCUCUUUAUGAAGAAUUUUCUAAGUGCAUGCAUAGUGAGUUUGAAAUGAGCAUGAUAGGAGAACUCAACUUCUUCCUUGGACUUCAAAUCAAGCAACUAAAGGAAUGAACCUUCAUCAAUCAAGCAAAGUAUAUAAGAGAUCUUCUCAAAAGGUUCAACAUGGAAGAAGCCAAAACAAUGAAGACUCUAAUGAGCUCAUCCAUUAAGCUUGAUAAGGAUGAGAAAGGUAAAUCCAUUGACUCUAUUAUGUAUAGAGGCAUGAUAGGUUCUUUGCUCUAUUUGACCACUAGUAGACCUUACAUUAUGUAUAGUGUGUGUUUGUGUACUAGAUUUCAAUCUUGUCUUAAAAAAUCUCACUUAAGUGUCGUGAAAAGAAUCCUCAAAUAUUUGAAAGGGACAAUGGACAUAGGCUUAUGGUAUCCUAAGAGUGAUAACUUUGAAUUAAUUGGUUUUUUGGAUGCUGAUUUUGUCAGUUGUAGGGUUGAAAAAUAAAACACUAGUGGCACUUUUCAUUUCUUAAGACACUUACUUGUCUCAUGGCAUAAUAAGAAGCAAAAUUUGGUAGCUUUGUCAACAGCAGAAGCUAAAUACAUAGCAACUGGUUUAUGUUGUGCACAAAUCCUUUGGAUGAAAUAAACACUUAGUGAUUUUGAUUUAUCUUUUGAGCAUAUUCCUAUUAAAUGUGAUAAUAGUAGUGCCAUAAGUAUAUCAAAAAAUCUCGUGCAACACUCUAGGACUAAGCAUAUAGAGAUUAGACAUAAUUUUCUUAGAUAUCAUACACAAAAGGAUGAUAUAACACUUGAAUUUGUAAGCAUAAAAGACCAACUUGCCGAUAUCUUUACAAAACCUCUAAGAACAUUUUGUUGAUAUUAGAGGACAAUUAGGAGUGAUUUCUUUAUGAUCUAAUGUGAUGAAUUCUUGAUGAAUAUACUUUUUGAUUGCAUGAAUUUCAUGUCAUAUAUGCAUCAUAUAGAAAUAUACUUAGAUAAUGGUCAAAUUUCGACCAAAAAUCAAAAUUCCCAUGGCAUUAGGCAUAAAAAUUUUGGAAUUUCAACUGAAAAUGGUAGGAGGAGGAUCACAAAAUGAGAAAGUAUGCAAAAAUUGAAAAAUCAAAACGUUGACCAAGCGGUCAAUCGGACUAGACCGAUCGACUAGUUUGUCGAGAUUUAGGAUUUUUAAGAGACUCCAACGCUUCAAUUUUUGCACCGUUCUCCUCUAUUUCUUCACGGUUUCUCUGAUUUUGUCUUUUAGAGACUAAUUUGAGUGCGUUUUGGAUCAAUUGAAGCAUUUUGGAUUGGAUUUUAGGAAGAUUGAAAGUUAAGGUUUCGGAUUUGGGUCGCCUUCUCUUCCUCUCGCGUGUCACAAUCAGCUUUAGCAUUGUUCUCUUUCCAUUUUCACACACCUAGGGUUUCAGUUGUGAGCAUCUCUCUCUCUUUACCAACCACUACUCCCUUGCUUCUUCCAUAUGGCUCCUAGGCGAGAGUCCGCUACUUCUAGGGCACAAGGCAAGCACCCAACUGAGUCGUCUCAGUCAAAGGCACGUCGAAAAGUGAGAUUUGACAUUGCCUUGUUCAGUUCCAUGGAGGACUACCAACUAUACAAGCAACACUUUGCUUAGAGACGAGUAGUUCCCAAGAGAAAUAUUAAUUUUCCUCAACUUCAGCAUUUCGAAUUUAAGGGUCUAUUUACUAGGAUGGUUGGUUGUCUAUUGUCACAAUUUCGGAGCCGGUUUUCCUGACCUUAGUGCGAGUUUUUUACUCGAGGGCGACUUAUGGCAUGGGUGGCAUGAUCAUUUCUACUGUUGGAGGAGUUGAGAUCUGUCUGGACCCAGAGAGCAUCUGCCAUAUUUUCGAUAUUGCUCUGGUUGGACUCAAAGUAUACAAGUCCAAAAUGUGGCCCAUUGUGCCAGGAUUUGAGCUUAGAGAGGUCAUUCAGAGGAUUUGUGAACUUCCAGACGCCCAGGAGAUGGGCAAACCAUUGCCACACAGUUUGACGGUCAUCAACAGGGUGCUACACCAUAUAUUGUGCUCUAUCUUUCUACCACGAAGUGGACAUUGAGAUGAGGUCUCUUAUUAUGAGGCAUUCCUUAUUGACUCCAUUCUAACGGAGAGACGAAUUCAUCUACUAUGUCAUCAUUCACUAAGCCUCCUCACAGUGACAUACCACCUCAUCAGGCACCUCUUGCUCCUGACCAUGCUCCAUUGAUGGAUUUAUUUACUCAUAUUAGCUCUCUAGGCACUCGCAUGAAGGAGUUUGUUGUAGUUAGUGAUACAUGGUUCUACUCCAUAGAGGAUCGCAUGGAUCAGUAUCAGACUGGCUUCACGUCACAGUUUGAGUAUCUCCAAUAGAGGAUUGAGCAUAUUGAGGAUCACUUGAGCAUGAGAAGAUGAUGGCUUUUCUAUGCUCUGUGUUUCCACCUCCACCUCGUCAACCUUGAUUUCUUAGAGACCCAUUGUUUUCAUUUUGUAAUGUUGCCAAAAGGGGGAGAUAUUUAGGAUCUAGGACUCUAUAGGAGACUUACAUGCAUAUCAUUUUCAUAUCAUUGUUUGGAUCGUACAUAUUGGAUAGUGAUACUUUUUACUUAUAUAUGAUAUGCCUAUAUGUUUCAUGUCUUACAUUGUUUCUUAUUGCAAAUUAUCUCUAACAUGUCUUGAUUAUCUUUUUUUUAACUUCAUAAAUUUUGAUUGUUAACCCAUGAUUGGUUUGAGGGGAAGAUUCUUCUUCUCCUAGAUAACCAAGGUUUGUCAUCAUAAAAAAAUUGGAGAUUGUUAGCCCAAGGGUUCUCCUAAUCAUGUUUUGAUGAUAACAAACCAUGCUUAAGUUACUAAUUGGUUUGAAUUAUAAAGAAUUUCAAGUGUUAAUUUGAAAAUUCAUCAAAGAACCUAAUGGAUGCAAGAUCAAGAUUUUUGGAAGACCUUUAAUCAUAAGAAACAUAUGUAAGAUGAAUGCAUGGGUGCACUUAAGAUUUGCAUAUCAUUUCAUGCAUAUUUGGAAAACACGGUUUAUGCUUUAAAGUUACAUUUCCAUCAAAAUUUGAGAUCCAUCAAAUGAACCUUAGGAAAAAUGUUUUAAAAUUGGCAUAUAAUUUUACCUAAAGACCUUGCCUAAGUGUUAGAAGCAAAAGGACAAAAAAAAUAUAGGUUUUCUGGUCAAAAAUGGUGAACCAGUCAAGGCAUUGUCUAAAUCAGCUCAAUCGGCCAAGGUACCGGUCGAUCGGUUUCCCUUUCCCUGUCGAGAUCUAGUCAAGAGGUACAAAAAUCACAAUCUCUGUCUCUUUCUCUCUUUGUCUAUCUUCCAGUAGUCUUUCCUUCCCGGUCGAGGGAUUUGCCUUCCCGAUUGAGGUCCGAUUGAGAGUAAUAGUCACUUGCCAAAUAUUAAAUGCUCCAACAGUUAGUGAACUGGUCGACCCCCACCUUGCCCAGUUGAGGUUACUUUUUGGUUUUCUUGGCUCCCGAUGUUAGAAACCUAUAAAUAGAGAGUUCCACUUCAUUUAUGAGCAAGAGAACACUUGCAUUUAUUUGUUUACCUACUUGUUCUUGCCUUAAAAGCUCUCAUUUCUUUUCUUGGUGCAUUAAAUCUCCAUUUUGAUAUCCUUUAGUGCACCUUUGUGAUUCAUCUUAGCCUUGAGUUGUAUUUGAGCCCUUUUUUUAGCUAGGUUGAGAGUUUCAUACUUGUUAAUUGAGUGUUAAAGCCUUCAAGUGAGUUGAAACUUGUAGAGAUUAUGUGAGAGUCGAUUGGAGCCGAAAUCCAAGUGUAAAGGUGAUUAGAAGCUUGGUUGAAGCUUCAAGUUAGUGGAAUCCUCACUCAAUUAGGAGCUUGAGGAGAGUGGACGUAGCCAAGGAAGUGUCGAACCACUAUAAAAUUUGAGUUUGAUUUCUCUAACAUUGUCUCUUUAUAUUUGUUUAUCUUGUGCUUAAAUUUAUUGUGUUUAAAAAGAAUUUUUAAAUACCCAAUUCACCCCCCUCUUGGGUGUUUUUCUCUUUUAAAAUUAGCCUUUAUUUUCUCACAAACUAUUGUAGUAUAGUGGUUUUUAGGUGUCAUCCAUUAGGAUGAAUUGUUCUCGGUAAUUAAGGCGUGAAUGAGAGGAGAAUUAAUGAUUGUGAUUAAGUAAAAUUGAUUUGAAAAUUCAUGGUGAAAAAUCAAUUUAACAAUGGUUUCUAAUUGAGAAAAACAAUGAAAUGUGAAAUAAAAUAAAAUUAAUAGGAAAUGAAAUUCUCGAAGUUAGAAUUUUCUAAAAAACAAAUUCCAUGGUGAAUGGAUGUUGAGAUCUAAUUUUCAUCAAGUUAGAUUGAAAACCGAAAUUUUCAUAUAAACUGAUUUUUUAUUUAGUUUUAGGUCUAGAUUUAAUUUCCCUUAAAAUUAGGUUAUUUAAUCCAAGAAAUCAAUUCAAAUCAUAUAUUCAAUUCAUCUUAAAUUAUCUUCCAAUUAUUCACACAAUGCAACUAUUCAAUCUCAUCAAAUCUAGCUUUUAAGAAUUUAAUGAAUCUACCUAGUUUGCAUUGUAAUAGUCAUCCAUGACAAUUUGAAGAGAAAAAUAAUUCAAUUAAUCAAUCACUUGGAUCAAAUUACCUUUGCAAUUAAAGUUCAUUUCUCUAAUUCACCACAGAUUUUGUCUCUAGAUCCUCCUUUCUCAAAGAAAAAUGAGAUUUAGCCACACAUGAUUGGAGAUUUGGUCUCAUAAGGCAUGUUUAGCUAGUGAUAAAAUGAGAGAAAAUAAAGAAAAAUAGAGAAUUCGAUUAAGAAAGAAAAUCUAAAAAAUUCUACAAUUAGAAAUGUCCAAAAAGCUUUUUCAUGAGAAAAUCAAGUUUCUAUUUAUAGGCCAAGGUCAAGUGGACACUUGACAUCAUCUAAGAGGUCUUCCGGAAGCUUCUUCAUCAAGAAAUCUGGAGUUUAAUAAUAAAAUGGUCAUUUCACAAGAGCUCAAACAAUUUCGCAUGAUUAUGUGAAAUAAAAAAUGCAACAACAGCAAUUUACAUCUUCUUGGAGCAUUUCGCAUGACUGUGUGAAAUUUUCACAUGAUCAUGUGGAAUCGACUUGACAACUCUCAUUUAGCCUACAACAUAAUUCCACCUUUUGGUCCAUUUUUCAUAGUCAUGCGAAAUGGAAAUAUUUGAUUUUUAAGUUUUCUUUUGUCAUUUCUUUCAUUUCCUUCUCUUGAUUCCACUUCAACUACCUCCGAAUCCUGGUCCAAACCAAUUGCAUUACUUCUUUCAUUAUGCAUUUGGAUCAUCAUCAACAUUAUUUGUUCUCUUCAAUUUGAUUCAUCUCUUUUGUCACCAAUUUAUCAAAAUCAUACCUUGAAAUGACUCCAAAACUUCAUAAAACUUGUUAGUAACUCUUGCAAGGGCAACAACAUAUUAAUUAAGUGUUUUAGGCAUAGUUACUACUCAAAAGAUGCGAAACUCAUGAUAAUUAUUAUAUAAAAUAUGCUCUUUUUGAGUAGUAAUCAACUUUCUUGCAUAAGCAGACCUUUUAGGGUGGAGUACUAAAGACCAAUAUGCUUGUCCUUGUUGUAAUAAAGAAACUUGCUCUUAUUGAUUGCACCAUGGGAGAAAAUUUUGCUACAUGAGUUAUCAUCAAUUUCUUCCCACCAAUCAUAGAUUUAGACGUGACAAGAGGCCUCUUAAUGGCAAGGAGGAACUGACACUCACACUUAUACAAUUAUCGGGCAUUGAUGUGUUGCAACAAUUAGAAUAACUUACACCAAUUAUGUUGGGGAAGUCACAAAAGGCAAACAUGAAAACUAAAAGGAAAAAAGAAAAAUGUUACAUAUCACCACAACUGGAAAGAAAAAAGUAUUUACUUUCAUUUGCCAUAUUGGAAAGCACUUAUUUUACAUCAUAAUAAUUUAGACAUAAUGCAUAUUGAGAAAAAUGUGUGACAAUAUAAUUGAGACAUUGUUCAGUAUUGACGAAGAAACAAGGACAACCUAAAUAGUCAUCUCGAUUUACAAGCUCUAACUAUUAGAAAUGAGAUUCACCCAAUAGAAAGCAGGACCAAAUUUAUUUUGCUUGCAACAUGCUACUCACUCACCCCAAAUGAGAUUAAGGAAUUUUGCAAGUUUUUGAAAUCAAUAAAGGUCCCCAAUGGCUAUUCUUUCAAUAUCUCUCGUUAUGUGCAACUCAAUGAAAGGAAGAUAUAUGAGCUCAAAUUGUAUGAUUGUCAUGUCCUAAUGCAACAACUUCUCUCACUUGUAGUUCGUGGAGUUCUACAUAAGAAUGUUUGUGGAGUUAUCAUAGAAUUGCGUAAUUUUUUCAAGCAAUUGUGCUCAAAGGUGUUAGAAACAAAUCACUUACACCAACUUGAGAACAAUAUUAUUGUCAUACUAUGUAAAAUGGAGCAAAUAUUUCUUCCAUCAUUCUUUGAUAUUAUGGUGCAUUUACUUGUGCAUCUAGUAAGGCAAAGGUUGCAAGACUUGUGCAAUAUUGUUGGAUGUACCUAAUUGAACGAUAUUGUUAUAAUUUCAUAUGAAUCAUUUAAUUUUAUUUUAUAUUAUGUUCAGUUCAUUAACAUGUACAUUGGUCUACAUAUGGAUGAUGAUAGGUACCUAAGCACUUUAAAGUCAUAUGUGCGUAAUAGAACUUUUCUAGAAGGUUCUAUUGUAGAAAGGUACCUUGCAAAAGAAUGUACAACAUUUUAUUCUAGGUACUUGAAUGAUGUGGAAAUAAAGUAUAAUCACAAUGAUAGAAACUUUGUUGGUUUCAACACUAGAGGAGAUGAAAGGGGUUAUCUUUAAACAUAUUGGACAUGCAUUGGGAAAGCCCAUAUUUCAUUAACUUAGUUCAAAAGAGUGGUCACAAGCACAUUUAUAUGUGUUGACAAAUUGCGAAGAUGUCAUACCAUUCAUUGAGUAAAAAAUUUAUUUGAAUUUUAAUUAAAGCUCUAGUUUAUAUCCUUAAUCAAUGUUUUUUAAAUUCACAAGGAGCACAAGCAAACCAUCAAGGCUAGACCACAUAUACGUGUUUGAGACGUAGAUUUAAUUCAUAACAAGGAAUUUAUCAAGUGGUUUGAAAGACAUGUAAGUAUAUUCCUUAUUAUAAGGGAUUUAUUUCACAUUAUGUUUAUAUUGAAUCCAAACCUAUUAUUGAAUUGUAGGUUGAACAAUUACAUAAUGAAGGUCAUAUAUCUGAACACCUUCUCACAUUAUCAUGUGUUCCAAAUUCAUUAGUUACAUGCUUCAAAUGAUAUAUUGUCAAUGGAUUUAGAUCCCACAUUAAAGAACGUGAUAAAAAAGUUUUUAAAAAAAGACUCAGAAUAAUGGAAUUGUUGUAGUUGCAAAAACGUCAAGCUUUACAAGUGCAUGUGAUAUGAGUCCAAUUAUUAGUGAUGCUCUCUACUAUGGUGUUCUAACUAAAGUUGUUGAGUUACAUUAUCUUGGUGAAAAUAAGGUUGUUUUAUUCGAGUUUGAUUGGUGGGAUGUUACAAAUAUUGGAAAAUUGAUAAAAGAUGAUGAGUACAAUUACACAUUUGUUAACUUUGCAUGAAUUCUAACCACGAACGAACGAUUUGUACUUGCAUCUCCAGCAAAGUAAGUGUUCUAUGUGAAGAAUGCGAAUGAAUCAGAUUGGCAUACUAUCAUGGAGAUGCAACCUCAAGACCUCUAUAAGAUGAACGGGAUAGGAUCCAAUGGUGAUUUUGAACCAUUUCAACAAAGUGAACUACAUGAUCACUAAUAUAUCUCAGAUUUAGUUGAUGAAGAUAUAAUCAAGUGGAACAAAAGUGAUGUUUUAGGACUAAUCAUCCUAAAAAAUAUUGUAGUUUCUUAAAAAAAAAAUGAAAAUGAAGAAGAUAAUUGAACCUUUGUCAUACUUUAAAAAGCAACUAUGCAUUGUUCAUUUUGUAUGUUUUGGUUUUCUUCAUUUAAUUUCCUGAUUUUUGUGAUUCAAUGUCAUAUUAUUGAUCUUGAAAUAUUUUUCUAAUUUUUCAUUCUACGAUGGUUUCAACAAGGAUGACAUCAAGUCAAAAAAGGAAAUGUGGUCCCACACACAAUAUUGCAUUACAGGGAUUAAGGUCAGGGAAGAAGGUAAAAGUUGCAUUUAAUGAGUACAAUCAAUUGGUUAAACAGAAAAAUGGAAAACACUUAUCGAGCUACAUAGGGACACUUGUAUCUAACCAACACAAUGUACCUCUCCAAGCUAGUGAUUGGAAAAAUGUUCCAAAUGAUGCAAAAGAGAAAGUAUGGCCUUUGUUUUGGUAUGUUGUAUUUCUCACUAUAUGAUGUCAUUUCACUGUUAUUCUAUUUUGUGACUAACGUUUGAAUCAUAUGUAAGAAAAAUUUGAAGUAGAUAAAGACUGAAAAGAUUACAUGUUGGGUAUAGCCUCAAAUAAAUAUAGAAGCUAUAAAAAUAUGAUGAAUGCAAAAUACUAUGACCCUUGGCAUAAGGAUGCAUGAGGAGAGGUUAAUACAUAAAUCACCAUUUGUCUCUGAUGUUGAUUGGAAGUGGCUUGUCUCUGAUGCAUAAACCAAAUCCCCCACUGAAUGUUUGAUAUUUGAUAGCAGGAAAAACACACCCGCAGCUAUACACCUCCAUCAUUCAGAUAAUUAUAGUGGGGGAGAUGAUUCAUGGUUGCCCUUAUACCCUUUAUUUGCACCAUCUAUUGAGAUUCUUUAUCAUGGCCAGGUUUUACUGCAGCAAUAAGAUAUGGUGGCAACAAUUUUAUCUAUAGGUGCGGUUCCAGACCGCCUCCAUAGGUGCGGUUCCUGACUGCCUCCAUAGGUGCCUCUUCUUGUAAUGUUUGUUCUGGGAAUUACACUUGAAAGCCUUAUCGUGAUAAGGGAUUACAAACACUAGUUCAGAGGACAGCCAUGUUAAACUUCCACUAUGUUUGUGUCACAUUAUCAGCAGCCUAGUGUUUAUUGGUCAUGCUAUCUGCAACUAAUAUAACCCGGUGAACUUCAAUCUAAAUUCUGAAAGUACUCAUGUGACAGAUGGUGCCUUUCAGCAGAUAUCAUCAAUUUAAAAGUAGUGUGUGUGCCUAUAGGUGGGAAGGCCUUGGCAAAUGUUCAGUAUUCCGGUAAUUCAAGAAGGAUAUAUCUAAAAUAGAUUUUCUUCUUGCCCAUUUCAAUAGUUAAAAUUUGAGAAGAUUGUGUCCACAUCACACAAAUAUUAUUGGUCCUUCUGUUGCAAUUUACCUCUGAACAUGUCUUCCAAUUCCCACGGUCCUGUUACUCCAGGAAAACUAUUUCGGUCAUAUUGAAAAAAAAAAUAUUAAAGAAGGUACACAUGCUUUUAAGUGGACUGGGGCAUUCAUAUCAGGUGGUCUGUAUCCACAUAUGCCACUUCGUGAAAGGUGGAACAGCCUAAUCACUAGGCUAUUUAGUGUGGCCCAGCCACGUUAAUCAAGCACAAGUCUUCAUACUUAAAGUCAAAUGGUGUCUUUAGUCUCAUUACACAUCGCUAUUUGAAGAUUAACUCAUCACUAGUGUAAUGCGAUUAAGACAGUCCUAACUCAAUAUUUGUUCUAGUUUUGGAUGCAAAUGCUUGCUGGUUUCAUCAUUGGAUGGGAUAAAGGUGCAAUCAGGACUAUGAAUACGUGCAGUAAUACUUCAUUCUCUUUUUUCUCAAUGAGACUUCUUGGCACAAUUUUGCUGCUCAGCAACCUACCUUUCCAUGGAAAAUCAGUUGUGACUGAUAGUAAUGGAUAUAUUCUAGAAAGCUAAACAUAGAUAGCAUUCAAUAUUAUCGAUAUAACAUUAACAGCGUAUGUCUCAAUGCUCAUCAGCUACAAGCAAUGGACAAACACUUUGAGUAACUCACAGCAGUCAAAAUUCCUAAACAGGACAGACGUGACAGAUCUAUAUAUAGAACACUGCAUAUGAGUCACAGGAAAAGAUAAUACGGGUACAUAGAAGCUCUUAUUUUACAUAUUACUCAUACUGAUCAAAGUCGCUCAGUUGGGAUGGAUGGGAGAAGGAGGUUUGAGGGGUGGCUUGUGCGGGGAAGUUGGCAGCUUCUUUCCGGGAGCUGGUUGCUUCUUUGCUGGAGUUGAAGGAGGCUUAAUCUUCCGAGGUGGCUUGUAUGAGUCUUCAGCAUUCUCAGCAGGAGGGUGACCAGGGUUGUGACCAUAAUGUGGUGGCUUCUCUCCCUUAGGUGGUUUGCCAACUGGGGUUGGUGGCUUGUUUUCUGGGAGUGGCUUCUCUCCCUUGGGUGGUUUGCCAACUGGGGUUGGUGGCUUGUGUUCUGGGAGUGGCUUCUCCCCCUUGGGAGGUUUUUCGAAUGGGGUGGGUUUGUGUCCUGGUGGUGGCUUCUCUCCCUUGGGAGGUUUACCAAUUGGGGUCGGUGGCUUGUGUUCUGGGAGGGGCUUCUCUCCCUGGGGAGGUUUAGUGGGUGGCUUGUGUUCUGGAGGUGGCUUCUCCACCGGAGGCUUAUGCUCUGGUGGUGGCUUCUCGAAGGGGGGAUGCUCAGGGUAAUCACCAAGUGAGGGGGUGGUGAGAACCACCAUGCCAAGCAACAACACUAGCAAGUAUGUAGUAGACAUCUUUGGGUUUGGACUCAGACAGUGCAAAACUACGAGAAAUCGCUAGCCCUUUAUAGCGGCUCGGACCUAAUACUGACAUAAUAUAAAAUAAAUAUUAUAUUUUAUCAAGAGAGAACAGAGUGUAAUUUUAUCAUUAAUACCGAUCGAGGCCAAAGAAAGAAGACCCAUAAUCCAUUUCCCACAAGCAUACACAAUGCAGCUGUAAUUUUAUCAUUUACUUUUAUCCCUUGGACCACUGCAUUUUUGUUGAGAGACACAAUAACACAUUUUUAUCUGUCAUUCAACAUUUACAGUAAAGAGAGGGCACAAAACGCAAUUAGAUAAAUUAUGUUUUGCCUGCUAAAAAGAGGCAAAUAACUUUAUUUGCAACAUAAUUAUUUUGGUUUCUAGUGACCCCGGGGCCUUUCGGUUGGUUUGGGAUCGGAAAAUGAACAUCAUAGGGGGGGUUGUGCCCUUAUGGGCAUAUAUAUCUGAUAGCUUCAACUGGCCUUGUUCCUAGAAAGAAAUUGCCAAAGAUAUAAACUUAUUCCAGGCUGAAAGUAGAUGAGAGUCAUAAUGAACAUCAACCUUUGUUCAGUUUGAUUCAAUGCCCCCAUAGUGUUCAUUUCACAGAUCUGAAUGAUUAUAUCCGUUGAAUACAUAAAUUAAUGAAGACAAAUAUGAAACCCAAGAUACAUCUCUGCAUAACAACCCCAACCCUGGUUGCUAUGUUUCCCUUCUUCUAUUCACAUGAGGAUACUGGUUAUAAUUGUCAAACUUGCAACAAGCCCUUUGACACCUAACGUCAAUGGACGAAUUAAAAGUCUCCUUCAAACGUCUAUUUCACAGCAUGAAGCUUAUAAAGGAUGCUGACAACCUUCAGAGUUAGCGACAAAAGAUAAUUAUCAAGGAGAGAUAGUUCCAUGAGAAUUCCAAGGAGUCUGAAUCAAAGACAAAUUGCUCACUCAAGGGUUCUUAUUUUCUUUUAGGUACAAAUCUCUUGAGUGUUGUUAAAGAAACACGUCACUGUCAUUUUGAUUUGCAUUUAACAUUUCACUUUUGUUCUGGAAGGUUUGUUCCGGAAACAUAUCAAAUGAGCAUCAUUUUCUUCUUCGGUGACACAUGGUCGCGAGUACGUGGGUCCAUUUUCAUGCCACUUAGUUGAAAAGUUGGAAAGAAAAAACAUGCCAACAAGAAGAUAGUGAGAGAAGGGGCACUUCAAGCCUUUAACAUGAACAAACAGUAAAUAAAAGAUGUUUCUCCACUCAUAAAAGUGUGUUAGAUAGCAAUAUAACGAAUCACAUCCAAAAUCUUUACUAGGCUCAAACAUAAAGAAGACUCAUUUUUAAGAAAAGAUAAAAAUGGCAUUGUCUGAUAGUAUCCAAUACACGAGAUGGCACUUAAUUUGUACAAGAUCUGUCAAUGCUGACGCACAUUUUCUGAUUAAAAAAAAACUGAUCAGUCAAAAGCAAUGAAGAGAAGUGAUGACAAUGAAUGAUGCUUCCAAUAUUUUCACCCCUUAUAGUGUUCUUCAUGAUUCAGAUAUAUAAUUGGAAAUAGAACAACCCUAUGCCAUACAUUCGUCUAAGUAUGGUGUCUAAUUUUUUGUGUCAGCGGUUGCGAAUGGAGCGUGCAAAAGUCCAAAUUGGCGUCUCUCCAUUUCCACAUAGGAAGGUGACCUUUAUUGACAAAUACCCAAUAUUUGUAGACAUUCCUUAAAUAUCAUAACUUCUUGUUGAUUUGAAAAUCAUUUUUCAACUACCAUGUUUUAAUAAAUAUUUUUUAAAAUGUAUUUUUAUCAAAGUCCACCAUGAUGGAUAAUAUUCACCAUGCAAUAAUUAAUAAAGUACAAACUAAGCGAAAUGAAAAGCAUUUUCUUUGCUUUGAGUUGAUUUUGGUUGCAUUGAGUUGAUUUUGGUUUCAUGGUUUUUUCAACUCUUAUUUUGAUUGGAAGAUGUCAAGAAAAGAAAACAUAAAGAAAAAUUAAAAGGGAAAAAAGAAGAAAAAUAAAAAAAAAUAGAUUUAAAAGUUAAUAAAUUAUUUUUUAUAUUUAUUUUAAUUCAUUUCACUUAUUUUUCUUUUACUAUAUAAAAUUUAAAUAAUUUAAAUUUUAUAAUUAAUUUAAUUACAUUUCAUUUUCUUCUAUAUUUAAAUAUUGGAAAAAUAUUUUACUUAAUAUUUUUUUCUUUAAUUUCUUUGGCAUUUUGGGAACCAAACUUAGCCUUUAAAAUAAAAAACAAAAAAAAAAUGAAAAUAAGGAGGGAAAAGUGAGAAAAGAUAAAAACAAUAUGUAAAGGAUUUGAAAAGUAUUAGUUUGUAAUUACUAUUUGGAUUUCAAUAGUAUUUUAUUUGUCUUUCUAUAUUUCAUGUAAGAGAGAAUUUAAGAUAUUCCCCAAGGCAAAGCAUUAGUUACCUGCAAUCAGUGGUGAUAAGGCUCCAAGCCAAUUUUGGGCCCCAUAUCUUAAGACAGUACAAUUUCCAUUUCAACAUUUCUGAUUUCUCAGAUGUUUCACAUACCACAGAAGAACAUUGUUUGUGAAAAUAUGCAUUUAUGUUGGAUUUUGUAUGCUGUGGGGACUGGGGCAAGGAUCAUAUGGAAGAGUGGUUGACUUUUUCUGUACUUUAACGGUUGAAAUAGGAUAAGCACGGGCAUUUGUGAGGCUUAAUUGAUUUUGAAGCCUGAAAUUGCGUUUCUGUCAUUUUGUCAAAAAAAUGGCAGAUUCCAUACUCAUAUGUUUGGCCUGUGGCCAUGUACAGAUGCCAUUUAGUGACCAGUUUGUAACUGUCAAUCGUUGCGUUUUGACUCUGCCUCAACAACAUCUGCCAUUGACGGGUUUUCAUACUUGCAAAUCAAAUAGUCUUUCGUCCCAUCAGGAAUUUCGGUUUAAAUAUUAUUAAGCAUACGUUUGGCUGACAAUCAUUAUCCAGUUCAUGAUUUGGUUUCUUACCCUUAAUCAAUGGUUUCUAAGUGAAUAUAUGUAGAAGGAAAUCCGAAGUGUAGACAGUAGUAUCGAUAACUCUCAAUAUUCUCUAUAUAAUAGAAUAAACAGCGUCAUAGUGAUCGUCGCCUACAAGCAAGGUACAAAUACCAAAACGAGUGACUCACAUAGACAUCUCCCAACAAGAUGUAGUAGUGACUGACACAUGGACACAAUUAACUCGUAGAAAAGGAUAAGACCAUUGCACAGCAGCUCUUAUUUUACAUACUACUUAUGCUAACCAAAGUCAAUUAGUUGGGAUGGGUGGGAGAUGGAGGUUUGUGCGGUGGCUUGUGGGGCGGAGUUGAUGGCUUCUUUCCAGGAGCUUCUGGCUUUUUCAUCGGAGCUGAAGGAGGCUCAAUCUUAUGAGGCGGCUUGUAUGAGUCUUCUUUACUCUCGACAGGAGGGUGGCCAGGGUUGUGAUCAUAAUGUGGUGGCUUCUCUCCCUUAGGUGGCUUGCCAACUGGGGUUGGUGGCUUGUGUUCAGGAAGUGGUUUCUCUCCCAUGGGAGGUUUAGCAAUUGGGGUUGGUGGCUUGUGUUCUGGGAGUGGCUUCUCUCCCUUGGGAGGUUUAGUAGGUGACUUGUGUUCUGGAGGUGGCUUCUCCACCGGAGGCUUGUGCUCCGGUGGUGGCUUCUUGGUUGGAGGGGGCUUGGGGUAAUCAGCAAGAGAUGGGGUGGUGAGAACCACCAGUCCAAGGAACAACACUAGCAAGUAUGUGGGAGACAUUUUUGAGUUUGGGCUGAUCAGAUGAUGCAAAACUAAAGCAUUACGUGACCUUUUAUAGCAUGUAGCUCCCAAUACCCACUAAGUAUUGUGGGGUCCAUUUGUGCCCUACGGGGUUGAAAACUUAGACAAUUGGGCAAGGACCCACCUGACUAUGGAGGACUAGUGAGGUGUGAUCAUAGCUUUAGGAUUUUUCUUCCUCUGCAGCCGUCGUGCCGUUGGCAUGAUUUUCUUAAUCUUAAAUAAAGGCAUAGUUAUAGAGUUGUUUAAUCUCUAAAUGGGAUUUUAUAUAUAUCUUCAGAUAGCCAUUAAUAUAUUUGAUGAAGAAAGAAAGACAAGUGCAUACAACAUGUAUACGACUAGCUUUCAUGGAGUUCAUUUAUGAUCAGUUUUCCUGUACAUGUAAACCAGGAUCAUAUAUAUGUUUCUGUUCCACAACUAUUUUGGAAUCUUGUUUAUCAGUUUUUAUCAUUAUAAUGUCACAUAGGCUGCCAACUUGGGCGCUAAAAGAACCAGUUGGGCUAGUUCGUUUCAGAAUUUCAAUGUGGAUUCAGGAAUUGUUUUGUAAGAUAUGCGAAAUAGUAGAGGGAUGAAUAGUGUUUCAUUAAUAAAAGUGUCCUGUAAAUUAGAAGGUGUCAUAGAAACUAUAAUCAAUAAAUAACUUUUUUUCCCCACGGGUGGUGUUUCUUGUGGGGAUCAGUGACUGGUUUAGGUUCACCCAAAAUGAGUUCAGACUAAAAUUGGUUUGAGUCAAUGCCGUGUCUCUUUUUUCCAGAAAUCAACUAUUUUAUGCAUUGAAUAAAUCAUACAAAGAAAAUAUGAACGCCCGCAAAACCUAAACCCUGGUUGCUAACUUUCUAUGUUUCAGUUCUAUUCACGCAAGAAUAUUAGUUUAAGUUUGGGAAAAAUGGCAACUUACCUAGUGAUUACUUGGUUUUGGUUUGCGACUAUUUACGCAACCAACCAUGAGUUUGACUUUAACGUCAUGGGUUGAAGCCUCCUACAGGAAGGGAGAAAGCUCCACAGCUAGCUCCAAAAGAGAAUUAUCACAUUGAUAGCUCCAGAGAUUCCCAAGGGGACUGAAUCAAAGACAAGUUCCUCACUUUUUCUUCUUUUGAGGCCAAAUAUGAACCAAGGAUCACACAACCUCAUUCAACUUCAUAAGUUUGAUUUCAUGCAGUUGAACACUGGGUGAAGGCCAUGACAAGAAUUGAUUCAAAAAUUCUAUCACUCUUUUAAGUAAUGGAAGAUUAUUAUCUCUGAUUGGCAUCACAACAGCACAUGCUCCUAGAUCUUUCUAGACACUCCAUGCAAUGAAAGCACAAUGGAUCUUGUAACGAUAGAAACUAAGCCAUGCUACAGUACUAGAUGAUGAGGUAAAACUAGUAGACACGGGUGGCAGCCUAUAUGGGAGGGACACAAGUCUAAUUGAUUUGCAUUUCAGCAUUAUAGAUAGGUAUGUUUUGGAAGAUUUGUUCUGGAAAUACCGCACCAAGUAGGAUUCUUUUUCUCUUUAGUGGGUCCACUUGCAUGCCAAUUAACGAGUUGAAAAGUAUGAGCACCUACCUCGUGCUCGUGGAACCGAAGGUCAGUGAAGUGGGGCUCCUUUUGGCCUCGUGUAAACUUGAUUCAGAAGUGAAGUUAAUAGUCUUCCAUUCAGAUGGAUACAUGGGAAUUUUUCUCUUUUAUUUAUUUAUUUAUUUUUUUUUUGUGUGUGUAUGUCAAAGGAUAAUGAAUGAAGCGCGUUAGCUUGUUUUCUGACUGGAACCGCAGAUGUCCAAAUUGGAGUUCCUUCAUUUCUUACUUAGGAUUGUUACAUGUAUAAACAAGGUAUAAGAAAUAUGCCAACGUGUCUUGAGGAGUUAUUGAUUAGAAAUAACAAGUCACCCGACUGUAGAGUUCCAAGAUUUGAAUCUUCAGACCCUAUAGCAGCCUCUGGGGUACGUGGCAUCCUAUAGCAUAUUAAUGAAGGCUUUUUCGAUUUAGACUUCACAAUACCAAUUAAUAUGUAUGCACAAAAUGGAGAUGACCCCAAAAAAAACAGAAUCGCCAUAGUUUAUGAGGUUAAGGUGAUUCUCCACUUAAUAUCUACAUUAGCUAAUUAUGUAAAUCAAAUGAACUUCUAUUUUUCCUUUUUUUUUUUGGUUUAUGUCAAAUAGUAGCCCAUAAUUAACCCAACCAUUAGCCUGUUUGAAUUGAUUUCACAUGCACAAUGUUGUAGUAGUUCAUAUUUUGAAUUUUAUUUUUACAAAGGUAGUUAAGGAAAAUGAAGUAUAAUAAUUAUAAAAGCAGACUAUAUACACUACAAUAAUUGUUAGAAUGGUAUCUCAAAUUCUAAUUUAAAAUAUUAUUUUUUGUAAAAGAAAUAUUAUAUAGAAUAUUUCCUAAUUUUAUAAAUGAUUAUAAUUAGAUCUUUAUAAAAUAAGGAAAGUUGGUAAGAAUAUCUUUAUAAAUAUUUUAGGUCAUGAGAGAAAGAAAUGGGAUAAAAAUGUGAUGAAGAGGUGAAAUAAGAGAGUUGAUUAGGAUAUAGAUGUGAAGAAGAAAGGGAUUCAAUAUAUAUAUAUCUUUCAAUUACCACAUUAAAACCCUGUGAACCUUUUAUAUGGUUUACUUUAUUUUUAUAUUCCUCCUUUAAUAUAUUUACAUUAAUGCUUCCAUUGGCACAACAAUAACGAAUUACAAAUACAAGCAACAAGUCCCAUGUUUUAUUACCAAAAGCAGGUAAAAUCCACCUAAUAUAUUACAAUAUAUUCAUCCAAUAUUUUAGACCAAUUCUUCACCAUAAAUAUCAUAAUGUGGCUUUUGUUCUUUCUUAAAUUUAAAUUGAAUUGUCUUAUAUCAAUUUGUUUGUGAUUUUUUCAUUAACUUCACUUUCAUUUGGUUAUCUUUGGUUUUUGAAAAGUAUUAAGGAAUUAAUUAACAAAAUAAUGUUAAGAAAAAUAAUUUUCUCUCUUUUGAUUUUGAUUUUGUAGUAGAAAAAUAUAAUUAAAAUUAUUUAAAAAGUAUGUAAUUUUAAAUUAUUUAAUAUUUAGAUAAAAAAAAUAAGUCUAAUGAGUUUAAAAUAACAUAUAAAAAUAAUUUAUUUAUUUUAAAUUUAUUUUUUAUUUUCCAUUAUGUUCUCUUUCUCUUUUACUUUUUCAUAUUUUUUCUUACGAAGAAUCAAACACAACCUCAUAUUAUAUGUCAAGUGUUUGUCUAUAUUUGAGCAAUGUUAGAUACGGCCAUGGAUUCAUCAAACUAAACUGAUUUUAAUAGAUACUUCACAAAUUGAUUUAUACACUAAAUCAUUGGAUAGCAAUGAUGCAUUGGAAUUAAACGUAGGAUGAAGCUCGAAGAACACUGUUUGUGUAACAACAUAUUUAUGAAAUUAUGCAAAGGAUGAGCUUCGGGGUAGUAGUACAAGGUCAUUAAUGGAGAGCCGUGUUAAACCUUGAUUGUGAUUGGAUUCCGUUAUCAGCAACAGCAACCUUGUUUGUAACCUUGAAAGUCAUUCUGUCCACAUCGAAACUCCAAUUUGACGUUUGUAAUUACCAUUCCUGGAGUGUUCCUUGAUUGAAAUUUAAAUAAUAAUUGCGGCCCACAAGGAAUAUUUUCGAUUCUGUGGGAAUUUGACAAGGUUUGUUAGAGAAGACUGGUGACAUGUUGACUUCAAUGGUUCAAAUAGGAGACGUAUGUGGAUUUGGGGGGUUUAAUUGAAACUGAGUCCCUAUGGCUUUUUAAUAUUUGCAUUGAGCAGUCUCCAUGUGACUUCCUAAUUCCCACCAACCCUCCUGUCCAUGCUGUGAAACUAAAUUGUAAUUUAUCAGCCUUUGUCAAUGGUUUCUAAAUUAAAGAUAUAGACCAUGCAUGUACUUUAAUAAAAGCAAAUCUAAAGUGUAGAUAGCAGCAAUGGUGACACCCAAUAUUCUCCAUAAAAUAGAAUUAGAAUAAGCAGUGUUACAUUGUUCAUGAUCACCUACAAGCAUACAAGAACUUCCAUGAAUAACUCAUAGCAAUUGCCAACAGGGCGUCGUAGAGACUCAUACAUAGAACACUAUCCACCCAGAGGAAAGGACAAGACCAGUGCGCUGCAGCUCUUAUUUUUCACAUGUAUACCACCACUCGUAAUAACCAAAUUCACUCAGUUGGGAUAGGUGGGAGAUGGUGGUUUGUGGGGUGGCUUGUGGGGAGGAGUUGGAGGAGGCUUUAUUUUCUGAGGCGGCUUGUAUGAGUGUGCAGGAGGAUGCCCGGGAGUGUGACCAUAAUGUGGUGGCUUCUCUCCCGUAGGUGGUUUGCCAAAUGGGCUUGGUGGCUUCUCUCCCUUAGGAGGUUUACCAAUUGGGGUUGGUGGCUUGUGUUCUGGGAGUGGUUUCUCUCCCUUGGUAGGUUUGCCAAUUGGGGUUGGCGGCUUAUGUUCUGGGAGUGGCUUCUCUCCCUUGGGAGGUUUGCUAAUUGGGGUUGGCGGCUUAUGUUCUGGGGGCGGCUUCUCUCCCUUGGGAGGUUUGCCAAUUGGAGUUGGCGGCUUAUGUUCUGGGAGUGGCUUUUCUCCCUUGGGAGGCUUGCCAAUUGGGGUUGGCGGCUUAUGUUCUGGGGGUGGCUUCUCUCCUUUAGGAGGUUUGCCAAUUGGAGUCGGCGGCUUAUGUUCUGGAAGUGGCUUUUUUCCCUUGGGAGGUUUGCCAAUUGGGGUUGGCGGCUUAUGUUCUGGGGGUGGCUUCUCUCCCUUGGGAGGUUUGCCAAUUGGAGUCGGCGGCUUAUGUUCUGGGAGUGGCUUCUCUCCCUUGGGAGGUUUUGUUGGUGGCUUGUGUUCUGGAGAUGGCUUCUCCCCUGGAGGCUUGUGCUCCGGAGGUGGCUUCUGAAAUGGCGGGGGCUUGGGGUAAUGAGCAAGAGAUGGAGUACUGGUGAGAACCACCAUUCCAAGCAACAAUACUAGCAAGCAUGUGGGAGAC
rnacentral:lncRNA from 1 species